GAGGGGAAUGCACCUCCUGUACAAGGACGUGCAGUCCUGCCAGGACGAGGACGUGCAGGUGCUGUGGUCGAUCCUCAUCGACUCGCACCGCCACCCGGCGCUCCUGAAGCUCAAGCUCUGAAGCUCUGGAGGAGCGGCCAGCAAUGGCGUGUAUUUAUGUGUGUGAGAGCAGCACCACUCCCUUUGCUCAGGCCUCCCUAGAGUUCUCAUCCUACACUAUCGUUUGUGGCUUCUAUGAGGAUCCUCAUUGGCCAUUACCGCCUUUGCUUUCCGAAACCCGAAAACUGAAAAAAUUCUGAGGUUGAAGAAGAAGAGAGAGAGAGAGAGAGAGAGAGAGAGAGAGAGAGAGAGAGAGAGAGAGAGGUUUCUAUGAUUUUCCCCCCUUUUGUGUUUGGUUUGAAAUUGUACCAGUGAGUUUGAAACGCCACCUGUGCUUUGUUUGAGCUUGAAAAAUGAGUGUGAGGUUGAGCUCCUUGUACAUAGACACAUGUUUGCUCAAGUGCCUUACCUUGGAAUUGUAUUGUACUGUAUUUGUGGAGUAUUGUAACUGUACAGUUGUGUGCAUGGGAGGUCUGGUUGUUAGAGUGUAUCUGUCCCAGCUUUUUGGUAUUAAAUCGCCUGUCAAUUUCUUGGUGCCCUGAGGUGUCUCUUGCCCUCGUUUCCCUCGCACGAAUGGCUGCCAAGUGGACAUGCUCAUGUGUAUUUUGGACUAGAAUAUGUGUGUGUGUGUGUGUGUGUGUGUGUGUGUGUGUGUGUGUGUGUGUGUGUGUGUGUUCAAAGUGUAUCGAUCGAAAACGUUUUUUCAACGCAUGGGAUCCAAAGUCGUAGAGGACAAUUCGGCUUGUGUUUGUUUUAUGAGAAAAAUUGCCAGAACACAAACGAAUAUCUUUCAGCGAAAGCCGGCAUUGCCGACACUCGUGUGUGUGUGAGAGGGAGAGCGUCGUCGUGGAGGCAAAGGUUACGUCUGAAGAAGUUGUUGAAAAAAGAUUUACAUGUUUUUUUAAGCAAAGAUUUAUGUAUGUGUUGGUUCACAUUAUAUUACCUUAUCUUCGAACUAGUUUAAUUUACAGUUACCAGAUUAAUUUUUAAUUUCAAAAGGAUGUCUGAUUUAACUAUACUAUCACCUACCGACGGGUUCUUCUUUCACAUGUUUAUAUGGCUCUCUUUGCAUCAGUAACAAUUCGGGUUGGUUAGACCUGAACCAGACCACCUGACAAGUGGGACCUCCUGCCGGACACCACACCUUUUGUGCGGAAUUUUAGUGUAAAUUCACCUUUUGGUCGCAACAGAUAAAGAAUACAAUUUCCUCCUCUUGAAAUUCUAAAUCAAAACAGAACUUGCAACAUGUACUGAUGCAUGUCUCCCAUGAUGCCCUUCUUAGGCCUACCCUUUCUCAUUCAACCCUGUAACUUAUGCUUGAGAUAAAUUUGAGGAGUAUUUUGGUCAUAUUUUCUCACAAGUUGCCGAGCCACGCAUGAUUGGUCAAAACUGACAAUUACUUAACAGCAGAGGGGCUAUAAUGCAAGCUAUUAUAAUUGCUAUAAAGAGAAACCACAGAAUUACAAGACCAAUGAAUUAUUGAAGAACCAUAGUUACAAAAGGCCGUAGUUCUGCAAUACAUACGCCAUAAAAUUAUGAGUUUCUGUACUACAUAGUGUGGCAGUGCAUCAAUAGCAAUAAACAGAAUGCCUGAAAUCAAUGUGGAUUUAUUCGUGACAUUGCGGGCAAUUGCAUCAGCAGGUUCUGUCCAGCCGGCCUGGUAAGCAUCCUGAUCACUGAGAAGCAACACAUGAAAGAUGAGUCAAAUGGUGGCCAAGAAGCAGGGCAUCUCUUUGUGAAUGCAUAGUUCAGAGGCAACCUAUGGAGCAGAAUAUAUGCUGACAGUGAUUGUCACAUUAUGCCACACAUUAUGCCAAACAGUAAGAGUGGUAAACUUGCAAUGCAGGGUAACAAGGUUAAUUAAUUAGGAAAAGAAACAUGAAAUUUGAUCAUGGUGAUGAAUAAACAGCUUUAGAAAUUUUGUUCGGCUCAAGCUACUCUGCUUCUAGAAAAUGAACGACCAAGAGAAGCAAAAUUUCCAACCAGGCGUGACACGCAAGCUUUGAAGUAGGGUAUGGCAUCUGGUUCUGUGCGGGAAAGAGCACCCAGAGGAGUAACGGUAAUCUGGAAUAAACAAGACAUAGUUAAUAGAAAUCUUUUCUAUAAGAAAAAUGGAAGCUGUGUGGUAGCUAGGUCAUUCUUACAUAUCCAUUUGCUAGGGACAUGUGGUCCAUGUCCUCUCCUUCCACUCCAUCAGAACUUCUCCCUACAAGCUGUUUGGAAUUCCAUCAACAAAAACCAUUAAUACACAUUGAGUCAUCCAUUUUAAUUCAAAAGGAGAUAUGUUUUAGUGUAGCUAGCAUAAUAAAAGAGAACCAAUAAAAUAAAAUGAGAACAAAAUGUCCAGAGAUCCACAAUGACACAAGCAGUUAUUAUUUAAGUAUAGCUACUCCCCAUUUAAAACUGCAGAAAUAUCAAUAAUGCAACACCAUUUAAACUUAAUAACUGAGAAGCAGGCAGCAUCCCAUGAUUUUAAUUGAACAUCACAAAAGUAGAAUAGUAUGACCUCAAGAGAUGAGAUGAGAUUCUAAUUCUCUACACAUUUGAUGGUUUUAUCUUUGAAAACUAUCUUUCUUUAAGGAUGCCUAUGAAAUCCAGUUCAAAUGUGAUUGGAACAAUAGCAUGGAGUUUGGAAACGCUAACUUACCACUCUCUUAAAUAAUAGGUCAUUCUCUGAUGGUGUGACUAGUUCACUGUCCUUUUCACCGUCAACAUCCAUGUUUGCUGUCUGGUAACUUUCUACUGCAGGCUUCUUGUAAACAGUUUGCUCCCAACUAAUUCUGGCCAUAUAUGUUCCUUGUUUUGUAAUUUUGUACCCCUAUUGCAAAGAACAGGACAGAUAAAAAAACUUAGGUUUCCAUCUGUUCAUAAACAAAGAUUCUGACAUAAAUGUUUUACAAAUAUUCCGAGGCAAAAUCCAUUAACAUUGGACAUUAAGUGAAACUCAGCAGAAACAAAAAAUUAUUAGCACUUUGACAUGUCCAGGGCCAUGCUCUAUAGUUUGUCCAGUUGUACAUGUAUAGCUUAAUGCAUUUAGGUUUGCUACCCCCGUACAAUUAUAAAAAGCGCAUUAGUUUACUUCAAAUCACUGUUGGAUAUUUACCUUGUGGUGUGCAGCAUCUGUUGGUACAUCUACAUUCAAGAAUGAUCCUUUAGGAUAUGUUCCAUUCUUGAUCUCGGUCACAAUAGUAUUUAUCAAUGGCAUACAAACCUCUGCAGACACCUUGAGGUCAUUAACACUGCUCUGACCUGCAACCCUGUACAAUUGGGAGAUCAAAUAGAGUUCUCAGUUUUGACUGACUUGCAUAGAUUCAGCACAUAGGAUGACAUGGCUGAGAGCAGGAAUAUACAAAUAUUGAACAUAUGUACAUCAAAAUUGAAUUUUAGUGUUUCAUAGAUUAACAGGUUCUGAGAUCUAUUGAAAUUGCAGAAGAGCCAUAAAUGUUCAAAUAAUCUGAACGUAGGAUUAUAAAGUUCUAUACGAAACUGGAAUUAGUUCAACUUCCCAAAAAACAAAUGCAGUUAUGCCACACGCACGCACACAAAAAAGUUUCUUAUCAGAGGUCAAUUCAUUUUCUAUAUCAACCAUUGGCUGAAAAUGGGGCUUCCUGAAAGGUAAAAGCGAUUAUGCAGUCAACUAUCAGGCCUUCCUGAAAGGUAUCACCAAAUAUCAGUCAACUACUUCUAUGUUUUCAUACUUUAGACUGUAUCAUACCAUUUGUUAAACACUUCAAAGGCUUCAAUUAAAACUGAAAGGACACAACAGAGCAUGUAACGACUGUUCCUUUGCAAACAAUGUACCCGAACCAUCUUGUUAACUUUAUGGUCCAUUUUGUCUAAAAAGGAUUUGGUUCAAACAUGUUAUACAAUGACUGUAUACAACAUGUACUGAAGGAUAUAUAUAACCAUCAAUGAAGCCAGUAUUCUUAGGUUAGAUCAGCAGUAAAACUGAAGAGCCUAUCGACAUAUAGAUCAUUCACAUGAAAUGCACAGCUCUAUAAGAAAGAAAUAAAGUAUAAAAAUGUUAUACAAAAACAUAUCAUAUUUUUUUGCCACCAAAUAACUAGCUGCUGAAUGUGAAAGAAAGUGGUUUUUGUACAUCUGAUAGAAUCAAAGAAGAAAAAUCUUUGCAUACCAAUCAUAUGACAUAGCUAUUGCAGGAAUCCCAUAUAAGAAAGCCUCCCUAGCACCAGCAACUGUUCCAGAAUAAAUACUGCAAAUUAAAAAGCAAAAACACUCAUGAUUCACUGGUAAAUGCAUAUAUUUAUUUCUGAAUCUAAAAUCGCAUCUAAUCAGCUGUUACAAUUUCCAAUAGAUAAUCUUGAGUUUUGAGGACUUCAUAACUCUAGCUAUAUAUGUUUAAGAUCAUGAGUACAUAUGUAUCGACAGACACAGAGAUACUUACACAUGGUAUCCACAAUUGUUUCCAAUGUUGAUUCCGCUAAGUACCUGCAUUAAGGAUCAUAUAAAAUAGAAUGGAACUCAAGAGUGUUUAUGACUAGAGGACAUGUAAAUAAAGAAACUAUUUGUAACCAGAAUUUAGAAUAAAAGCAUAAUAAGAAUAUCUGGUAUAUCUAUUAAGAUACUUCAAAACUCACCAGGUCAGGAACCACACCAUCAAAGAGCUUCCCAGAGAUGCCUAAAGAGGCACAGUCGGCAGGAGUUCCUAGCAUUAGUAGGAGAAAACAUGAGCACUCAGCAUGCAAAAAAGAUGUCUUUGAAAUUUUAAUGUGAUUCCAAAUAUCUUAUAUGGGGAAGUUUAUAUGCCAUAAGUUGAAGGAAUCAAUAGCAGACAAACCUGAAACUCCAAAUGCUGUAGCACCACUUAUAUCAACACGUUUACAGCGGAGUGCGGGGCGCCAUGUGAUGCAGUGGCUAACCCCCGAUUUGUCUCUGCAUUUUUUAUGAAAAGUAGACAAAUAUAAAACACUUAGGAAGGAGACUGGUGCCACAAGAUUAGCUUGACCCGUGGCCAACUACAAUUAAUUAAAAGACUACAUGACAGUUUUUCUUUUCUUCAUAUUUUUUCAGUUUCCUUCUCAACAACCAUGUGCAUAGAUAAGGUCAAUGACAAAUCAUAGUUUUGUUAAGAAGACCUUGACUAAAUGAACCAUAGUUGUUUCUUGUUUAUUUUUCUUUGUUUGGCUUAGGUACACCCAUACCAUAACUUGUACAUCACAAUAUACUCACAAGCAUUUUUCAGUGAAAGCAACUUGGCAACUUGGAUGGUGUAUUUGCUGCUAAUCAGUGAAAAUAAUUCCAAAACAUGUCCGAUUCCAUGUUGUGCACACAGCAUCUUGCAAAGCUGAUGCUUCCAUACACAGCGAUUAAAUAUAUUAUUUGUUUUCUUCCAAACUGCUUUUGUAGAUUCAUCAUGUCAAGGGCAAGUUCACUAUUUCAUUCUUUACAAGAAAACGACUUAGCCACACCGAAAACAACUCUAAACUCCACACAAAACAAGAUUAAUUAACAAAAAAUUACUUCUCAAGAUCAAGAAUUUAUUUUUCUUAUUUCUUUUACAGUAAAAUUAGGCCCCAGAAUUUCGCACCAAUGACCAACAGGGAGAACAGGAACUAACUGCAUCAUCUGCUGCAACCUGCAAAUCCAAAAAAUUCACGGAAACAAAAGAAUUUUUCUAUCACUCAUUCCUCUUCUUCGUCUUCCUGGGUGAGAAUGCCAAAAGGAUAAGGGAUGAAAACAAAAUUUUCCCCCUCUAAGUUCCUGUUUCCCCCCUCUCGCAUACUACUUCCUCCCAAGGCACUGACCAAAAUCCCGUGAUCCUACCACAGAAUAUCCACAAAGCACCAACCACAGAACCAAGGAAGCAAGAAAUCGGAAGGAAGUUGGAAGCAAGAUGGGAGGGAUCGCGAGGCGAGAUGGGGAGGGGGGACAUUUACGUGUCGGGCGCGCAGACGAGGACCCGGUAGCGCCGCGCGGCGACGAGCUGGUCGACGAGGAAGCGGAGGCCCGGCGCGUCGAUGCCGUCGUCGUUGGUCACCAGCAGCACCGGCGCCUGCGCCGCAGCAGCCGCCGUGGAGUCCAUGCGAGCGCAGCACGGGGAUGGGGAAGCUUUCCGUUUCCGUUCGCGGCCACGGCUCCCGUUUCGUGCGCCUGUUGGGGGUUUUUGGUUGGAAAGUUGUGAAGCGGCAACCGCACCCUGCCAUGGUUUGGGGAUUUUAUAUUGAGAGGGACUCCAACUCGUCACAUACAAAUAUAAAAUUACAUCUUUAUAGUUCAAUCAAAACUUUAAAAUUUUGACAAUCAACAAAUUGUGAGAUGUAUAUUUAUUUUGGAAACGUAAAAGUUAGUUAUAUGCAUAUAUUUAUCUCAAAGAUUCGCAUAAUAAUUUUAUUAGGAUUUCAUAAAACAAUGGUCAAAAGCACAUAUGGAGACCAUGUUUUAUAUGCAAGAUGCCAAGUGAUUUGUUGUUCGCAAUGAUCCAUUGAUUUUACAGAUGCGAAACUUUUAGGUCUAUUUUAUAUAAAAGGUUCUCCAAAACUUAUUGAGUAUCCUUGGUACUCAAGCAUGUUGAACUUCAUCUAUGAUUUUCCUACUCCAUGUCAUGUAUCCUAUAGAUAAAACUACAAGAUCAAAGGCAAUGAAGAAUUUGUUAGCAGAUGUAUGAAGUGCUUGCCUUAUGAUUUUAAUGGAACUUUUGAUUUUCCUACUUACACCACCAGCGUACAAUUUGAAAAAGUAUAUCCUUUGUUAGGAGAUUUUUCUCAAUUCACAUCAUAGUUAAUUCGUAUUCCUCUAACUAUUCUAAAUUUUUGGAAAUAAGAAGCGUGGCACAGAGAUACGACGUUCCCACACUUAACAUUGUCAGCAUUUCAUUAUGCAAUUGCUAAAGUGAAAUUGAGCAUUGUUGGGAAUAAAGUACUUUUGAAGAAAUAGAAACGGACCUAGCUAGAACUGAUACUUUUAUUCCUACUUUGCUGCAAUGAUUUACUUGUCGUUUUAGCUCCAAGUGCACUGAUAACUUUGAAUGGGUGCUUUUAGUUUUAGCGGAAGUGCCUCAACUACAACUAGAAGUACUUGCAUGAUAGAUAAUUUGUUUCAUUUUAUUUUGAAAAAGAGAAAGUCGAUUGUGGUUUCGAUAUUGAUUUGGAAUCAAGACCUUCUGUUUUUUGUGAGAAGAUUAAGGGAGUUUACUUGUGCAAUCAACAAUCAAGUUGUGUUCUGCGGGCUCCUGGUUGUUCUCUCUUGUAAAUGGAAUAUCAUAAAAUUUGUUUUGUCUAGAGGAUAUCAUAAAAUUUAUUGAAUGUUGUAACACCCUAAUUUUCAUCUUCUGCAAUUAAAUAAAAUUUAUUAGAUUUCUCUAACUUUGUAUAAGGUCUUAUGUGAAUUUAUUAGGCAUUAAAAUCUUUUUCUAAAUUAACUUAAUGAACUAUAGGUUUUUGUUUGUUGCAUUCAUGCUGGUUGCAUUUCUUUCUGCGUGAGUGUGAAAAAGAUUUAAAAAGGCGUUUAUACGACGAUUAGGUUCUUCUGAAAAUUUUCCAGCUUUUCCCGAAAUCUACUCUCAUUUUCCUAGAGCUAAAUCUAUUUAUUAGAAGGCUCUAGUUCCUUUUUCACGGGUUACAAAGUAUUUUAUUUGAUUUCUCAUAUCCCAAUCUACCUCUGGGAUUUUUUCUGGAAUUUUUUGUGAAUUAAAUGAAUUAUCUGGAUUACUCUGGAUUUUUCUUUCACGGGAAAUAGAAACCCUUUUCGUCUGGGCCGAGCCUUGGGCCCAACCUGCUCCGACCCAGCCCAGCAGCCGCACAGCUGCAAUUGUUGCGCAUAUGCCGUCGCCGGUAGCCAUCCUUAGUUCUGCGCCAAGGCAGCCACGCCACCCCUGCGCCCUAUAAAACGCGGACCCCUAGCCUCGUGUGCCCUGCUGCCUCCGCCUGAGGACUCGCCUGCGCUGCGCCGCCGUCCUGCAAACCAGCUAGCCGACGGGCCGAGUCAAGCGAUGCUGCCAGUUUUCCACCAAUUCAUGCGACCCGAUCCCGAAGGAGCAAGCGGCCGCCACCCUGAGCAUCCCCUCGCCUAUCUACAUACCUGCCGCCUCUUCUCGUCACCAUCCUGCCGCCGGAGGAGCGCCGCCGAGCAAGACCGAGUCGCCAUCUCCUCCGUCCGCCGUGUGCCAAAUUCCAGCGGAAAUCCGUCCUCCCCGUCACCGGUGAGGACCCCUGCAUGAUGCCCUCCAUCUCCCCUAUUUCCUGUGCCUCUCGCUUGAGCUUGGGACCACAUCAGUCGCCGCGAUUUGGCCGACUGAGCUGUUGUUCGCCAUCGGCUAGAGGAAGAAGAAGGUCCUGCUAUUUUUACAUUUUGACCCCUUGGAGGAUCUCGUAAUACUAGCUUGUUCCUUGUAUCUUGUUUCAUCCAUACCCUGAAUAGAUUAGUUUUCUAUCAAUCUAAUCUAAGCCUUAACUUUUUAUAGAUCACGGGCACUAUUUGGUGUGACUUCGGAAAUAUCAUUUGCUUGCCCUAUAGUUUACCUUUAUUUACAUCUAGGUCCUUCAAACCAUGUUCAUCUCACAUCUUUUCUGUUUUAGCUCCGAUUCCAGUGAUUCUCACGCUCACGCGAUCCUUGCAACACAUAUGAUAGUUUUAAAGUGUUGUUUUAAUAUGUUUUUAUUGUUUGGUGUACUGUUUCUUAUUAGAUGUAUUUGUUUGCUUGUUUAGUUGCUUUGGACUUUGGAUGAUUGUGUGACGCUAGAUAGAGCGUAGUUCGAGGAAUCUGAAGAAAAAGCCUUUGAAGACUCUGAAGAGCUAUAAGAUUUUAAGGAAGGCAAGUUGUGCCUUGAUCACAUUUUAUCCUAUACAAUAUUUAUAUAUGAAACAUAUACAAUAUUUAUAUAUGAAACAUAUAUGCUUGGCACACCUAUGUCUUAAUUUGAAGGGUCCUAAUUAAGGAUUUAUCUAGUUUCCAUAUUAUUCCUUGUCGAUCUGGGUUUUUAUUGUUAGGUAAUUAUGCUAGUUGCUAUACCUGAUUUAUGAUGGGAAGUAAUGAACAAUGUGAUUUAUGGUGGGAAGUAACGAACAAUGAUGAACCUGAUUUAUUUAUGUAUGUAUCUUUGUUAAUUACAUCCAUUCACAUGCCUUAAUUGGAACAUAGAGUGACCACUUAGGAAAACAGUACAACCAUAAGACCAACGGGCUCUAGUCUUGGCUUACUAAUUAGAGACUCUGGUUUGUGGUGGUUUUACCGAGAGGGCAAGAGGGGUCUUGUGAUGGGGUAUAGCUCGACUCUUUUGAGUGGUAUUCUCUUUGCAAAUACUCACCUUAGGGGAGGGUUAUGCACAUGCAACUAUCGAAACCUUACCAAACUACUACCUACUAGGGAAUCUUUGUAAAGGCCUCGUAGUGUCUCUAUGCAGUCACACCUCAGUAGUAUGAUAAGUGCCUACUUUUACACAGCAUGGUUAGGUCUAAAGUUCUCUUGAACUUUUACGCGACUUAUGAUGAAAGUGUGCAACCUUUGUAGAGUGUAAAACUAUCAGUCGUGCUCACGGUCAAGAGCGGUCUGGACCCUCGCAUGAUAAUUGAACUUGAAGAAUAAUUAACUUUUGCUUUAUUUAUGCUUUAUUUAUGUGCUUGUUCAAUUAUCUUUAUGCUUAAUUGGGUGGUAUAAACUUACAUUCUAGUAAAUAGCUUGCUAAUAAAACUUGACCAACUUUAAAAGUGAUUAAAUGCACUAAAUCACUCAGCUAUUCCUUGACUUGGCCUUACACUAUACAUUUCCUCAUACUUGCUGAGUACCAACCAUAAGUGUACUUACACUUGCUAUAUCUAUUGUUCAGUACAAGACAACUUGAAAACUUUGAAGAAUUGCUACACGUACGUUCCCCCAGUCAACUACAUGUGAAGUUGUUGGAGAUCCACUGCUUGUACUAGAGAUUUUUAUCGUAUUCCUAGUUAUGUAAUUUUUUAAUAUUUACUAAAGUUAUCGUAUAUGAAACUUAAUCCUGACACACGUACGAUAGUCAUCUGAUUUUGCCUUUAAAACCGGACGUGACAAAUGCCAUCGGCUGCGGUGACGCUGAGCUACGAAGAUCACCAUCUCUGGGCCUUGGCGGGCUGAUAAUAGAAGAACGGCCUAGCCGUCAGCCGCCUGAAAGGCCCCCCAACUCAAACGCUGAGCCCUUAUGGGCCUUUUGGUCCCUGUCCAGUCCAGUAACGUAUUGGACUUAAUUUUUUGCUGUUUUUCGAAAGCCCAUUGGUCAACUAUGGCGAUAGUUAGUUAGUUCUACUAAUCUUGGUGCAUUUAAGUGAGUCGAUAAUUGGUGCAUCAGUCGAUAAGCAUGGGAAAUUAAAUGGGCCAUCCUUCCCCCUUUAGAGAAUCACAUUUUUUAAUCAGAAAAGCAAAAUUGAUUUUAGUCAUUAUGUUUAUCAAGCUUUGAAUGUUGAAAACAACCAAGUUGCGACUCUAGAGGAACAUUCAGUCAUAGAGAACAGUUAGAAAACAAAACAAUGAUUAUCAUUUAGAGCGAGUUCUUUUAACCAAGUCUACGUACGGACGAAGAGAUGCUGCAUGUCAAAGCCCUGAUUUGUUUCAUCAGAAACUACAAUACCUAUUUUUUUUCUUAACGGUAAUCAUGAUUACGUCUUGGGUUUCCUAGUGGGGAGGGACUGUUGGGCAGGGGGAAAGUUAUGGAAGAUGCCGACCAUGGUGCUUCGCCCACAACCGUGGAGGUACACGAUAAGGAGCACUACCGCCCAAAACUUCAUCCACCGCCGCGUCAUUUCUUUAUUCAUCUUCUACGGGUACCCCAAUACACAAACCCACAAAUUUGAAGGUCUUUGCAUACUCCUUUUCUUUUGAAUAUAUAUUAUGUCUAAAUUAUAAAGAACACUUAUCUCUAUCCACCCGCUCAAUGAAACUUUAGCUCCUAGUAGAAUCAGUAUACAUUAAACUAUAUCCACCUGAGAAAGUUAACAAAACGAGAAAGCAUCGUACCAAAGUUGCGUAUGAAUGUACGCCAUGCAAUUCUAUUUAUUAAUAUGGUAUUCAUAUAGUGUAUAUGUAUGUGACUAGAAAGGCGACAAGAAACCCCGCAUCCGUAAAAAAGGUAGUGAUAUCUCAUAUAGAACCUGCAAUCAAGCACUUCUGUAUUUGAAUUAUGAUCGCUUUGUGCAAUUUUUGAUUUGUCAUAGAAUUUGCAUGUUGCAUAUAGGUUAAUCCUAAAAUACUUCUUACAAUCAUAAGUUCUAUAAAUUAAAUAAAUUUCUAAAAGAUAUAAAUGGUAAAGUCCUAUAUUUCAAACAUCUUAGAUAUGUAUGUGCAUCACUCAUUUUAGUUGACACAAAUUGUGGUUUAGAACAUCAUCUAACAUGCCGCAAACUAAAGAGAGAUGAGCAUAGCUCUGGCAAAGAGAAAACACUUGAUUUUGAGGAGAAUGCUACCAAUACAAAUCAUCUUUUAGGUCUUACACCUUUUCCAUAAGUUCCCUCCACAUUUAUCAUAAAUAACAUGAAUGCCCUAAGGAUUUAUUCAAAUUAGCUACGGAGAUAUUUUUAGUCGCAUAUUAUCCAUAUAUAAAUAUAAACUUUAACUUUUAACAUCCCCUCUCCCAUCCAGAUGUGAUCAGACUAGUUUGGUCGGGAAUGUUGUAUAGUUAAUUUUAUUCUCUGAAAAUCAUGUUAAGCCAUGUUCAUGAAAAAAAAAAGAAUUUGCUACAUGAGUAUGGAGGCAAAGGGGUCUGUAGUCUAGUGGUUGCCGUGAUCUUUUUGGAGCAUCUAUGGGAGUGAAAUUCAAGCUGCAUAAAAAAAAGUUGCUCACUAAUUUUCUAGGCGGUUUGGGUGAACCGACAUGUGGUGACGGGUCCUUGUGCAAGGAGUUGGUAGUGGCUUGUGACUCAAAGUACGGUUACAACCCUAACCACAGAGGCGACAUCGCUAUGCAUUAGAGGGACUAAGGCCCGUUUGUUUGAGCUUCUGCUUUUGGGCUUUUGGCUGGAAAGCUAGCUUUUUGAAAGCUGGCUUUUUGGUUGCUGACCUUUUGCUAUUGGUUUUUUAAUAAAUUUUUAUCUUCUCAGCACACCAAAAGCUAGGAAAAGCUCCUCUCAGCCAGCUUUCCAGCUUUCGGUUCAUUUUCGAAAACUAGCCAACUGGAUUGUUUGUUUCAGCUUUCCAGCUUCUGGCUGCCAAAAGCCGAAAAGCUGACCCGAGAAGCUGAAACAAACAGGGUCUAAUUUUCAUGACCUUUCUCGGCUAGGUUUCGAUUAAGUAAGCUUUUCUUAGUGAAAUUUCAUGCCCCUCCAUCCCUCACUCAAGCUAACUCAAAACUCCGAUUUAAGAAAGGAAUACUAAACAAAGAAAUGAGUCGUCCCUUAAUUUCAAAUCGCCCAGACUCUGGUUGAAUUCUUCUUAAUAAAAUACCAUGGGGACGGUUACCAAGUUUUUAAGCACGGAGGGUGGCUAGUGCUAUCGUGUUACUCCUCAAUGCGUAGAUGCCGUUGUGCACGUAGCAGAAUCUGACUGAAGCUGGGAAAGUGCUGCUUGCAUUGUUUGUAACGUUGUGCGUUGUAUUCACCACGAUUGGUGCGGCGUGGUGCUGCCACGAGGCCCCGCGACAAAUCCUCCGCCCGACGGCAUCUUCGCCGCCCCAUCCCCUCCCGAGCUUCCAUCCCCCCUCCCUCCCCUCACACAAAACUGCCCCCUUCUCCCUCCCUCUUCUUUACCACUGCCGACCAGCCCACCAUCCCGCCACCAUUCCCACCACCGCCCCACCGCGCGCUCGCUGCCGCCGCGGCGCUUGCUAGGUAGUAGCCGGCCGCGCGCCAUGGCCUCCGUGGCGGCCACCUCCACGCUGGCCCCGGCCCUCGCCGCCCGCCGGCGCCGGGCGCGGCCUGGGGCGUCGCCGCUACCGCUGCCGCCGCGCCGGGCCGCCGUCGUGCGGUGCUCGCUCGACAGCAACGUCUCCGACAUGGGCGUCAACGGUGAGUUAGCGUUGCCCUGCUCGCGCUUCUCUUCUGGGGGCGGUGUCAGCUGGAAGUGGGUUCAUAGACUGUUAAAUGUUUUGUUAAUCCUCUCUGGGAUUUCCACACUGUAGUUCCAAUACUCCCUUAGGCCAUAAAAAGUUUGCCUUUUGGGCUGGAAUCAAACCUGGAGCUCCAAAUUGGCUAUCUAUAUGUGUGGAAAUCGGUAUCAUGUUGAUUUUGGUUCAGAGGUUCAUUCAUGGUACUGUGAUUUUUCCUAUGCUCUAGGAAUAUCUUAUAAUUGGAAAUGCCUCUCAUAGUUGUGUUUUAGAGACCCUGCCGGUGUUCUCUUUUCUGACCAAAAGUGUAGAAUUCUGGGUAGAUUGCUCCAAUUUUUCUGAAUUUGUGCUGUCAGUUCUGUUUCAGUUUCAAUAGCUUUGGGCUGAAAUGCCAGGUUGACUUGGAAAUUCUAAAUGAGGAUCUUUUACAUGUGUGGCAGCUCCCAAAGGGCUGUUCCCACCUGAGCCGGAGCACUACAGGGGGCCAAAGCUCAAGGUGGCCAUCAUUGGGGCAGGCCUUGCCGGCAUGUCCACUGCUGUCGAGCUUUUGGACCAGGGCCACGAGGUUAGCUUAUCGGUUGCCUUCAGCAGAGCUAAAUGAUCUCUUAUUCAGGAAUGCCACUGCCUUUUAAUUGUCUUAGUUGGGCAUAAUAUGUUUUGCAGGUUGAUUUGUAUGAGUCCCGGCCAUUUAUUGGCGGCAAGGUUGGCUCAUUUGUCGAUAGGCAAGGAAACCAUAUCGAGAUGGGCCUGCACGUGUUCUUCGGGUGUUACAGCAAUCUUUUCCGCCUCAUGAAGAAGGUACAGGCCUCUGUGCAUUGAGGUCACUGGACACAUACUGAAUUAGUUUAAUUGUACUGUUAGCUUGACUGCCCUACUUAGAUAAAUCUGAAUUAGUUUUAGUUGGAGACAUUUUUAAAUUGGAUGUCUUCAUAGUUCCUAGAGUGAAGUAAACUUACAAUACUGGAGUGUAUGGCAGGUAGAAAUGUGCUAGCCUAUUUGUGUAUGUGAACGAAUUGGUUCAGUGGCUUUCCGGUUGAUGAUUGUAGCACUGGUAUUGCUGCCUUAUUGGACAGAUUUAACAGCAAUGAAAUUAAACCUCAUUGUAUUUUAGGUUGGCGCUGAUAAUAAUCUGCUGGUGAAGGAGCACACACAUACUUUUGUAAACAAAGGGGGCACAAUUGGUGGUAUGUUCAGCUAUCAUAUACCCAUCAAUUUUUUGUGGAGUACUUUUAUACUGCAAUAUUUUGAUUAUUCUUAAUUGUUUUUGGAAUUGCUCUAUGCCUAUGAUAGGGAAGAAAAGUGCAAUUGCUUCUAGUGUGUUUAAGUAUUAACCAACUAGUCGAGUUUAAGAAGUAAAAUUUUGAUCUUGUUUUUGCAUGUUCUGCUAAGGGAUUGAUUUGUAUUUUCCAAGAAAUAACAAUGCUUGUGUUGCCCACUGUGGCACGCUAUUUACUUAGUCCUGCAGUAUGUAUCUUGAAUUAAGCCAGUUGUAAUAAAGCAUAACAUGUCAUGCUACAACUGAACUGAACUAUAUUUUGUUGUAUAUUUCCAUGAACUUAUAAUGUAAUUUUUCAUUUUAAUUUCCUUGGUUUACAGAACUUGAUUUUCGGUUUCCGGUGGGAGCCCCAUUACAUGGUAUUCAAGCGUUCCUCAGAACUAACCAACUCAAGGUAAAUUCAUAAUUCAUGACUAUUAUAAUAUUAAAGGAGAACAUCAACUCAUGAAAUUAGUUUAGUCUUGAAUUUCUUUCUUCACCUUUUGGAAUUACAUGCUUUCCCAUCUGCCAUAAAUUUUCUCUUCUUGAGCUCUAUCAGUAUCAUGAUCAUGAGUCUUGCCCUAUGCUGACUAUUUCAAGCUGCCAUUAUUCAACCACUUAAACAUGUUACAUCCUUCUGAUACGUUUUGUGCCAUUCUCUUUGAAUUCCAUCUGUAUUCACAUAUUUGUAGCCGUACACCAACACUCCUGAAAGUGGUCUUCCCUCUCCCAUUUCAUGUGGUUACAAAGACAACAACAACAACAACAACAACAUAGCCUUUCAGUCCCAAGCAAGUUGGGGUAGGCUAGAGUUGAAACCCAACAAGAGCCACAAAUCAGGGUUCGGGCACAUGAAUAGCUGAUUUCCAAGCACUCAUAUCCAUGGCUAAAUCUUUGGGUAUAUUGCAUCCCUUCAAAUCUCCUUGUAUUGCCUCUUCCCAUGUCAAUUUUGGUCUUCCUCUGCCUCGCUUCACAUUACUGUCACGCCUUAGGGUUCCACUACGCACACCGGUGCCUCCGAAGGCCUUCGUUGGACAUGUCCAAACCAUCUCAGCCGGUGUUGGAUAAGCUUUUCUUCAAUUGGUGCUACCCCUAACCUAUCACGUAUAUCCUCAUUCCCUCGUAUGACUACAAAUCCAAAGCAACAUACGCAUUUCCCUGCUGGACAUGUCGUCUCUUUUAGGCCAACAUUCUGCACCAUACAACAUUGCAGGUCUAAUCGCUGUCCUAUAAAACUUGCCUUUUAGCUUUAAUGGUACCUUAUUGUCACAAUUCCUGAUGCUUGGCGCCACUUCAUCCACCCCGCUUUGAUUCUACGACUAACAUCCUCAUCAAUAUCCCCAUCUCGUUGUAGCAUUGAUCCCAAAUAUCGAAAUGUAUCCUUCCUGGGCACUACUUGGCCUUCCAAAUUGACAUCUCCCUCCUAAUGUGUAGUAGUGCCAAAGUCACAUCUCAUAUAUUCAGUUUUAGUUCUACUGAGAUAUAUUUACUCUUGCCACAACUCCAGUUUCCUAUUUACUCUUGCUCGACUUUCAUCAACUAGCACUACAUCAUCCGCGUUCAUGUGAUUACAAAGGAUUUCUUUUUAAGAAUUGUUACAACCUGUCAUAUUUUUAUGCGAAUUAUUGCAUACAGGAUAUAUGCACAAGCAUGCUAUGCCAUUUGAAAUAGUUUGCACUUUGCAGCUAAUUAUUAAAUGUCAGUAAUAGUACAAUUUUUCACAAUAUAUUUGCACUCCUAUUCUUGUUAUAAGCCAUGGAGAAAGCAUAGUAAAGUCCUCAUAGAUUCCUAACUACAUAUCCUUGAGACUAACUUAAAUUAGCAAAGCUUGUUCAUGAUCGUGUUAUCGUCAGACAGAGAGUUGUGGUUUAUUUCGCAGUUAAUAUUUAGUUCUUUUUUUAGUCUAAAUUGUAAAACUUCUUAUUUUUCCCUGUAACUAUCACUGCCAUUCUCAUUGGAAGUGAAGGAUUCUUUUUAAGUGCACUUGAAACAAGGACUGAGGUGUUGUCGCUUGUCAAUUUGUUUAGUAACUACAUACUACUUAAUUACAUACUUUUCGUUAAACCUUUUAAUUCAAAAACAUUUGAAUUAUGUCACAGGUGUAUGAUAAAGCAAGAAAUGCAGUUGCUCUUGCCCUAAGCCCAGUUGUUCGGGCUCUGGUUGAUCCGGAUGGUGCAUUGCAGCAAGUGCGGGACUUGGACGAUGUAAGUAUUCAUGGCUUUUGUUUAAGAUUCAUUAGGAGUGUAUAUCUAGGACAUCUGUAGGAGUGUUCAUGAAGUAUGUUUUUAAAUUUGUGCCAUUAUAACCCAGUGAUAGCUAUUUUUUUUCAAUUUAAAUGUAAAUUUGCCAGUGUACCUUUUUCAGGUUAGUUUCAGUGACUGGUUCAUGUCCAAAGGUGGUACUCGGGAGAGCAUCACAAGAAUGUGGGAUCCUGUUGCUUAUGCUCUGGGUUUCAUCGACUGUGAUAAUAUUAGUGCACGAUGCAUGCUUACAAUUUUCACCCUGUUUGCCACAAAAACAGAGGCAUCUUUGUUACGCAUGCUAAAGGGUUCGCCUGAUGUGUACUUAAGUGGCCCGAUAAAGAAGUACAUAACAGACAGGGGUGGUAGGUAUGAUGACAGACAAGUUUUCUUGUGAAUUGUCUUUGUCUAGGUACUACCAUAGAUCUGAAAACUUACAUCAUGUAACAAAUCCUUCAGGUUUCACUUAAGGUGGGGAUGCAGGGAGGUUUUGUAUGAGAAAUCACCUGAUGGAGAGACCUAUGUUAAAGGCCUUCUUCUCACAAAGGUAAGAUUUUUUUAUCAGUAUAUCAGUUUCUGCUUUGCUUGGUUAUGCAGCUAGAUCAGAGAUGGAAAAUAUGACGAAUUAUGUAGCCUGAACUAUUCUUUAUAUUUGUAUACUUAUAUUGUUGUCCUCGGGAUAUUUUUAGGCCACAAGCAGAGAGAUAAUCAAAGCUGAUGCAUACGUUGCAGGUUCAUUUUCUGCUUCCUUGUCUUCUCUUUGUUUUGUAACUAACACCUCCAACCAUACUCAACUUGGUUUUGAUAAGUGCACAGCUUGCGAUGUCCCGGGGAUCAAAAGACUACUACCGCCAGAAUGGAGGGAAUGGGAAAUGUUCGACAAUAUCUACAAGUUAGAUGGUGUUCCUGUUGUCACUGUUCAGCUUCGGUACAAUGGAUGGGUUACUGAACUUCAAGAUUUGGAGAAAUCAAGGUAGUUGAUGUCCCCUGUUUAUUUUGUAUUUUUGUUACUUAAUUGGUUUUAGACCCAGUAAUUUGCAACGCUCACCAGUCAUAUACGAAUCUUCCAUGAGGAUUACAUUUGUUUCUUCUAAAUGAUAUUUUGUGCAAAUACAAAUUGCAUUUCUCUGUGCUUGCUCAGUGAUACUUCUCGUCUUUGAUGUAGACAACUGGAAAAGGCGGUCGGUUUGGAUAACCUCCUGUACACUGCAGAUGCGGACUUUUCCUGUUUUUCAGACCUUGCACUCUCAUCUCCUGCUGAUUACUACAUUGAAGGACAAGGUUCCCUGAUCCAGUAAGCCUACAUUUUUGAAGAUUCAGCGCUCUUGAUAGUAUUCACUUUUUGACGGAUUGUUUUGAAGUUCGGUUUUGUAUACACUUUAUCUUGCUAGGUUAUCAGCAUGUUUUAACUAAUGUGUUUCAACUAUCAAAUUGAUUUCCUUGUGCAAAUGUAUUCACUUUCAACACUUGAUUCAUUUGCAGAGCUGUGCUAACUCCUGGUGAUCCAUACAUGCCAUUGCCAAAUGAGGAGAUCAUCAGUAAGGUUCAAAAGCAGGUAGGUUCGAAAACAACAUAUGUUCUUUUUUGUCUUAUUACUGCUAUAACUGAUUGUUGCAGGUUGUUCACUUUACAAAUAACUAAGCAAGAUCUCAUUUGAAAGUACUUAAAGAGAAACGAGAUUUCUUGUGAUUGUAUUAUAUAUUUAUAUUCUCCCAAGCUAACCUCAAUACCAUUACAUAUGAUUACCUGCAGGUUGUUGAAUUGUUCCCAUCUGCCCGGGGAUUGGAAGUCACAUGGUCCAGUGUGGUGAAAAUUGGACAAUCUUUGUAUCGUGAGGCUCCUGGAAAUGACCCAUUCAGACCUGACCAGAAGACGCCUGUUAAGAACUUCUUCCUAUCUGGAUCUUACACGAAACAGGUAUUGUUCAUCUACAGGAAUCACUGGAUCAGGAAACAAUAAAAUGUUAUCACUGGAUUUAAUUUGAAGGGAUGCUCCUAAUAUUGUGUUAUGCGUCCAGGACUACAUCGACAGCAUGGAAGGAGCGACUCUCUCAGGCAGGCGAACCGCAGCCUACAUCUGCGGUGCUGGAGAGCAGCUGCUGGCCCUGCGAAAGAAGCUCGUGAUCGACGACAGCGAGAAGGCGCUGGGGAACGUCCAAGUCCUGCAGACAAGUUGAGCCUUGCCAUCGCACAUGCUGGAGUGGCCAGAUUAUAUCAUUCUCGCUCCUGGUGGCUGGCGAGCUCUUGUAAAUCUGAGCUGAGCAUUAGAUCUGCUGCUGCCUUAUUCCCCGCAGUGGCGUUUCAGAUUCCUGAUUCGAGAACCAGGUGUCUAGGUGGCAUACGGGAUUACAUCAGGCAGUGUGUGUGUUCAGCUGGAACUUGACGAUCGAUUGCUGACACUGAUAUAUAGUGCACACUGUUCUUAGGCCUCGCGAGAAAAUAGCAAGUAAUUAUCUGGUGGAAAUUGCUGUAUGAUUUUACUGGUGAUGUUGAUUCAUCUUGGUCCUGUGGCUCUUAUACACACAUUAUGUAUUAGCAACUGUUUUCUUUUUACUUUCUAUUUGAGGAAUACAGCUCCAAGCUUUCCUACUAGCCUCUUCAGUUCUUAUGGAUAUUUCGUUAUUGUUUAGCCAUUUGCAAUUGAACUUGGCUCAUGGAAGAUGUCUUGUUCCUCGCCGGCCGGCCGCUGUGCUGGAAACCGAAACCGGUCAUUUUCCGGCGUUGCCUGCCGCCGUCACCGGCGACGAGUGGUGGCAGCGAGUGAGAGACAGCGGGCAGCUGUCGCGUGUCGUCCCGAAGGCCUUACGACCUGCUAGUUUCUCACGGCCACGAGAGCGCGAGCUCCUGCGUUUGGUUUUGUUCUUGAGCAAGCGGCCAGUUGGUGGCUGAUGGCGCCGAGCCCAGCCGCCGGGCUGUCCCUGACCCGGCCGUCUAGCGGCCACCUGUCGCCCGCCGCCGCCGGCAGCGUCCUCCAGCCCGUCUCCGGCUCGCACGUCUCGCAGCAGCGGCGGAGGCGGCGCUUCGCGGCGGGCGUCGUCCGAGCGGCGCCGGACGCGCCGCCGGCGGUCAGGGCGGCCGUCAGCGCCGUCACCGAGCUCCUCAGAGUGUUAUCCCCAAGCAAGAAGCCCAGGCAACCUAGCUUAGCGCCUUAGCCUCUCGUUCGUCAAGCUCAUCGUCCGCUCUGGAAUUGGAAUUUGGAUUCCGUGGCAUCCAACAUUUUUCUUGGCUCGGCCGCGCAGGGAUGCCGCCCAGGAGGACAAGGCGCUGGAUCCGCCGCCUUGCGACAGCGUCGAGGAUGUGCUCGCCGUGCUCCAAGACGAUUACCGGCGCGCCUACUUCCUCACCGGUACGGGUUCCUGGCACCUUGCUGUGUUCUUUCAUCAGGGAUUGCUUGGUGGCAGAUACAGAUUGCAGAACAGAGGCUGACAAAAUUGUAAAUUUUGAUGCGCGCAAGAGAAAUGAUAACCAACUCCUCUAGGGUUGCAGGGGAUUUCACUCCGGGAAUAUACACUGAAGAUUGCUUGUUUGAGGAUCCGACGAUAAAGUUCCGUGGUAUGUAUAACAACUCUCUUGUGGAACAUUGUUAACUGGGUGAAGCAAAGCCAUAUCGAUGCCUGAUGUCUCCUUAUUUGUUUAAGAGCUGAGGAAUUUGUGACUAAGGAAGGGUGCACUCUUGUUCCUCAUAGGACUGUCUAGGUACUCUCAGAAUCUGGACCUGCUGGUGCCGUUCUUCGACAGCCCUUCACUUGAGCUCGAAAACAUUGAAAAGGUAACAAAUGCCAUUGUUGACUGGAAUUCAGUGACUUGUUUGCGGUAACUUUGUUUCUGACUAGCAAUUAUAUGUUGGCAUCUGAAAAGGUUUUAGUUCUGAAUUGUAAGAACUCACUUGCCAUUCUUCUUGUUGUACUACAACAAGAAAGAGUUGUAGCCUUGUAGGUUAUCUCCUAGCUGAACUGAGCAUUUUUUUUAGUAACACUGUUAUCUGAGAAAAAAAGAGUAUGAACAUAAGAUCCAUGUAGAAACACGUUCAGUCUGCGGAUUUUUAAAAUUGUAACAAAUCUCACAGGGUUUGAGGGUUGAAACAAGGUUCGUCAAAGCGACAUGGAAACUAAGGUGCUUCUGCAAGCUUAAGAAAAAUGUUUGAUUUUUCCUAGUACUUUUAAAGAGGGCUGUCUCCGUUGAUAACACGCCCUGCUAUUUUCAGGACAUAUUUGAGGCUUCCAUGGAGGCCCUUGAUUGCGAUCCGAGGGAACACAACCUAUGAUCUUAACGAAGAUUACAAGGUAGUGAUUGCAAAACCCAAACCAUGUAAACUUACCUUCUCUUUGAUCAAAGGAAAUCGAAAAUAUUCCAAAAUUUUGUUUGCAUUUGUUCAGGUGGUUCGGCACUCUGAGAGCUGGGACGUCUCUGCGCUCGAGGCCAUCGGUCAGAUAUUUGUGUCUGCUCCGGAGCAGCGGAAAGGCAGCUGAGGUUGAAGUGGAAUGUGCAGUAUGCAAUACCACACAUGAUCAGAAAUACUCCCAUGUAGCGUCAGAGACAGCAAUGUUCAAAGCUGUCUGCCAGACCUCCAUUUCAGAAAGCAGCAAGCAAUGUUGAAACUGAAACCAUCGUUUUCUGGCGUCAGAGAGCAAAGAUAGUGGAUCAAGGGAGUUGAUAGAAACAAAUGGCGCCAUUUGACUUCUAAUUGUACCCAUUUAAUGGAACUUUUAAUUGUGGUGAUUCAAGGGUGGAACAAAGUCAGGGCGAGCGAAAAAGUAGAGUGCAGUAGCUAAGAUGAAUGUGUCACACUGAUUGGACUUUGAAGACUUGUACUUUUGCAAGUUGCAUGAAACAGUUCUAUUUUAUAAAAAAAAAUAACUAAAGAUCACAUCAACCAUUUUUCCCUUCAGAUAUUUUAGAAAGAUUUUACGCCAAUGAUCCAGGUACAAAUUUCAAUUGAAAUCCUUGGAUUAAAUGUGUAUACUAAAGAAAUACGGCUCUUGUUCCAAACAAACAUUUUCUUCUGUCCAUCCAUUGUAUUUGACCUCCGCUGAGCUUGCCUAAAUGGGCCGGCCCAUCUUGUGCCCAUAUUCUCUCUCUCCUCCGGAAGCUUCUCCGGCCUUCUCGGAGUAGAGCUCCGCCACCUACCCAAACGCCAGAGAGGCAGGAAGAGCGCCGGUGGUGACGGUGGGAAGCCAAAACUCUCUGCAACUCCGGCGAGCAUCGAAACCACGCACACGAGGCCGAGGAACCUUCGCGAGGAUGCUCUCCAAGCUCUCGGCGUGGUUCGUGAACCCGCGCCGGAACCCGCUGGCCCGCGCCCACCGGAACGCCGUCGCCUCCCGCCUCCGCAAAUACGGUCCGUACCGCUCUCCCCGACACCCUCUAGGAACCAAGGGUUAGUUGGGCCAAUCGACCGGCCGCCGGUAGGUAGGCUAUGCUAGGUUCGUAGGCGGCGGCGUCACUGAUCGGAUUCCUUGUUGCCGUCGGUGCAGGGCUCCGAUACGACGACCUGUACGACCCGUACCACGACCUGGACAUCAAGGAGGCGCUGUCGCGGCUGCCGCGGGAGGUGGUGGACGCCCGUAACCAGCGGCUGAAGCGGGCCAUGGACCUCUCCAUGAAGCACAAGUACCUCCCCGACGAAGUCCAGGUCAGAAUUUGUGCUUGUUCCUCGCUCUGUAAUUCGUAUGUGCUGUAUGCAAUUGCCAAUUGGGAACGGAAGUAAUUUUAGAUAAUUGCAUUUCCGGACUCUGGUGGUGGUGGUUCUGCUCGAUUGCCAUAUUAAGUUUAGGUGGAUUCAUAGGAAUUGGAAUAUUGGAUGCAGAACAAGUGAAUGAUCAUUGGGCUUGGGAUUGGGUUGUAGAAUCGACCUAGACCCUUGUGAACUUGUGGAAACAGAAAGUAGUAAAGGAUUUUAGUUAUCGCUGGUGUGAUUUCCCCCCUUUUGAGCUCUUUUGAGUCAGAGGUUGUAUGCUUGUAAUGCUCACUGUAGUCACUCAUGCCUUAGUCUGUGGUGGUGGAUAUGGUAAAUUGCCACAUUGAUUUUAGGUGUAGUUUUUCCUAGUGGGUUAGUUUCGACUUCCGAGCAGGAUUUGCGUCACGAAUUGGAUAACGAUUAUUUGUGUAGGUGAUUAGGGAUGGGUUCUGAACAUCGUUUUUAUGUGCUUGUUAAAUGGAAAAUGUGGAAGCUUUAGUGAUUGGCUGAUUGCUAAUGUGGGUUUUCCUGCUUCUGACGUCUGUUUGUGGCCUAAGGUUCCCUAGCCGAGUUGGUUAGUGGAACCGAGUGGCACUCCUCAAGUCCUGGGUUCGACUCCCCGUGGGAGCGAAUUUCAGGCUGGGGUUAAAAAAACCUCCUCGUCUAUCCCACACCAAAGCAUGCUGCAAGGCCCGGCCUAGGCUCACGCGGGCGCAGGUGCCGCCAUGUAAGGGUGGGGCAGGGGUUCGGGGGUUUUCUAGGCCUGCGUGAGAAGGUCUUUCUUUUUAAGCCAAAGCCCGGGGGGCCGUCAUACCCCCCCCCCCCCCCCCCCCCCCCCGCAGGUCUAGUUUGACGUCUGUUUGUGAACUUGUGAUAGCUAUAGCCAUGUAUGGUCAGCGCAAUUAUUCCAUGUCUUCUUUUGCUGUGCUGUAUAUAUAGAGGUUGAUGCAGCUAGAUAUAUGUUGGUAUCAUAUAACUCAUUUAGUUGGUAGAGUCGCAUCUGGAAUUCACCAAGGGUUGUUUGUUAAAUGCUGCUAUCAGGCUCUAUUUUGAUUGCCUGAUGGGACAAACAUAAAUUUUUAAUAGGCAUUGUUUUGCCAGUCACCACUAAAUUUAUUUAUGAUGUUUCUAGAAUCCACUGAGACUUCGGUCCGUGCAUCAAAUGAAUUGACACCUUGAUUUCUUUUGACAGGCAAUACAGACGCCAUUCAGAAGCUACCUUUCUGACAUGCUUGGUCUUGUGAGUGCAUUUGUUUCUCCUAAUCAUUUCGUUUCUUUCCAGUUAUGAUUAAUCACUUGACCAUAAACUUCUCGUGAUACUGUUUUUUUGUCCAUACUUGUUUUCUGCUUCCUUAUACCAGCAUAUCUUAUCGGUAAAGGAUCUUGAUUGCAUGGGACUUGCUAGUUUCUUGCUCUUGUGCAUAGUCUAUGCAGCUUGUGCUUCUUGCUCUUGCAUGGUAGUUAACAAAAAAAAGAUGUAAAGAUAAACCUUUUCAGUUUGGAGUUUUCUUAUUACCAUUGUCCAGUAUAUUUGUAUCAUCAAUUGUAGGAGGACAUGAAAGCAUAGUAUUGUUGUCACCUUUGAUAUUGAUGAAUGGUGAUCAACUGAUCAUCUAAAGGAGAAUCAGUCUAACAAUGUAAUGGAUUUGUCUUGUGACUUUGUUGUUUACUUGUUUUGAUUUCACUUGUUUCAUCACCUGUUGUCUGUAGAAUGUGUCAUCAAUGUAUUAAUCGAUGAUGGUAUGUCAGUAUAUGGCUGAAACCUAUGCAUUGAAGGCACUUUUCCAUUAAAUGUUGUUAAGAUUCAACCUUAAUUGAAUAUUUUAUAGUACUUCCACUUAAUCAUAUCCAAUUGGAAAUAUUUCAUGGUAAAAUCAUCCCUCUAUGGCUGUUUUUUGAUGCAUCUGUAUUGCAUUGCAGGUGAAAAAGGAGAAAGCAGAGCGUGAAGCACUUGGAGCACUUCCCCUGUACCAGAGAACCAUCCCAUAAAACGCUUUCUUUGUUACUUAUGAUCUAACAAUGAACGCAAUAAAAUGCAGCAGCUGAUACUGUAAUAUGAUACUGUAGUAAAAUGUUACGGUCGAUGGAGCCUUGUAUAUUUAUGAACGCUUGAAUGAACUGGGAUAUCGUUACUGAAGUCCGCUCGGUGCUACUGUUGAGUACAGUUUUGUGUCAAUUAUUUUCAAAUUAGUUGAAUGACUGAAUUGUACCUGAAGCGGAUCGCGAAAUCAUGUACUCCAGUGGUGUAGUGCAUGAUGAGCAAUCGUGUGCUAAUCAAAGCUGCUACUUCGUGCUAGAACUGCAAUGACAGAAUGGGAGUACCAGAAUUGGAGACAUUGGCUGUCUUCCAAGUUUGGGUGUGCGAUGCAAUAUCAACAUGCAGUGUAAAGGAAUUCUUCCUGUAUUCCGUAGAAAAGAAGGAAAGUAAGUUCCGUGUGUUUUUCACUGCUUGACCCGGUUAAAAGUUGUGUGUUAUACAAAAGAACUAAAAAUUGAGUUAGAGUUCCGUCAUUUGCUGAAGCAGGGAUGCAUUAGAGGCUUGGGCAUGAGCUCCGCCAUUUGCUGAAGUAGGGAUGCAUCAGAGACUUGGGUAUGACUCUGAACCUUCUCCGUUUAGAUGGAUUCUGAAACCUGGAAGGCUGGAACUAGUAGAAGGUUAAACCACCUCUCCAGUCUCCACCACCAGUCCACCACUGGUCCCGUGUGUUCCCAAGUUUUUUAACUUUUGAAACUUCACCAACUUCCCCUUUGUACAUGUUACCUUUAACCCAGGUACUGAGAUGUGUCUGGCAUCUGUCCGAGUCUUUUGUGUUUGCAAGAUGCUGAAGAAGACCGCAGAAACUCCAAAUCCCAUAAAAGGCAUGUUUGUACCCAUCUGCAAAGUAUGUGAACAGGAACUAGCUUUGGGUUUUGGAUCCCUGCUACUGUCUGAAUGUGCACAGUGUGUACACCACGCAUGUGACUACCUACUGCAACUGCAUAUGGCUGGUAAAUCUUGCAGAACCUCUCAGCAUGUACACACAUGAUACACCACAAAGAAGAUUGUCCAUUGCAGUUCCUUCAAAAAAAAAUUAGACACCAUUGUCAUUAAUCUCAUCCUAAUCCACACCUUCCUACCUACCUGGCUACCUACACUUACAUAUAUGCUCUUUUGACAGUGAGUUUAUCUGGCAUGAUUGGAUGCUCAUACUUUUCCAUAUGUCCAUCCCCAAAUGAUUGGCUUUUCUGAGUGGAUGAUAUGUAGCUUUCACAGCCCUGGAUAGCCUCCAUAAGUGGAUCGCAAGCAGGGUCCUCCCCCAACCUCCAUUGUCCCGGCACUCCAGCAGUGACCACCAUGCCAUGGCGUGCACAUGAUCAGGAUCAGCCAGCAGCCUCAUCAGCUGCCGUGAGUGAGUGAGUGACAGAGACUGUGAGAAAGUGAAAGGGCCCCCUCUCCCCCUGUGCACCAUGCAUGGUACAGUCCUAGCAGCAGCCUUUUUGGAGGACAAACAUUGUUGCAUUAUUGUCUGUGUCUCCUAGGCCAUUGGCCUCUUCCAGCCAUUGUAGACAAACGCCAUAAAACGCCUGCUCCGGACUGGAUCGCAUACGCGUACCUGAAUUCGGCCGACGCCGUUGUGUAUGUGGCCAAUGUUUGCUUCUUUUUUUUUGGUUUCUUGCAGUGCAUGCCACUGUAAAUUUGAUUGUUUGGCAGAUUGAAACACCAUCAAAUUUUUCCUAUAACUUAGGCCGUGUUUGGAAUGCUGAAGUCAAUUUUUUUUUAAAAAAUAAAUGUGAGAAACCCUGCAGGAAAGAGAUUUCAACAAGACCAAAUGGGCACCGUGUUGAGUGUCAUGUGACUGACCCUCUCAUUUCACAAUAAUGUUUCCAAAGAAUCCAAGCUGACGCUGUAUUAUAGACAAUAAUCCGUGCCCAUCUUUUGCCGCCCACCAAUAGUGGUAGGGCAUGAGCCAUCAUUUUGUGGAUGCAAGUAAUUUGGCGACGUGAUCACAGCUGUGGACUUGGGAUCAUGGCGCCUAAUUAGGUUAUUAUGCCCCUUUGUGCGUAGAGGAAAGAUGCCCCUUUGCUGUGGCUCAUGAGCAAUGCAUUUGCAUGAUGGGAGAUUAGAAAAUUUUGUUUUUCUUAACUAAAGGGUGCUGCAGCAUGAUUGGGAUAUCACAGUAGCACUUGCAAGGAGCUAGCAUUAAGUUCUCAUUUUAAUCAAAAGCAACAAUUGAUUGCUUGUUUAGAAACAUUUGGAAUGCAAUAAGAAUAGAGGGGGGGAAAAACUCCCAUGCAAUUUAAAAUAAUUUCAUACAAGCAUCCAACCGUACGAAAUUCCAAACAUCUCUUGACCACAUAAAGUAGGAAUGUCAGGCAGGUGAAUUUCCAAACAUCUUCUCAAUUUAAUAUAAUAUUAUGACCUUAUUCCCUUUCCUGACAACCCUAAAGAUUCCCAGCAUGGUGCCCUCGAUUUUCUUUCAUUUUCAUUCCAAAUUUGUCUGCAGCAUUGCCUCAUCAGGAGUCAGGAGCAUCUCUCGCUCAACAAAACAGAUGCAUGCUGGUGGUAGGAAGAUCGAAGGGUACACUUUCUGGGCUUGGCGUGAGUGGACAAAUCCACACCCGCUAGCUAAGCAACCGAGCAAGAGCAACCCAUGUGAGGCUUCUUCCCUUCCCUCCGUCCACACACCUUUCUUGCGUGGCAAAGUGACAUGCUGAGCUCAUGUGAUGGUGCAUGGGGGAAAUAGUUUACAAAUCUUUGGGCAAAAAGUGGCCUGGCUGAAAAAUGCAUGAGAGAAAAGUGGCUUUUGUGCAAAGGCAAAUGUUUGGGGGUAUGGUUUGUAUGGAAAGAAAAUGGAAAUGAACUUAGCAAAGGUACAGUGAAUUUUCAUGAGUGCCAACAUCAUAGAAUCAUACAUGGGAUGGCUCACCUCCAUCCAUGGAGUAUCCUUUUGAUGGUUAUGGUAGUGCCCUCACAAAGUUGCAUUGGCGCAAUAAUGUUGGCGAGAUAGCGCAAUAAUAAUGCGGUUUUUGUUAGGGGGUGUUUGGGAACACCCUAUUAAAGUUUAACACCUAUCACAUCGGAUGUUUAGAUGCUAAUUAGGAGUAUUAAACAUAAGCUAAUUAUAAAAAUAAUUGCACAGAUGGAGUAUAAUUCGCGAGACGAAUCUAUUAAGCCUAAUUAGUCCAUGAUUUGACAAUGUGUUACUACAGUAAUUAUUUGCUAAUGAUGAAUUAAUUAGGCUUAAUAGAUUCAUCUCGCGAAUUAGCACAGGGUUCUGCAAUUAGUUUUAUAAUUAGCUCAUGUUUAAUCCUCCUAAUUAGCAUCCGAACAUCCGAUGUGACACUGUUAAAGAUUAGCCUCCCGUAUCAAACACCCCAUUAGUUGAGUUGAGUUGUGUGAGCACCGCACACAAUAGUAAUGAUUUGGAUUUUAUUUUUAAUUUGCAGUGCAUGAGUAAUAAUUACUUGGAGAAAGAUGAAUGGAUUUAGGUAUUUGGGAAUGGAUUCCACCUGGUCCUUUUUGCUAUGAUUCUGUGGCUUUGGGAAGGGACGCAGCUUCUGGAACAAGCAAAUCGAGCAACGCAUGAUGAGUGGUGAAGCUUCUGCUCGACAAAACUCUAGUAAGUUUCCAAAGUUGCAAGUCUCCUUCAAAAGGCAGCGGCAGAGGAGGGAAAGAGGCAGUGUCAGAAGUAACCCAACAAGUUUUAGGAUGGAUCAGGCUUGUGCUGGGCCAAAGAAAGGCUGUUUUCUUUUGGAGCCUAAAACGUUGUAACUUUUUUUUUACGUCAGUAGAUAAAAUAAUUGAGUUUAACAUUACCCAUACUCCCUCCAUCCCUAAAUAACUGUCACUUUUGAUUUCCGUGCUACAAGUUUAACUGAAUUUGUAGAAAAUACGUGCACCAUUUGUAUCUUCAAAUAAAUGUAUUAAAAAACUAGAUUCAAAUAUCUAUCUAAUGAUAUUAAUUUUGUAUCAUAAAUAUUAAUAUUUUUUUAUAUAUAUUUAAUCAAAGUUGUUCAUCGGGAACCGAAAACGAUAGUUAUUCAGGGAUGGAGGAAACACGUAUCACUGCCUCAUUUUUAUCACGUCAGAUGGCGAAAUUAGACCCAUGAUGCCGCCAGUUGCUGAUUCAGGGCGACUGGCAUUCACUCCAAGGUAGAGUGAGUUGAGUCAGAGGCGAAUCCAUCAUCUUUGGAUUCCUGAACGCAAGCUUCAAUUUUAUCCUAUCGCGGGUGAAAGGACAACAUGGUUAAUGCCUGAGUACCUGACAGUGGGUCCCACCGGAAGCCAAUGAUGGGUAAUGGUAAUGGUAGAGGUUCUUGGCUUGCUGCUGCAGUGCAGGCCUGCAUUGACUGGAUGUUCCUGUAGCAUUGACCACUGGUAUCCCGAGAGAAGCCGAGACCGAACGAGGCCGGCCGAGGCAGAAUGUAAUCUUAUGAUUACUACUGAUACAGUAUUUGCAAGGUUUCCAUGGGCUCAUGUUAAACACCAGUGUGGGCACCUUCUUGAAGUGGCCGUUGCGCUCGAGUACUUAGCAUUUAAGCUCUCCAUCUCAAAUUAUUAUUUAUUUUGAUUUUUUAGAGUUAAAACGAAUAAUAAUUUCGGACGGAGGAGUAAAUGGAAACGCUAGGUACUAACUCCGAAUGGCUGCUGAUCCAACGUGCUGAGUGUGCACAUUGCCUAUGUUUUGCGUAAAGAGUAAAUAUCAUCAACAGUUAUUAAAAUUAUCUUGAGUUCUCAUCCCGAUCCGGUACUGUCAUAGGGAUUUUAAACUAAGUUCAAUCUCAUUCAAAUUUUUAGUGGCUAUGGACUUGGAUGAGAGCUCGUGACAAGUUUAGAAACUACUAUGUGUAUUUAGAGAGUACCGUCACCGGUACGAGAGUUCGGGAUAGAUUUAAGGACCAUGAUGAGAGCUUAGGACAAAUUUAAAGGUGUCACGUGUAUUUUGAGAAUAUCAGGAUCGGGAUGAGAAUUUGGAACAGGAACUGUCCAUAAAAUUUUCUUUUCGCAAAACUUGGUCGAUGCAUACAACUCAAAGAGAGAGUCGGCCUUAGCUCAUGUAACUUAUCAAACGAAUAAACAAAGUUGCUGGCUAAGAUGAUGAGCAGAAUUCCGUAGUGAUAAUAAAGCAAGUAAAAUACAUGUCCUGAUGAGGAAAAAACCAUGCUCAAGCAUUGGCCCAUGCAUGGUCCAUCUCGGCCGUUAUAUCUUUCUGGAUCACAAUCUUUUGGCACUAACCAGACACACACACAGGCACACACGCAGCAUAAAGGGCCUGUUCGCUUCAGCUUAUUCAGCCGGCUUAUCAGCUAUCAAAUAGUGUUUUCCUCUCACAACAAAUCAGUCGUUUCAGCUUUUCAGCCGGCUUAUAAGCUGAAGCGAACAAGUCCAAAAAGGGUAAAUAAAAGGGCUUUUGGUGAAGCCAAAGCUCAUCAACACAGCAAAGGCUAGGAGGAGUACAAUCACUCUCGUGAUUCGUGCUACUCCGGUGCACGUAACGCACGCCCAUGUUCACCCACACGGUCUUCCCUCUCGUGCGUGUGGGCCCGAUCAAGUCAAACAUAGAGGCCCACAUGUCAUCCCCCGCACGCCCUCGACAGCCGUCCACCGCAUGUGCUGCCGCCUUCACCCGAGCGAAUCCAAUGCUCCGGCCCCGGCACGAGGCGCCCCUCACGUGGGGCCCGCCCGCUGACAGCAGUGGCCAGUGGCUGGCACGCUCGCUCGCGGGCAGGCUGCAGCGGCGGAAGGGAUAGACACACGGCAGCUCAGCUAGCUUUGUUCGUGACAGGUAGGACCGUAUGAUGAGCGGGACCCACACGUCAGUGGGGAGCGCGCGAAACUAGUGCCUGUGACGAGUGCACGGGCGCGGGGGGCAGGGUCGGACCGGGACGUGUCGCUGGGCACGGGUGGCGCCACAGUGGACAAGACAGGAGGCCGGGGCCCGCGCACCACCACCUAGAGCUGCAGAAAUGCUAGGGGCACCCCGUCGGUCGCCACAAGCCGGUCUCGUUGGCUUGAACUUCGAAAGAAAAAGAAAAUAGUCCCAUUCUGGACGAUGAAUUUCGCUUGAAUUUACUUUCUUAUACGGAGCAGAAUUUCACGCGAGACGGCCGUUCCGUCAGGAUUUGUAUUGUUAAAUUUAAUACUUUUAUUUGCUCACACAUGACAAUGUAGGCUUGCAGAUAAUUUAAGGAAUUUGUAAGAAUGCAAGUAUGCGAUUUGCUCAUCUCAGAAAAAAUAAAGAAUGCCUUUUUUAAGAAAAAUAUUGACAGAAAAGAGAAGAAUUACGAGUGUAGUAGCAAAGAAGAAAUUAUUAACAUUGCUGUGAUCAUACCUACUAGCAGCCUAGCACUGUUUCAUCCUCAGCACCCUAAAAAUCUUGUUCUCAGGGAUUUUUCUAAUUUAAGAUUAUGUUGGCAUCUUGGUAAAGUGCAAAAUACCAUUUAAUUAGUAACAAACCAUUCGAUUUUAGCUCACGAUACGCAUUGAUCAUAUCUUUUUUUUAAAAAAAAUAGUACUAGUUCAUCUUGAAAAGAGUUUUUUUUUACACUUGUUUUGGUCCAUCAGGAUUUUGAACAUAGAACUAUAGAAGUGACGGAUCACACUGCUGCUCGACGACGGAUUGGUGCAUAGUUCCAUGUCAUCCUGUUCCACAUGGCACACAUGUCGGCCUGUCACCAAACUAUUCGGCAAGAGUCUUGUCACCCUGUCAUCAAGCCGUGCCACUUGUUGCAUCCCACGUGGCACUCCAGUCCAGCUUGCCAAAGUAUAGGUUUACAUGCCUCUUUUUUCAAACAUAAACAUUUUUUGCUGCAAGAAAAAGAAAAACUGUUUUUUUUUUUAUGACAAAGGCGGUGUUUACACUUCAGAGUAGGAAAUUUUCAAAACGCUGCCUGCACGUAAUGUCGUUGGAAGCAUUUUUCCCAGCACUCCCUCCUCCAUCUGAUUGGCCCUCACCUUCACGCGGGCCCCACACGUCAGCGUCGCAGACCUCACUCGUCGGCAUCCACGCUGUGCGCCUAAAUAAUUCGCGAAUCAUGGAGCACGGGGAGGGGCAGUUUCGUCCAUGAACCCAAAAUUGAAGCUCGGAAACGGCAAAAGCCAUGGCGAGUAGCGCAGGCUUGCAGGCCGACCAGUCUCUCCUCCGCCCGCUUCCCACCGAGCUCGCCACUGCACACUCCCCCACUCGGCCACUACCCAGCAGUAGCAGCAGCCUUGCGAGCUCACGGGAGGCCGCGAGGCCCCCUGCACCCCCUGCAUUCUCCCCGUAUUCGCGGAUCGCCCCUCGCCGCAGCAGGCGUGUGGGGGCAUUUCUGUUAGGGAAAAGGGCGCUCUUGAAUUUUUCGAGUGAGGGGAGGGGGCGAGAGGAAAAAGAAGGCGCCGUUGCUGUCUUCACUUUGCUGGGCGUGGCUGAGCUGAGCGCCUGAGCGGUGGGAGGAGACAGCGUGCUGCGGCCGCGAGUGUGGGGAGCGCAUGGCGAGGGCGCGCGGCGGCGGCCCCGCGUCGUGGGUGGUGGCUGUUGCGGCGGCGUGGGUGCUGUGGGUGGCCGCGGCGGCGGAGGCCAGGUCGCCGGCGGGGAGGGUGCACCGGCACCUCAAGCGGCUCAACAAGCCGGCCGUCAAGAGCAUCGAGGUGGGUGGCGCCUACUCGUCCGUGGAGCUUGAAAUGAUGCUCUUUCUUUUGAGUUCUCAUUGAGCUAUGUGCUGAUGAGUUCUGAAGAAAUGGUUGCAAAAUGGGAGUUCGAAUUCAAAAUGGGGUCUAUUUGCAGCCAGAUGCUUUGGUUGGGAGAUGUGUUCUUGGGGCUAAUGUUUUCUUUUCCCCCAUGUUUUCUUGGUUUGCUACUUUAUCUGCAUUUUGUAGGAUUCGAGGCAGUUUCAGUGAGAAGUUGCAUUGCGUCCUCAUUAUUCAAUAAUGAAAAAGGCUGCCUUUUAUCUGAUUCUUUUGGUUUUGGGCUAUCCUCGCUGGUAAAUUUUCGCUUUCACUUUGGAGAAUUGUUUUAAAAAAGUUCUCGCCUUUUAGAGGUAGGCAAUGCAAAUUCAAGCGAACUAGAGCAGAAAAAGAUGAAUGGUGAUUGCGGACAGGCUGGCUCUUGCAAAGUCAUAUUCUCUGAUUGAAAAGGGGCAAAGCCUUGAAUUUCUGAACAUUUUGCUUCCUGCUUGAGUUUCAGAGUUUCUGAGCUCAAAGAAUUUGCAGAGUUCUACAAUGCCAGCUUAAUGUUGCAUAUUUGAUAUUUUCUUCUUUAUUUUCUCCUUAAAAGUUGCAAUCCUGAAGCUUCAUUUUGAAUGAAGUAGACAUUUUGAAAAACCAAAGUUGACAUGAGCAUUGCUUUUGGCUAGAGCAGUGCCUUUUCCAUCUGACACUGAUAGAAGUUUUAUUCCUCAGAGCCCAGAUGGAGACAUCAUCGACUGCGUGCCCAUCUCCCACCAACCAGCCUUCGACCAUCCUCUCCUCAAGAACCACACAAUACAGGUGAGUCAGCAGCCAACCUCUCAAAUCUUUUCAGGAAGCAAAACAAACCUAUAAAUGGUUAAUUUGUGCACUCACUAUUUUAAACCUGCCCAAAAUCUCUAUCCUUGCAGUUUAGGCCAGCCUACCACCCUGAAGGUCUAUAUGAUGAUGUCAAGAGCAGCAUAGGCUCGAACAAUGCCAGAGAGAAGCCAAUGCUCCAAAUGUGGCAUCGAAAUGGCAGAUGUCCAGAGGGCACGGUUCCAAUCAGGAGAACCAAGAAGGAUGACCUGCUCCGAGCGAGCUCCAUGAGGCGCUAUGGCAGGAAGCGGCAUACUGCUCCGAACCCACUGUCUGUUGAUCCUAACAUGCUCAGUGAGGGUGGUCACCAAGUACGUCCACAUGGUUUAUCUUGCUGAGAUUGAAGAGCUUGGUUACAUUGACAUGUUCUGAUUACUGAACUGUUGUCAUUGUGGAAUUCAGCACGCGAUAGCGUACGUUGAGGGUGACAAGUACUACGGUGCGAAGGCCACAAUUAAUGUGUGGGAGCCCAAGAUUCAGCAGGCUAACGAAUUUAGCCUGUCCCAGCUCUGGAUCUUGGGGGGUUCAUUUGGGGAGGAUCUCAACAGCAUAGAGGCUGGUUGGCAGGUACUGUAAAGAAGCUGACUUCUUAAGUUGUGUCAAGUGAAUGCUGACCAUUUUCGCGGUCGCAUACAACCCGAAGUGUGUGCCUUAUCAUUUAUGUGAUGUUUGGUUCAUCAGGUUAGCCCUGACCUCUAUGGAGACAACAACACUAGGCUGUUCACAUACUGGACUGUAAGUCUCACAAAUUCAGUACCUUGUGCUUAAAUAAUUAAUGUGUUUCAGUACUUGAUUGGCAGACAUUCUUGCCUUGAUGUAUUAACUCUGACUGCUGCAUCGCUUUCCUAUUGUGUAUUUUGCAGAGCGAUGCAUACCAGGCAACAGGGUGCUACAACAUCUUGUGCUCGGGGUUCAUUCAGAUCAACAGCGAGAUCGCCAUGGGGGCGAGCAUCUUCCCCAUCUCGAACUACGCUGGCUCCCAGUACGAUAUCAGCAUCCUGAUCUGGAAGGUGAGCAUUAAUCAAUUAAAUUAAUCAUCAGGCCUCACCACAUUAGUGCCUUCAGAAUCAGCACACGAACCACAGGGCCAGAGAAUCUCUGCCCACUUGGUACAAAAAUGCUCCUGCCCAUGCUCACACCUAGUGUUUCAAAAUGGUUUCCUCCAAACCACAUGCACAGCAUAGUUAAGUACCUUUUGAUUUAUCAUUUAUCUAAAGAUUCCAAUUUGUGUGCCCUUUGAGCUGCAGGACCCAAAGGAAGGCAACUGGUGGAUGCAGUUUGGCAAGGAGUAUGUCCUCGGCUACUGGCCAUCCUUCCUCUUCUCCUACCUUGCCGACAGUGCUUCGAUGAUCGAGUGGGGUGGUGAGGUGGUGAACUCGGAGCCUGAUGGUGCGCACACAACGACCCAGAUGGGCAGCGGGCACUUCCCCGAGGAAGGGUUCAGCAAGGCGAGCUACUUCAAGAACAUUCAGGUGGUGGACAGCAGCAACCAGCUGAGUGCCCCAAAGGGGGUGGGCACCUUCACCGAGCAGUCCAACUGCUAUGACGUUCAGAACGGUAACAAUGGCGACUGGGGCACCUAUUUCUACUACGGUGGCCCUGGCAAGAAUUCAAAUUGCCCAUGACUACUUCUAGUGUGUAGUGUGAGUGCUGUCACCAUGAAAAAAAUGUAACCAAGCAUUCAAGUGUGCAAUACAGCGUUGAUCUGCAUCUUGUUCCCUCCUAGGUAGUGUGUAACAUGUGCAUGUGCCUUAGACCCUAGUGAUUUUUUUUUCCAUCUUUUUUUUCUCCCAUGUGCCAUGUAAAGUUUCUGAAGAGAAGAAGCAUGGGCUGGUGAGUGACCUCUCGGAUUUUGCACUGUCACCUUCACCAAGUAUUUUGAAUGUGUGCUAUAUAGCUUAUUGGCUGAUGGUAAUGGUAUUGAGCUUAUUGCAUCCAGUACCCUACACCAUUCUUUUCAUGCAUCAAUCCUCCCUGUAAGUAUAUGCGGAUUCUACACUUUAGUGUUGCUUUUAAUGUAGAAAGUAGAAACAAAACCUCAAUAGUACGGGCACGGGCAGCCUGGCCCAGCCCAAACACAAUGUGCGCUAUGGCCCAUUAGAUACAGCCCAUGUAGACACAUCCAGUACCGUCUCACACACAUUAUCAUGCCAGGGUCUAGCCCAGACUAUGCUGGACUGGCACACAUGCCAUAGCAUAAUUAGCCUAGCGGGCUGUCAAGGCCCAUCUGGCAGAAAAAAAUAGAAGAAGAUCGACAAAAUCCGAAAAAAAUCCAUUUAUAAAAAAAUGAGGGACUACUUAAUCAUCUUUUAAAAAAUAGAUUUCAGGCCGACCAACAGGUAGAAGACAUAUUCAAUUGUUAUUCUGUUACGAAUCGGCUGAAGUUCUCUUGUUAUUCCUGUUAAUACCGUUGCGGCUAAAAUGCACUAAUAACAGGGCAUGUACUACUUUCAAUCGGUAUCCACGCGAUAGUUCCAAAAUGUUUUGGAGGAUGGACGAACUAAUUCACAUCAUCCCAGAUGCAACAAAUGCCAUACAGUACAGGUAUGUACCAAACGUUAAGCAACACAUUAACUGUGGUAAACAUGCGUAUGGCUCAUCUCACAAGUUAAUAAGUUCAACACAUUCAGUGCGGUAAACAUGCAUAUCGUCCAUCUCAGCAGUUAGUAGGUGCGAUCUUCUCAGCAGGUACAAAGGCAGCAACAGCAAGAAAAAGAAAAAAGGGUCUAUCCAUCAAAAACUUCUACUCUCAUAGAAGCUAUCCCAGCCAAGGUCAUCGGCAGCAUACCCAAGGGCUCCCAGCAGGAACUCCUGCACCUCCUCCGCCUGUUCAUCCUCAGUCGUCUGCUUCACAGAGGCAGAUACUUGCUCCGGAGGCCCUGGGAGACAGUGUUAAACACCGGGAGACAAAAAGCCGGCACCGAGACGCGCAGAUGUUGCUGAGUGGUAGUGCUCAGCAAGCCUGCUGAGGUCUGCCGUUAAAUCUUGCCUCUGAUGUUGCUCUUGAUCUAAAACUCAUGAUGCAUCCCAUUCCCAAUACAAAGCUCUUCAAGAAUCGCCAUCGAAUUCUAGUUACGAUGCUAUUCAGCAUACUCGCCAUUUCAGACUAAAGGAGGUAUGAAUUUUAUUUUCAGGCUGUAGCCAUCGAUUAAGCAGGUGAUCUGUUACUUCCUCAAAGGAUGCAGUUUUAUAGGCAUCCAUCAUAAAUUCAGCUUUAUGUUCUCAUCAAUUCACCCACCGAGCAGUGCGUGCACGUACAUACAUUUUUUUUGGGACAAUGAGAGCAAGUAACAUAUGCAUAUGUACACUUGGUACAAUUUCUGAGUUUGCACAUUGUUGACAUUGUUGAGUUUGAACGAUAGAAAAAGGACCAAUGCGAAAUGAAGAAAUGAUCAGGGAUACUCUUGCUAUAGCUCCCUUGUUUGAGGGACUCCGUCAACUAGGUGGAAAACAAAAUUUUAGCUCUAAAUGUUGGUCUUGGUGUGCCGUAAGGUUCUUAUCUUGAUUGCAAGUACUGCUAAUUGUUGCAAACCAUAAGAUUUCUUGUUACUUUACAUAGCAAGAUCACUGACACCCCGAAGGAAGAACAGGAAAGUUACCCUACCACACCAUAGGUGUAAAGAAUGGCAAAUUGGCAAUGGUAAGAUCUACUGGUGUGGUGCCUUGGCAGAGGACAGAGCCACACAGGCCGGGGGUGCUGCACAAGAGGUAGGCAAGGAGUGAAGGAGCCCUCUUGCAGUGGUGGUUGGUGUCAGCCCUCUUUGCGCCAUGUGUGUCAGCCCUCUUCCAUCUAUCUCUAAUCCUGUCGAAACCUCGGCCAAGGGUCGAAGUUUCCAAACUUAAUCUUCAAUUCCUAUUGUUAGUUAUUUAAUGUCGUUCAUACCAUUGUUCUUUUUAGUAGUAAGAACCAACUCACAGGGCACGCUGAAAAACCAGUACAUGUCUUAUUUCAUACAUUAGUUAACCACACAAAGACACAGCGCCUUUUGAUUCUUUCUCCGUUGAAAAUUACAGAGACUCUAGGCAGGGACAACUGUUAGAAUAUCAUACAAGAUGGAGAGAAAACAGUCUGAUACACAUUUGGAGCAAUCUGCUGAUGAGCAAUCUUACUCUGCUGAUGAGGCAUGUAGUAUGUGUCGUGAUAUCCUUAUCGAAGAAAACAUGCCGUGAUAUACCUCAUCAAAUCCCAUGUAAUCCUCCACUGACUGAGGUACCCCAGAUUCCCAAUCUCCAAAUGCCACAAAACCAGCACCAUCAGGUACUACCUUGCUCGUCUUGUCAACCUCAUUGUUGAGCGAAAACUCCUGACGUAUCCUAUCCCCACUAGAAACCUGUUCAUGGGGGUCGCCAUCCAAUUCCCGUUGCCAACAUGCUAUUCAACACACUCAUCGCCAACCAUGGUUUCAGCCUAUAGCCAAUGAGUACCAAAUGAUGGGGUGUGAAUUUUGUUUUUCAGAUGUUGCCUCUUCUGAACCAGGUGAACUUUCUCCCCCUCCAAGGGUGUAGCUUUAUAGGUUUAACUCAUAAAUUGAGGCUCUCGUCUUUCAUUGAUUGAUACCCAUCAGGUAGCUACAUUGACAACAUGCAUGAUGCAUGUAGACAAGUACACUAGCUAUUAAUAUAUUUUUUUCUUGCUGGUUUAUGAUGUAACACUAGCAUUUAUGACGUACGUGAUAUUAGCAAGAUGCCUAGUCUCAGUCAAAGAGUAUGCCUCUUUUUUACUUUAACACGGAGCACAAUCAGUUAAAAACAAAAAAAAGAACCAUUGUAUAGUCUUGGAAUCAGAAUACAUGUGUGGAAUAAAACACAUAUGCAUCCUGAUCAUCACACUUACAUAUUGUCGUCUGAUUUUUGUAUUUUUAAAAAUUAUAUAAAAUAGUUAAAACACUUGUGAGAUUAAGAUGAUUUCAAACCUAAUAAUGAGCUAACGGCGCAAUUUCAGCAUUCAAGCAAAUCAUAGUUUUAUAGUAAUGCCCACAUGUAUCGUAAUUUCAGCAUUUACGCUCUCAUCUCGAUUCACCCACUGGGCGCACACACUGAGAGAAUGACCAACUAUGAGAGAAAUUCUGCUACUUUUAUUUUAUUUAUCUAUAAAUGAUAUCUCUUAUGUCAAUAAGACCAAAGGGAUGGAUAUUAAAUGAUAGGAAGGGCUAGGAAGUGAAAUAGAAUGAAAUAGAGCCACUUUAAGCUUCCCUAUGAAACGAGGCAUGGAACGGAGCCACUGAAGAAAUUCCGGGAGUUACGAAAGAUUUAUCCAGCAAAACACGGGCACGCUGCCCUGCAAUCACAGGGAAUCUACAGAUGAGAUACCGCAUUAUUUGGAUUUUAAAUAACGAAUUGUGCAAUUAUAUUCCUAACGCAUCUAGUGAAACACAAUGGAAAGAGGCCUGGGGGAGAGUUAAGUUAUGCCCUGCAAUAACAUGAUGCUCACCUUCUUGAGUUUGAACGAUAUAGAAAACAUGCAAGGAUGUGAAACGAAGAUACGAAUAAGCACCAAUGUGAAUUGAAGAAAUGAUCGAGAAUACUCUAUUAUAGCUAGAUCCGUUGUUUCACCGACUUUGUCAAUUAUGCAAAAAAAACACACUUAAUUUAGCUCCAAACAUUGGCCGGUCUUGGUGUACUGAAGGUUCUUAUCUUAUUUGCAGGUAAAGAGCCCUCUUGCGGUGGUGGUGAGUGCUCUCUGCAACUGCAACAUGCAUCACCCGGCCUCCCAUAGAAUUGAAGAAACCUUGACCCAAAGAUGAACCAGCUUAUUCCAAACUUAAUCUUCCUUGUAGCAAAAGUGCCCGCAUAUAUGUUGCUAUUAAUCGGAGCUAGGGAUUAAAUAUUUUAAUGGAGCUUUCACGGCCCUUUCAUCGGGUCCGGCGAAAUCAUCUCUCAAAGCUUGAUUCCAUCAUCUCACUGGAGCUGAUCCGAUGCCAUUCUCGGCUGGCUUCCUGGCUCCGCCGAGAUGCAGACGGGUUCCAAAGAGUUUACCAUCCUCUGCAUGUGGUACAGGCCGAGGGAACCCAAAUUCCCAAUCUCAAAAUACGACAACACAGAGGCACGCUACAGUAAGAUUCUCAGCCACUGCCUGUCAUGAUGAGUCUUGAAGUAAUACUCCUGAUGCAUCCGAUCCCCAUUAGAAACCUCUCCAUCUUUUUCCCCGUGUGCCAUGUAAAGUUUCUGAAGAGAAGAAGCAUGGCUUUAGGUACGGUGGUGGUGCUGGGCUGGUGAGUGACCUUGACCUCUGCAGAUUUUUUGCAAGUCUGCUUACUGGUCAUCUUCCCCAAGUAUUUUGAAUGUGUGCUAUAGCUUAUCGGCUGAUGGUAAGUGCGUUGUGCUUGUUUCGCCCAAUACUCUACAUCAGUCUCUUCAUAUCUCAAUCCUCCCUGGAAGUAUAUGAAAGCAUCGCCCAAAACCGGUUUAUACACUUUUGGUAUUUUCUGGCAAUGGCAGCCUGGCCCAGAGCAGGCACAAUGGUGCUGUGGCCCAUUAGGCACAGCCCACGUGUACAUGCGCACAUGCGUGCAGUCUCAACCCACACUAUGCUCACACGCAGGCCACAUCAUAAUUAGCCCAGUGGGCUGUCAAGGCCAAUCUGGCAGAAAAAAAUUUAGAAAGGAUAAACAAAAUCGAAAAAUCCAAUUGAAGGUGAGAUGACUACUUUUUAAUUUUUUGGAGGACUAUUUAAAUCAUUCGAGUGUUGUUUAGAUAUUUUGAUUUAUCAUUCUAGUUUCUACUAAGUCAAAUCAUCUUAAAUUUGACCAAAUUUAUGAAGAAAAACAUUGUUAUUUAAAACAAUAAAUAGGUGUAGUAUGAACAAAUAUUUCGAGAUGAAUAUAAUGGUAUCAUAAAAUAUUUGUACUUUCUUCUUACAAGUCACAUGCUCAGCCAUCACCGACUGACUGAUGUUUCUUUGUUGGCUCCAACUCUUGAGCUCACUCGUCUAAAAUUCUUGAUGCAUCCCAUGAGUUCAUCAUACUUGUCAAGAGUCGUCACUAGGUUCUCUAUUCAUCAUACUUGUCAACCUUUUCAGUUUUUGGGUAGCCAUUCCGUACUAAAAGCAAGUAUAAUUUUUUUUUAAUUUUUUGGACGUUGCCACUAGCAUCACGGAGCAAGUGAUCUUUUAGUCCCUCCAUGGUUGCAGUUUUAUAGCGUGCAUCGUAAAUUCAUCUUUUACUACGCUCUCAUAGAGUCACCUAACGGGCAGCUAGUAGCUGUAUAUACACACUGAUAGAAUGAAAAGCACAAAGCUCAUGCACAAGUACACACUGGGUACAAUGUACUAAAAGUUGACAUAUUCAUGAUGCUCACCCUUCGUGAGUUUGAAUGAUAGACAGAGGGACCAAUAUUGUGAAAAAUGAUCAGGGAUACUGUUGCUAGUUCCCUUGUUCGAGCCACUUCAUCAAUUAUUUGAAAUAACUUUAGCCCGAAACAAUGGCCUUGGGUGUACCGUAAGGUUUUUAUCUUAUUUGUAGGCGCUGCUAAUUUGUUUAGACCAUAAGAUUUCUCGUAUUUUACACGUGGGAUCUAUUGGAGGGACAAAUAGAUCACUUGCUUCGUCAUGCACUUAUGCCAAUAGAUGUGUAGAAACAGAAAACUGGAUAAGUGCAUCACAAGCUGUAGAGUUGACUUAGCUUUGAGUAUUGUCAAGGCCCAUCUACCCUAUGUAGCUUGCCAUGCACUCAUGGCAAGCAAAAAAGAUGUAAGGUCAUAAAAAUCCUUUUUAAAAAGAAGGACAGAUGUGAAAUGGUUAGGGAUACUGUUUGAGGGACUUUGUCAAUUAGGGGAAAUGAUUUAAUUUAGCACGAAGUGUUGAUCUUGGUCAACUAUGAGAUUCUUAUCUUAUUUGCAGGUGCUACUAAUUAGUGUACACCCUAAGAUUUCUUGUUGUUACAUAGUACCGGGGAUGUAGUGUAGGAAAAUAAUAUCGAUAGUAACAUAGUGUACUCCCCAUCGUCGCAUGAAUAGUGCAAUUUUAGUUUUUUAGAAAGAUUAAUGGUGGCGUGAAAAUACUUUCAUAUGCCCGUAUAGGCCACAUACAGUUAAUUUUGGCAUGCGAAUCAAAUCUUACCAACUAAUUAGGCAGGUAGGGCUGCAGGUAGUUGCAGCCUAGUUCCUAGAAUUGUACUCUUUUAUGUGAUUUUUUUCAAACAUUAGGAUCGCAGUUUUCAUGGGAUGGAGGGAAAACUUUUUUAAGAAUAACAGCAAACAUAGCAUUUGUUUCAAGAGAUGUAGUGUAGGUGUAGUGUCAGCCCACUAUAUAUGCUGUCUGGGCUGGCUCACAAGCUGCAGCAUUGAUUAGCCUAGUGGACUGUCGAGCCAUCUUCCCCAAUUAGCUUGUGAUGCCAAACAGAAGAGAUGUAAGGUUGUAAAAAAUCCUUUUAAAAGGGCAAAACCAACAGAGAAGGUUGCCAAAAUUCCGAGAAAAAACAUUCGAAGGUGAAAUAUUUACUUUUUAAAAAUCUGUGGGACUACUCACGGAAGGAACAUGUCCAACCGUUAAGAAUCGGCUGAAAUGUUGUUUCAUUUCAGCCAGUUUUCCAUGUCUAGUUAUUUGUUAGUUUUUGUGUUAAACAUUGAUUAAUAUUUUUAUUGUUUGAUAGAACCCCAAAAUAGUAGGUGUCUGGCCAGCUACUGUCAUGACCUUAUCAAACGGUCAGGACAAUCUAACUGGUUAAUCAUGGAUUGUAAUUGGACAAGGUAAAAAUGUGUUAUCCUCACGAUUUAGGAUUUUGGUGCGAACUGUUUCGCAAUUUACUGGAUUAUCAGUUUUUUUCUAAUAAACAUACUGCAAAUAAACAUACAUGCGGUAGACUUGUGCUUUUAGGGUAUACACAAACUCAAGCCUCGCUUCAUGCUUUCGUGAACCUUACUGUCUAUGCCAGUUUCAGAAGCAGGCUGCCCAUAAGGGUGACACUGACAGUUAAGUGCUGCCAGCCAUCAUAUGACGCGCUGACUCUACUAAGCGGGGCUCUGAGCUUAGUCUUGAUCUAGAACUCUUGAUGUAUCCCAUCCCCAUUACAAAGAUGUUGAAGAGUUGCCACUGAAUUCUAUUUAGCCAUUUCAGACUAGAGGAGGUGUGUGAAUUUUGUUUUCUGGAUGUUGCCAGUGCUGCAUCAUCUGUAAGCAGGUGAUCUAUUACUUCCUCGAAGGGUGCAGUUUUAUAAGCAUCUAUCGCAAUGUAUUUAACUUUUGUGCCCUCAUCAAUUCACCCACCAUUAUAUAUAUGGAUUGGUACCACGCGUCAGCCCUCUUCUAUCUAACCUAUUUUUUUUUUUUGUUGAAACCUGGGCCAAAAGCCUAUCCUUCCAACUUAAUCUUCCUAUUUUUGUCUUUCAUCUCGUUCAUACUACCAAACGUUCUUGUUAGCUAGUGGUAGGAACCAACUCACAUGGCACGCUGUAAAAAACAGCACACGUCUUACUUCUCGCGUCAAUUAACGCUGAAAGACGGACCAUCGUUUGAUUUUUUUUUUUGUAAACACCAAAAAUUGCAGGAAAGCUAGGCAGUGACAACUGUUAGAAGAUAAGAUGGAGACACGAUAGUCAGAUAAGCAUGUUGGAAUCAUUCUCCUGCCUUUGUGUUACAAAUCAUCUCUAAAUAUUUACACUCCGCGAGAAGCAGAUUAAUUCCUGAAGGAGAUUGGAAUGCUCAACGCGAGUUGUAUUGAUCUCAUUCACAUGUAUCUAUAGAUGUACAUCACGUGAUCUGUGCAUCUGAAGAACUAAACGGUGUUUGAAACCAUGUGCGAUGAUGCACCGGUGUCGAAGAACCAAUCUCCGCCUCCAGGGUAGGACGCUGGAGAAGGCAUCCCCUGGAACGCGGCGAGCAGUGCCGGUGGCACGGCAGGCUGCUGGUUCAUACUGGCGAAGGGGUUGGUCGAGCCGGUGGCCACCAUGGCCUGCGACGGGCCGUUGCCGUGACGGGGGCUGAGGACGCCGGCACCCGGCGCACGCCACUGAGGCAUGGACUAGGCUUGGACAACGCCGGUCCACGGGUUGUACGCCGUCCCCCAUGACGUGGUGAAUCUAGGAUGGUAAUGGAUCAUGUCCUCGUACCUCCUUCACAAUCCAACUCAGCUCUAUCUAUUUUUAGUUUAAAAUCAUAUAAUAUUAUAGCCCGAUCCUUAUUGAACCUAAUCCUUAAAUUUGCUAGGUUAAAUUAGAAGGUCCUAUCAGCCCUAGGUGGAUCCAGUUGGGGCAGGCGGCGUGUGAGUUGGUGGAGCGGUUCUUGCCGUCAUUGUGCUUGCACCUUUUCUUGCUGGGCUUGGGGGAGUUGGAACCGGAGGCCGAGGGUGUCGGAGGCGAUGUCGCGCUGACGCACGCUGGAGGGCCAGCGGUGCUCCUGGCGAGGAGCGUGGUGUUCGCCUCCAUCUUGGCGGUGUGGACCAAGCGAGCCUCCUCCUAGAGAAGGUAGGACCGUGCCUCGAUGAAGGUCAGUGGAUCGGCGCGGUUGGAGGUGAGGACGGAGAUCGCAUGGCUGAACUUAGAGUUCAGGCCCCGCAAGGUGUUGACGACGAGUGCCGGAUUGGACACGGGGUGCCCGACGUCGGCCAGGAGGUCGGCGAGCUGCUACAGACGGCUGCAGUAGGCGGUGAUGUUCAUCUCACCUUGGAAGAGCCUGUGGAAUUCCUUCAACGCCAACGCGUAGACAGAACAGUGCGUAGCAUUGUUGAGGAAGAGGUUGCGCAUGGAGGUCUAGAGGGAGAAUGCGGUGAUGUGUGGCUGCAUGAUGAAGUUCACGAUAUCGGUGGUGACCAAUGAACAAAAUAGUGGGCUAUGGGAAUUAGCGUAGAGCUGUGUUCAACCACUAUAGCCUGCUAAUUAGAACAACACUGUUGUAGCGGCAGCUAGCAUCAACCGCUAUAGCGCCGCUAUAGCCUCGCUAUAGCCCGCUAUUUCAUACAUUAGUGAUAACCGUGGUGUAGAUCCACGGCUUGAUGCAGUCAUCGAUCUGCAACCACUCCGCAUCACUAAUGCAGAAUAGCACGUUGAUGGUGCCGUCGAUGUGGUCGGAGAGGCCGAACUUGCUGAAUUUGAGCUCGAAGAAGGUGCUCAACUGCUUGUAGUUGGACUCGUUGAAGUCCAGUGUGACCGGGAUGUGCGCCCGGAUGUUUAUGAGUUGAACUGAGGCAUAUGCACCUUUAGAGGAGGAAGAUGAUCUGUUCACCAUGGGGAAGGAGGAAGGCAGCGGAAGUGUAUGUAUGUGGAUUGGAUCGAGACUAAUCUGAUACCAUGAAGGAGAUUGGAAUGCUCAAUGCGAGUUGUAUUGAUCUUUUUAGAUAAUGGAUAAAUAAUCCGGCUUCAACCUCCUCGUAGAGGUGGAAUCAGUCCCACAAAUUAUUACACUUAGUAUGCUUGCACUACAUGCUCACAUGCAUGACUAUUGUUUAUAUCUUCAUCAUACAUGAUUAAAAAUCAAUCCGUAAACUAAAAGACCGUCCCUGGGAGGUGAAAAAAAUAAAGUGCCGAAGUCUCCAACAUCCGGCAUGCUUGGAUCGUCGUAUCCUUUUGCUCAUCAUGACACUGUAAUUGCACCCAUUGUCGGAGCCAAUAAGUUCCCCUGAAUAAGACCUGCAUAAAAGUUUUCGGUUGACAUUUAUCGAAAAUCACAUCAUUUCUCGUUAGCCAAAUUGCCAAAAGUAAAGCCACCACCCCUGUCAAUAAGUUUACGUUUGGUUUGUGUCCCCCUAUUUUAUCCAACUAUUGAAUAGAUCAUUAGUGUUAAUUGGAGGAAUAAUACCAAACAUAAUAUGUACAACCCUCCACAGGAAUCUAGCAUAAGCACAAUAAAAAAGCAAGUGCUUAAUGGACUCUUCCAUAUUACAAAAGCAACAAGAUUUACUACCAUUCCAAUUCCUUCAUGCUAGAUUAUCUUUUGUUAAUAUAACCCCAUUCUAUAAGUACCACAAAAACAUCUUGAUUUUUAAUGGUAACUUGGUGCGCCAAAUUUCCCGUGAGACUUUAAUUCCACUAUUGAUAAGAUGCUUAUACAUAGAGCGUACUGGAAAAGAUCCAUUUGCAUGUAAAAAACCAUAUAAAGGUAUCUCUUCCCUCCUGCAAAUUUAUAUUUACUAAUCUUGAUACCAGGUUAUGCCAUUCUUGUAACUUUUCACCUACUAAAGCCCUCCUAAAGGAUAUAUUUAAAGGUGCUGAGUUACAAACUUCUGCAACCAUGGUAUAUCUUCGACGAGCAAUAUUAUAGAGAGACGGGUACUGUGAUUUCAAUGUUUGGUUACCCAGCUAUAUGCCUUCCCAGAACUUAAUCUGCAUGCCCUCCUGCAACUUGAAACUACCUAAACUAAGGAACUUAUCCUUCACACUCAUGAGACCCAUCCAAAAAUGAGAGUCUCCUAGUUUCUUGUUAACUUGACCUAAAGUUUUAUUUUUAAGUACUUAUUUACCAGCAACUCUUGCCAAAUUCCAUCCUCAUUACACAGUUUAAAAAGCCACUUACUCAGUAAACACUUAUUCUGUAUAUCAAGGUUUUGUAUUCCCAUCCCUCCUUAUUCUUUUGGCUGGCACAAAACACUCCAUUUUACUAAUCUAUAUUUCUUUUUAUGUUGAUCAUAUUGCCAGAAAAAUGUCGAUCUAUAAUAAUCUAAUUUUUUGAGAACACCCCUAGGGAUCUCAAAAAAGAUAGCAUGAACAUCGGUAGGCUUGAUAGCACUGAGUUAAUCAACACUAGCCUUCCUCCUGCAGAUAUUACUUUUCCUUUCCACCCACUUAAUCUGUUCUCGAAACAUUCCUCUAUUUCCUUCCAAUUAUUAUUGGUCGGCUUUCUAUAGUGCAUUAGAAUACCAAGGUAGCGGAAGGGAUAUGAACCUAGCUUGCAUCCAAACAAACUCAAAUAUAUAGUUUCUUGUUAUUUAGCUUGACCAAAGCAGAAAAUUUUGCUCUUAUGGAAGUUAAUUUUCAUAAUUGUUCAAAAACACAAAAUAGUAGUUUCAUAUUUUCGCCUUUUCAAUAUCAUGGUCCAUGAAAAUCAUAGUGUCAUCUGCAUAUUACAGUAUAGACAAGCUAUCUUCUACCAAGUGUGGUACAACCCCGUGCACUUACCCAUCCUCCUUUGCUCUAGCAAUGAUGAUAGCCAGCAUAUCGACCACUAUAUUAAAUAGUAAUAGUGAUAGCGGAUCACCUUGCUGCAAACUCUUUUAGUUUGGAAGUAUGAGCCCAUUUGUUCGUUCCUUUAUGCCCACAUUUCCUCCUUGAGUAAAUGCUCGUAUCCUAUUACACCAUGUUUCUAAGAACCCUUUCAUUCUUAAAAUAUGUUGCAAGAAAUCUCACUUUAUUUUAUCAUACGCUUUCUCAAAAUUAAUUUUAAAAAUAAUUCCAUUUUGCUUCUUUGUACGUAACUCAUCAGUUGUUUCAUGUAGAAUGAAUGCCCCCUCCAUAAUAUUUCUAACUGGAAGGAAGGUUGUUUGAGAUGGUCUGAUUAUUUUCUGUCCUACUCUUGAAAUUCUAUUUGUGGCCACCUUAGUGAAAAUCUUGAAACUUACAUUUAGCAGACAUAUUGGUCUAUACUGCUGAAUUUUUUUCACGUCUCUACUCGGAAGAAUGAUAGUACCGAAGUUUAAGCUAUGGAGAGGCAGGGUACCAUUAUGGAAGUCUUCAAAUAGAGCCAUCAAGUUAUCUUUAAUCACAUGCCAGAACACUUGAUAGAACUCUAUCGAGAACCCAUUCGGAUUUAUUAUGUUCCAUUUUAAAAACUGCACCCCGUACUUCCUCUUCGGAAAAUGUAUCAGCCAGUAUAUUAUUCUCUUCCCUCGUAACCUGCGGUAUGUCAUCACGAUGUGACUCAUCCAUGAGCACGUUGUUCCUCUCUGGUGGCCCAAAAAGAUUCUUAUAAUAUUUGGUAAUAUACCUUUUUAAUUCAGUAUCACCACAUAUUAUUCCUUCCUCCUCCUCUACGCCUUUUUCUAUAUUUCCCGUUAGCCACUAACUAGAAAUAUUUAGUAUUUGCAUCUCCCUUUAGAAGAUCUUUAGAGCCAGUACAAAAUCAUAGUCUCGGAUCUUUCGCGUGAGCUAUAUAUAUGGUUGAAAACUCUCCCCCCCCCACCUUUUCUACCCUAUGUAGUGAAAUAAUGGUCGAGAGUUAGGCAACUCCGUUUUCUUGCACAUGGUGUUGCUAUCUGCAUUAUUUACUCCAAAAAUAAAGUGGGAAAACUAAACAAGAUUUACUCCAUAAAUAAAAUCAUGUGUUCCUUCGUAAUCAAGGCCAGGCCCUCUUCACAUUUAUGGGUUGAAGCAAUUCAUGCACAUCCUAUCUCCUCAACCAUCAUCUUACCAAAAUAUUCAACAUUCAAGUAUCGUAUUCAUUUUGGUGAGCUAAUACCUAGUGUACUUUCUUCUAAAAAAAUACCUAGUGUACUUGUGCAUAUGCAAUGUGCUAUCCAUGUAGCGGCUGGUAGGUGAAUCAAUGGAAGCAGAAAAGCUCACUUCACGAGUUAUGUUGCACUCCUAUAAAGCUAGAACCUUCGAUCGGGGAGAAAAAUCACUUUCAUUUCUCCUGGACUUUCAUUUCUCCUGGUGAAACAGAGCAAAUUUCACACCUCGUGUAGUAUGGAAUGGCUCAGCUGAAACUAGGGUAGAUGACGAGUAUUCUGACUAGCCUGGCACUAGGAAUUCAGUGGCAACCCCUAUGAAGAGAGGUUUGUAAUGGGAAUGGGAAUGGGAUACAUUAGGAAUUUUAGCUUAAGCAAAGUUUUGGAAGGUAGAGCCAGAGUGUAUUGUCGUGGGAGCAAGGCCUGCAAGCUAGCUUGUUGAGACCAAAAACUCUGCGCCAAGAAAUCUGUAAGUGCAAUGCCGCUGCAACAUCACACUCCAAGCACCGCCUCUUGAGAUGAGCGCGGAGGCGCUCUCCCGCCGGUGACCUUCUGGUCUCCGGGGAACAGGUCCUGCCGGUUUUCGGCGCCGGUGAUCACUUUCUUUUUCUUUCUGGUGGUUUUCUCCCUACUCCAUGGAUACUUCAAUGGUAGACCUUCGUCCUGGUCUUCAAUUCUCCAAAAAGGUACGAUCCCUCCUCGGAGUGUCGAUUUCUGCCUCUCCAUCUUCUGGAUCAAGCUUCUGGCUGUUUGCAACCUUCACAAGAUCAAAGUUGAAGUUGACUGUUGAGCAUGUUGGUUUUCUAUUGCAAUCGGCUCUGGGAGGUUCAUCUGACCUCUUCCAAGUGUCUGAAUUGGAGGAUUGGAUUUUCAAGUUUUGUGUCUCUUCCAAGGAAGUUGGUCUUUUAGUUUACCAAUUGGGGAUCUUUCAAUGUGAUAUUUUUAAGGUGGCUUUUCAUCUCUGUAAUGAACGGGGGAUUCAGUUUGCACGAUCCGUCCUUUCCUCAGCUCAAGGAAUUAGUUCGGAUUGGAAAACAGUGGUUUCUAGGAAGGCACAUCUUCAUGGUCAUCUGCCUUUGACUGGAUCAAAUCUCAUUCCAGUUAGAUCAUACUCCCCAGAUGCAUAUACUCGGCAUAAUCCCAGGAAUUCUUUUUCUGUCUUUCACCGCUUGGGCAAGAAUUGGGCCACUCAGCAGCUUACACCAGCGAAGAACACGGCAUCUGGGCGGAUUUCAAAUUCAAACUCAUCUUUUACCGGAGUUAAUUUGGGGCUUAAUCUGGGGCCAUCAAUGCAAGAUUCUUUUGCCAAUUCAGCAAGGUCACCUGCUAAUUUGGCGCUGGAUUUGAAUGUGGCAGCUGUUUCUCAUUUGGGCCACCUAUCCUGUUCUCGGUGUUUCUCCAAUAAGCACAACCGGGCCUCUUGUCUUCGGCCUGUUAGAUGUGGGCUAUGUUUCAGACUGGGCCAUGUCGCCAACUUUUGCAGAUACCCACCAAGAUUUCCUGGCCUGUCCAUGAAUAGAACCUUCUCCAAUUCGGUUCCUCAGUCUGGCUGGAAUGAUGCAAAUGUCCACCGAUGGUUUCAAACCCAUGAGGCUAUGACAAGUGGGCCCUCAACAACUGUAUCACCGAUUGUAGGAACCUUCCAACAUCUGGGUCGGUACCUCCUGGGUGCUCCUGCUGUCGCUCCGGAAGAAAUAGUUCUUUGGCAACUCUCCCCUACAACCGCAAUCGCCGGUGCUGUCGCUUCACCUUCCAAGCUUCCGACGCUGCAAUCGCAGCUGCCUAGCUCCUCGCUACCACAAUCCAGCCGCCGUGAUCCCCCUCCUUUUGCUGAAGCGCAUCCACAUUGCUCCUCGCUACCAAAUCCUCAGCUCUUCUCCUUGGGUGACCUGUCUUGGAGGCAGACGGAAUCUUCGGAGCAUUCGCCUUCGGCCCCAAUGGCGUACAAAUUUGUGGAUCCUACCCCCUUUCUUCCUCGUGGUUCCCAGAGGCAGUUGGUGGGCUUCCGUAAGCCAAUGUCCAGAGUUAUUCUUGGUGCUCCUCGGCGAAAUCAGUGUGAUGUGGCGAUAGCAACCAUCGAGCCCCUACCUCAUCAGCAGGUAUCCUUUCAAUCCAUAAGAGAUAUGCUUGAUGACUUCUUGAGGAAUCGGUGUCGAAUGGGGGUCCAUUCUAUUCAGCCUUGCCCGUAUGGUCAAGCAUAUGUUCGUUUUCAGUUUGUCCAUGAAAAGGAUUUCCUGAUUGGUGGGGGCCCUCAUGAGUAUGGUCAGUAUAGGAUAUCUUUCUCUGAUCAUAAUAAGGGUUGGAAUAAUAGACUCAUAACUAUGAAUUGUGAAGUCUGGAUCAUGCUUCUAGGCUUUAACAUUGAUUAUUGGACAAAAGCAGACUUGGAGAAAGCUAUUGCAGAAUUUGGUAGGCUUCUGGUUUGGGAAGAGGAUCCCAAUAAUUUGGCCAGAAUUAUUGCAAAAAUAAGAGUUGUUGAUCUCUCGGAAAUACCAUGGUUUCUUGUUUGUUCAGAAGGUGAGGAUUUUGAAGGGAAUUCAUGGACUGCUCAGUGUGAAAUUUUACAGUACAGAAUGCUAGGUGGGGGUCCUGCUGAUGAAGGAUAACCGCCUGAUGAUGUGGAACCGACUCUAUUUGACUUCUUUGGUUAUGGGCAGCCCUCUGGUAAUGUGGCAAAUCCAGGAAAUGCCAAUCUCAAUGCUAAUCAACCUGUUAAUCAGGAGCCAGCACCACAAUGGGGCCUUUGGCCUGAUGGGCCGAAAGCACAAGACAAUGGGCCUUUCAUUGGCCCACAAAUUUCCCAAGAAGACCCAGUUGUCCCUAUUGUUCAGGCAUUGCCUGCACUUAAUCCUGUGAACCAUGGCCAGGGAGAAGAAGAGGAUAACCCAGAUUUUGAUUUGAACAUGGCCAUUGCUGAUGAUUUGGGGGGAAUUGAUAAUUUGGCUCCUUUAGAUGAGGAAAUAGAGGAGGCAGGUAAUGAUGUAGUAAAUAAUCAAGUGAUUGAAGGGUCAGAUAAUUCUGAUAAUGAGCUCCCUAUAGCUAAUCAGGUGAUGGAGCACCCUGUUCAUGUUGAGGUUUUUAUUCCCCAAGCGGAUGGACAGCCUGUUCAGAUGGUGCAAGAUGAAAUAAAUGAGAAUGAUCUGAUGGGAGGCAAUCAGGAUCAGGAUAUACAGUUGGCAGAGGAGAAUAAUAACUUUAUGCACCUGGGUUAUGUGGAGGUUAUGCAGCCUAGCCAUGAUCCAGUUUUUGCCCAAAUGGAAUCAUUGUAUCGCCCACCUUCCAAUCAGCCAAGUGCUGAAUUCUAUAGGCAGUGGGCUACACAUUUUUCUUCGGCAUCUGAUGAACCCAAGGUAGAGGUUCCUAUUUCUUGGGCCUCGUUCUUUAUGGCUCAACUGAUUACCCCUGGAAAUUUUGAGUGGGCCAAGAAUUUCCUGUCAUCUCCAGCUAUGCAAUAUCUGGAGUCUGAUCAAUUCCUGAAUUUUUCGAUUCCUAUGAAAUGCCCUUAUUCUGCAGCUACAGCUUGUGCCAAGGAAGCAGUUACUACCACAGCUGAUAACAAAGGCAAAGGUAUCAUAUUUGAAGGUUCUGAUAAAUCCCUCAUUACGAGUUCCUCUGCUUCUCCAUUCACUACCGCAACUACACCUCAGAGUGCUGGGCCUGGAUUUCCUUCAGUUGAUUCAGCCAACAACACUCAGUCUUCUCCAGUUACGCCGGUUCAGGGGUUGCUUAAAAAGGUUGCUGCUUCUUCUGGCCCAUGGUCCAAGUCCCUUCUUCAACAGGCCUCCAUGGUGGAUAAGGUAACUCAGGAUGUCUCUGGCAACCCUCUUUCUGAUGAUGAACUUCGAAGAAGUAGCAAGACUGCCAAGCACAAUAAUGGAUUUAAAGCUUCAGGAUGUAAGGACAGAAAUUGCAUUGGUUGCUCGGUAAAGCCACCGCUCUUGUCACAGUCAGUGAUUCGCAACCUGGGUGCGUCAUUCUCUAAAAUUGAAUCUUCGAAGUUAUUAGUAGUUGCUUUGAACAAGAAAUCAAAGCCUGCAGCUCCCCCUGGUGGAAGGAAGCCAGCCAAGAAGAAAGCUGAUAAGAAUGAAGCUGAUAAUGUCCCAAAAGACCAGAAGAAGAAGCCCAGAAAGUAGUACUCUUGGAAGGGGAACUAGUUUCUUUAUUUUGCUUCUCAAGAAUACACAAGUCUUAUUUUGCUUUGUACCUAUGGGUUUUUAUCCUUCUGGGAGAAACUUUCUUUUAUGUCUUUGUACUGAUGCUAUCCAUACAGUACUAUGGUUGCUGAACUCUUGCCUUAUACCUUUUAAUGAACUCUAGUCAUAACAAAAGACUCUGGAAGGUUUUGUGCUGGAAUGUCAGAGGAAUUAAUUCUGACAAGAAGUGGCAUUCAGUUAAAGAUAAAAUUUCUGAGAGUAAUUGUGACAUCAUUUGCCUCCAGGAAACAAAAAGAGAAGCUUUUGACAGUGUAUUCAUCAAAAAUUUUUGCCCCUCCUCUUUUGACAAAUUUGAGUUUUUGCCCUCACAAGGGGCUUCUGGUGGUCUUGCAAUAAUCUGGAAAUCUUCUGUGUUUCAUGGUGAUUUGGUGUUCAUGAAUCAAUAUGCUAUUUCAGUGAAGCUCUCCUCCAAUCUUACUGAUUGGGAAUGGAUUUUAACAAAUGUUUAUGGGCCUUGUUCUGCGGAGGGGAAAAUUGCGUUUAUUCAAUGGUUUGAAAAUAUACGGAUGCCAGAUGAUUUUGACUGGUUGGUGGUGGGUGAUUUCAACCUCAUAAGAGAGCCAUCUAAUAGAAACAAGCCUGGGGGUAAUCACAAUGACAUGUUCCGAUUCAAUGAGGCAAUUAACAAACUUGGCUUAGUGGAGAUUCCUCUGAAAUCAAAGCGCUUUACAUGGUCAAAUAAACAACGAGCACCUCUGUUGGAAAGGUUAGACUGGUUUUUCUCAUCUAAUUCUUGGGUUCUUAAUCAUCCAAACACAAUGGCCUAUCCCUUGGUGAUGGAAACUUCAGCUCAUUCUCCUUGUGUAAUCAACAUCGCUUCUGAUAUUCCGAAGGGCAAGCUCUUUAGAUUCGAAAACUAUUGGCUUGAACAUGAUCAGUUCAUGAACAUAGUCUCACAUGGUUGGUCGGUUCCAGUACAUGCAAUUGAUAGAGCAAAAAUUAUUACUCAGAAGUUCAAGAAUCUCAGAAGGGUGCUAAGAGCAUGGCAGUCUCAACUUUCAAAUCUAAAGUCCCUACUAUCCAAUGUGAAGUUGUCCCUCUCUUUUAUGGAAUUAAUUGAGGAAUAUAGAGACUUGUCUCUUAUUGAAUGGAAUUUCAAGGUUCCGUUGCAGGAACAGUUGCAAACUUUACUCAAGCAGCAAAAUAUCUAUUGGAAACAACGAGGUUCAAUUAAAUGGGUCAAGUUUGGUGAUGAGUCAACAAAAUUCUUUCAUGCGAAUGCUUCCAUCAAGCAUGGUAAAAGCUAUAUUAGAUCCCUAGCAGACAUAACAGGGACCCCAAAAUAUAAUCAUUUGGAAAAGGAAGCAAUUCUCUAGGAUGCAUACAAGGAAAGAUUGGGUACUACUGAGUACAACUCUAUGGUUUUUGAUCUACAACAAUUACUGCACCAAGUGGAGGAUCUGUCCUGCCUGGAGGAACCAUUUUCUCAUGCCGAGAUAGAUUCUGUUAUCAAGUUUAUGCCAAAUGACAAGGCUCCAGGUCCGGAUGGAUUUAAUACAAAUUUCAUAAAGAGGUGCUGGCCGAUCAUCAGGCAAGACUUUUAUGAUCUCUGUGAUACUUUCUACUCUGACAAUGUUUCCUUACGGAGUAUAAAUGGAUCUCUGAUCACUUUGAUACCUAAAGUUGAAGGGGCAGCACAUGUAUCGGACUACAGACCUAUAUCUCUUUUGAACACUUCAAUGAAACUUCUGACCAAGCUGCUGGCUAAUAGAUUGCAAACUGUGAUUCAAUCUCUUGUACAUGUAAAUCAAUAUGGUUUCAUCAGGACCAGAACUAUACAAGAUUGUCUUGCUUGGGCAUUUGAAUACCUUCAUUUUUGCCACAAGUCCAGAAAGGAGAUAGUCAUCCUCAAGCUUGAUUUUGAAAAAGCAUUUGAUAAAAUUGAGCACCAGGCCAUGUUGACAAUCAUGAAGCAUAAGGACUUUGGAGACAAAUGGAUUCAUUGGAUGGAACAAAUCUUUGCUUCUGGUACUUCUUCAGUUCUUUUGAAUGGCGUCCCUGGGAAAAGGUUUACAUGCAAGAGAGGAGUCCGGCAAGGGGAUCCCCUUUCGCCCCUUCUUUUUGUCUUAGGGGCUAACUUACUCCAAACCAUUGUAAAUGACUCCAAAGAACAAGGCCACCUAACACUCCCAAUUCCUCUGACAUACAGUUCUGAUUUCCCUAUUCUGCAAUAUGCUGAUGAUACCCUAAUAAUCAUGGAGGGAUGUCCUAACCAAUUGUUACAUUUGAAGCAGCUCCUUCAUAAUUUUGCACUGUCCACUGGUCUAAGGGUCAACUUCUGUAAAUCAAUGAUGGUACCCAUUAAUAUCACAGAGGACAAAUUACAAUUCCUAUCACAGACUUUUGGAUGUGCUAUUGGUAAACUUCCCUUUACCUAUUUAGGGCUUCCUCUUGGUCUUACCAAGUCAAAAAUUGAGGAGUUCCUGCCUAUGGUCACUAGAUGUGAACGGUGAUUGGUAUCCACAUCAAAAUUUCUGUCAGAUGCAGGGAGACUUCAGUUGACAAAUUUAAUUUUUACAGCCAUGCCAAUGUUUCAUAUGUGCACUUUCCAGCUUCACAAGACAGUAUAUAAACAAGUGGACAAAUAUAGAAAGUGUUGCCUCUGGAGAAAUUCUGAUAUAAAUAAUAGGCAACCUCCAAAGGCUGCUUGGGAUCUUGUUUAUCUACCAAAGAAAGAGGGUGGCCUUGGGGUGUUAAAUCUAAGGACUCAAAAUGAAGCUCUUCUUCUUAAGUACCUUCAUAAGUUCCUGAACAAAUCAGACGUCCCAUGGGUACAUCUAAUUUGGGAGAAAUAUUAUGCUUCUGGCAGGUUACCAGGACAAGUUCGAAAAGGAUCCUUUUGGUGGAAAGAUGUUGUGAAACUCUUGGACAAAUUCAAAGGUCUAGCAUCUGUAACUGUGCACAGUGGUCAGAUAUGUCUUCUCUAGCAUGAUUUGUGGAAUAAUAAGAUCCCUGCACAAGAGUAUCCACACUUAAACUCUUUCACUAGAAAGGUUGACAUAUCUGUUAGGAAAGCUUAUGACCUGCCUAACUUGCACCAGCUUUUCAAUUUGCCUUUAUCAACCCAAGCUAUGGAUCAGCUGCUUCAAUUAGGUACAGAUCUGAAUGGAAUCCAAUUUAAUGAAGAUCAUGACUGUUGGACAUAUAUCUGGGGUAAUUCUCACUUUUCCUCAUCAAAAGCAUAUCAAGUACUGUCUGGACAUCGACAGGUGCACCCGGUUUUCGGAUGGCUUUGGAAAUCUAAAUGUCAAAGUAAACACAAGUUUUUUUUCUGGCUUCUACUCAAUGACCGGCUAAGUACCAGAAAUGUACUUAGAAGAAAACACAUGGCACUGCCUUCUUAUUCUUGUGUCUUGUGUCCGCAUGAUAGUGAGGAAACCUUGUUCCAUCUUCUACUGCAAUGUCCCUUUGCCCAAGAGUGUUGGAUCAAUAUUAGUCUUUUUGCUAACCUGGCAGAUGAACCAUACACAAUCCUUACCAGCUUUAAAACUCAGCUGCAAGUUCCGUAUUUUAUGGAAAUCAUUGUUCUCAUGAGCUGGUGUAUAUGGAUGGCGAGAAAUGAUUGGAUUUUCAGAAAUAUUACUCCCUCAGUCCAGGAUGCUAUGAGGAGGUUUAGGACUGUUUUUACUCAAGUUGUUCUGCGAGUAAAAGAGGCUUGGAAACAACCAAUGUUUGAAUGGCUAGAGCACUCAUUGUAGUUUUUCUGAUUUACUUUCUCUCCUUCUUUGUUUCUUGAUUUGUAAUUCUACAACUUUUGUUCUUUCAUUUUAAUAUAUAUCCAGCAGGGGAUGAUCAUCCCCUCCUGUUUCAUCAAAAAAAAAAAUAUCACACUCCACCUGACAAAGUGAUACCACCGAAUCCGGAUCUUUCUCAGGCUGCCUCGCAGUCGUCACCACCUCUCAAUAGCUCGGCAAUAUAUGCAUUCUGCGUGAGUUACAAGCUAUAACUUGUGCUACUAGCUGUACCAACUCUCAAUAGCUUCUGUACUGUGUUGCCAGUGUAGUGACACAGUGGGUGAAUCAAUGGAAGCAUAACAGUUCAAUUUACUCCUAUAAAGCUCAAAUUUUUAAUGGGGAGAAAAAUCGCUUGAAUCUCUCCGGAUGCACCAGACAACAAAAUUACUCACGCCUCAUGUAGCAUGGAAUGCCUCGGCAUAAACUGAGGUGGGUGUACAAUGGCAUUCGGUAUUCAGUGGCGACCAUAUUGAAGAAGGUUCUAAUGGGGAUGUUUAACAUCAGGAACCUGUGCGGCGAGGCAAAGGUUUGUCAAGUUCUGGCUCCGAACCAAUUGGGGACCGGCUUACGCUUCUUUGGCUGGUGAGUUGGACGCUAACGAAACAGGCCCCUACAUGUACAUCAUCUUGAUGAAGCUGCUCGUCUUGUUUCUUCUACCCCUACCUCUCGCGAGCUAUGAAUUUUCAGAGAUGAACCCAAUAAUAUAUAGGAGAUCCAUUGUAACAGGUUUAACACCUAGUUGUAUCUCGCCAUCUCAUCUGAACUUCUAACAAUCAUCAGUUAUCACUGAUGGCUACAUAGUUUCUGUAAAUUUUCAUUAGUGCAGCCAAACUUCUCGUGGUGGACUAGUUAGAGCGUUGAACUGCAGUAGUUAUUGAAACUUCCAUCCUGAUCCAGGUUCGAAGCAUGGCACCUUAUUAGAACAAAGCCCGGAGAGGCCCCCCCCCCCCCCCCCUCCCCCUCAACAGUGCAAAAAUGAAUGAUGGUAGGAGUUUGUGAGUUUGUUCAUCGACGUCAUCUGAAAUUAGAGAUGUGAUUUUUUUGGGCAUGCCCUUUUGGGUUCAAGCCUCAGCAAUGUAACGUGUUUCAUUUAACUGAUUGAAACACCAUGCUAAACAAGGAGGUGAUGGGUCAGCUAUACGUUAUAUCUAUCAACGGUACCCAUGCAUAGUUGCUACCACGUCGCUGGUAGAUUGGUGGCUACCAACAAGCAGGAAAACAUCAACAUAAAGUUCUGGAAGGGUGUCGAUUCCCUCAUGGUUCUCACCUGCUGGUACCUCUAGAACGUGCGCAAUAACUGGGUUUGCAACCGAUCAAUUACAACACCAGAGGCCUUGGCUCUGAUGAUCAUGGAGGAGGCCUCAUGCUGGUUGGUUGCGGGGAUUAGGCGUCUAGCGCCGUUCCUGCUGCAAAAUAGCAGCAUGUUUGAUUUGGAGGUCCAUCUCACCCCGCAUGGAGUCAUCCAGACUUUUUUGAGGAAUGAACCCGUGCCUCCGGAAUUUCCUAUGUAGUCAUUAUACAAAGCGAGUGUGCAACGAUGAAGUGAUUCCGCAAUGUAAACCAAACAGUGGUGUACGUUACAUGACGUUCCAUGAUGCAAACUAAACACACCAUAAAUCGUAAAAUGGAGCUCUUAUUUUGUUGGAAGUAAUCUCUAAAAUUUCUGACAACUCGGUUGGCUGUUGGCGUGAUGCUAGGUCCUUGUAUUUUCUCCCUCUUACGUGUCAGUCAUGUUCUUGAAAAAAAAUCAACCAUAGGUUAUAACUAUCAACAGUGAACUACUGAUUAGGUUCCUUAUGGUAUAACCUGCCCACCUUGGUCUGAGCAUUUCUCCUGGCAUGGAGUACUAUUCUGUGAUUGGUGUUGGCGAUAUUCAUUCGGGUAGGAUCGCAUGCAUGUAUUCACAUGGGUUAAUGUGUGUGCAUGGAUCUAAGCAUCUAUAUUUGUACCGUGUUUUGAAAAAAAAAAUAUAUCAACGGUGCUUUUGGUUAACUAUUCAACUUCAGUGACUGAGACUACUCAUUCGAUGCUCAAUUUCUCUUCUUUUCGGGCCGUUAGAAAUUCCCAAUGCGUCCCAUACCCAAGCCUCACCCACAAUCACCAUUCAGCUGCGGCACUGUAACCGUCAUUCACCAUGUAUCUCCUCUGGCCAGCUCCGUUCUCACUACCCUGCUAUAUAUAUAAGAGGAGGUGUUUUAAUAAGGUAUCUUUGUAGCUUCAUGCAGUAAAUUGAGAAAUUUUUGUUUUGUUGGUUCAUAAAUCGGCUAGAUAGGUUCAGGAUAAAUGUGACAAGUACACCAGCUAUAAAUGAGUCAACAUGUAAUGUAUUACCUACUGUUUUCUAGAGUUCACAAUCUUACUCCCCUUCUCCUAUUCAAUUUUAAAUGCAGGAUUGUAACACUGUCGAUCUAUCAACAGAAUGUAUAAUACAAUUGCUAUCUUCAAUAGUAGCUGCCAUCUUUCUAGUGAUUUUCUCCUCCAUUAAAUGAGACACUAGAACCUGGCAAGAAACUUUGGCUUUGACACACUCUAGAAUACAAAUGUCAACUGCUGCCAACAGAAGUCUAUGAUCUUCAAUACAAUUUAUUUUUCAAAAAAGUAAAGUAUUAGAAAAAUAAAAGAAUGCGUGACAAUUCCCUCAAAAGACGAGCAUGCUGUAAAGAAACUGUAACAUAAACAGAAGAAAAUUAGCAUGUAACUUCACUAUGAAAAUUAGCCAGUGGUGAAGGCGAAGGUGAAGGAAAGGAGGUAAUCGAUGGAGGCUGGCCACCCGGAGCCUCACGGCUUGGGGCAGGAGGUGAGAUUGAAGUUGGGCCACCCAAAAGGCUAGAACAUCACUCGACCCAUUCUUUUGCAGGAGCUGAAUGAAAGGAUAUGCUUGAUGAAGGAUGGAGUCAUGGAAUCAAACUACCCAUUCUUUUGCGUAUCAUUUUUGGUGAAGCCAAUCUUUGAAAAGUGGCAAUUGUCGAAGCCAGUUGUUUUGGACAGUCAAAAAUGCAAAUUUCUGCAAAUCUCAUCUCUAAAUGAUCCAUAGAAGUGUGUGAAAGGAUUACACAGGGCUGAAUUAUACACUUCUGCUGAUGUUGCAGCGAAUUAUAGCAACAUAAUAUGGAAUAAAGCUGGGAAGCAUGAUGAUAUCCUCAACCUCAGUUAUUGGAGGCUUCUGAAGCACAUCGAGCUCAACACAUCCGGAGCUGCGGGGAAGAAUGAGGUGAAAUUUCUUCAAUUUCAUUCGUUUUUACAAUUCGAAUUUGGUUAAGCGUCAAGCAACAUAUGUAUUCUCUUGUGUAGAGCAACAUUUUUAGGUGUCCGAUAUAUAGCAAGAUACCUAGGCAACCAAGAGCACAGUUAAAUAUUUGCCAAAGCAUGUAGGCUGCAACAAAGCUCAAGUCCUUCCGCUCCCUGGACGUUAUAUGCUCAGGUCAGCUACUGGACCACGGGAUGGAAGCUCGCAAUCUCAAAAAAGGACGAAGCGAAGUGGCAAAGAGUUUUUGCUCUCAACGAACUAGCUUAUACUUCCCAAUGGUCUACAAGCUAGCUUGUACAUGGGAACUUCUAGAGGAGCAUUCAGCAUUCGGUUUGCUUGAAAUUCCCAAUGCGUCCCAUUCCCAAGCCUCACCCUCAGUCACCAUUCAACUGUGGCCUAGUAACUUUCAUUCACCAUGCCUCUCCUCCAGCUUCGAUCUCCCACUCUGCUAUAUAAAUGAAAUGAAGUUAAAUUGAGCAUUUUGGCUUUUAUUGGAUUGUAAACACGCUAGAUAGCUUGAGGAUAAAUGUGACAAGUAUACAAGCUAUAAAUGAGUCAAUUAGGGAUGCAAGUGGGUGCCCGUUCCUUGCUACAGUUUUCAAGUUUGAGAUCCGCAAAUGUUAGAGAAGCGAUCAUGAUCUGCCUUACUAUUUUCAGAUAAAAGUUAAUGCAAGUGCCUUUGUAUUGCUUUACCAUAGCCACUGCCGCUAGUUCCAUGCACAUAUAAGCAUGAGAGUGUUAUACAGUUGAUCAGUUAACGCUAUGUUCUAAAAAUAUUAUAUAGGAUGCCCAUCUUGCAGUAAGAUGGAAGAAAAAGGAUGAUGUUGAAAUACUAAACAGUUGCGAAAGAAAGACACAUCUUUCUUCUAAUUUCUUUUAGAGAACCCCAAAGUAGUAUACGACCAGCACCUACAGUCAUGACUAUCUGUCUAUUCAGGAGUCAGAGCAAUCUAUCUAACCGGUUAAUUAUAGACUGCAAUGAGAAGGUAACAUGUGGUAGUUUCGUGAUUCUUAGGAUUUGGGUGCAAACUGUUUCGCAAUCUGAUUAUCAGACUUUUCUAAUAAACAUGUAUACAAUGGACUUGUUUGAUUUACUGUAUACUCAAGUUUAAGCCUAGAUAGCUCAAUGCUCCGUCUUCUUGUGCAAGCUUCACUAGAAGCAGAUAAUUGCAUCAUGAUUCAAAACUCGUGAUGUAUCCCAUGCCCAAUACGAAGCCCUUCAAGAGUGGCCUCUGAAUUUUAGUUACCAUGCUAUUCGGCAUAUACUCGUUAAUCUUUCCUGUUUUAUGGUAGCUUUUCCAUACUAACGGAGGUGUGAAUUUUGUUUUAUGGGUGCUGUCACUAUUGCACCAGGAAGCAAGUUACCUUUUUUGCUUGAGGGUGCACAUUUAUAGUCAUACAUUGUAAAUUCAGAAUUUACGCAUUCACCGGGUAGUUACAAUGUCCUCAAAUUUGAAUGUCAACCAGCUUUCAAGGGAUCAUCGCCCUUUCCUGGCACCCAUCAAAUUAUCUGUUGUCCUAUGUUUACUGCCACGUAGUCCUUGGGAUAUACAUUUCACAGAAAUCUUGCCAUUGCACUCGUGCUAGUGCUAGCAAACAUGAAGAGAGUUCACUGGUGGUCAUAAUUAGGUAGGAAAGGUGCUUUCGAAUAACAUCAUGAAAGGAAACAUGAGACUAUAUUACAUAGCUAACCUCAAUCACGUUUUCAAUAACUUGUUCAGCCUAUAGCCUGAUGGAAAACAUGAGUACUAGCUCAUUCGUCCUCUUCUGCUGUGCCAUGUUAUGUUUAGAACACAAAUCAUGAAGUUCCAAGAAUAAUAGUUUAGGACAAUCAAGGUAGUUCUAAGUUAAAGAAAAAAAACCAAGGUCAGCAUUGUGGCUGAUUCGUCCUCUUCGGUUGCGCCAUACAGGACAGCCUGCAGAACCAUCCCUGGCCAAAAACAAAAACAUACUAGCGCCGGCAAUGCCCCAGCACAAGAUACCAACACCGUCGUAAGUACGCUGUCGUCGCCUACUAUUCCCCGGCGGUCUCGCCGCCAGGCAACUUCCAACGGUCGCCACCUGUGGCACCUUGGUGCCCAACGCUUCUGUUGAGGUGUAAGCUGCAGCUGCGGACCAAAUUGGGCUGCAAAGGACGCUUGAUGCUCAAUCUCCCUUAUCAUCAGUUCGUUUGAAACUUCCAAUGUGUCCCAUACCCAAGGCUCACCCAUAGUCACCAUGCACUGCACGCGGCACCAUGACGGUUGGGCUUAUCCUCCAUCUUCAAUCUUGACAGGUGCCGCUCUGCUAUAUAAAAGAGGAGAAGUUAUAGUUUGGAUGUAGCCUACAUUUUUUUAAUAACGUACAUUUUGUAGCUGCAUGAAGUGAAUUGAGCAUUUUGGCAUUUAUUGGAUCGUAAACACGCUACAGUGCUUGAGGGAUAAAUAUGACAAGCAUACAAGCUAUAUAAAUGAGUCAAUUAGGGAUGCAAGUGGGUGCCCGUUCCUUGCUACAGUUUCCCAGUUUCAGAUCCACAAAUGUUAGAGGAGCAAUCAUGAUCUGCCUUACCGUUUUCAGAUAAAAGUUCCAUGCACAUGUAUGCAUGAGAGUGAUAUAGAGUUGAUCAGUUAACGCUAUGUUCUAAAAAUACUCCCUCCAUCCCAAAUUAUAAGUCAUUCCAAGAAUCUUGGAGAGUCAAAACAUCUCAACUUUAACCAAAUUUAUAUGAUAAUAUAAUAACAUUUAUGAUGUUAACUAAGUAUCAUUGGAUUCUUCAUCAAUUAUAUUUUCAUAGUAUACCUACUUGAUGUCAUAAAUCUUUAUAAUUUUCUCUAUAAUUUUGGUCAAACUUGAGAUGCUUUGACUCUCCAAAAUUCUUGAAAUGACUUGUAAUUUGGAAUGGAGGGAGUAUUAUAUAGGAUGCCCGUCUUGCAGUAAUGUGGAAGAAAAAGGAUGACAUGGAAAAACUAAACUGUUGCGAAAGGAAGACGCAUAUUUCUUUUAAUUUCUUCUUGCGAACACCAAACUAGUAUACGACCAGCGCCUACAGUCAUGACUAUUUAUCUAUUCAGGAGUCAGAGCAAUCUAUGUAACCGGUUAAUCAUAGACUGCAAAUUCAGAAGGUAACAUGUGGUAGUUUCAUGAUUCUUAGGAUUUGGGUGCAAACUGUUUCGCAAUCUGACUGAUUAUCAGACUUUUCUAAUAAAACAAUGGACUUGUUUGAUUUACUGUAUACUCAAGUUUAAGCUAAUGCUCCAUCUUGUAGUGCAAGCUUCACUAGAAGCAGGUAAUUACAUAAGUUAGCAAAAGGCGGACUACGCUGAUCACUGUGAUAGUGCUCAAGCUCUGCGUGUUACAUGCUCAGCUAACGCGAACUAGAUACCCAACCAAAAAAUCCCGUUGCCUUGCUAGUCUGGGUUUACAGCUUGGGUAUUAGCAUCUUGAUCCAAAACUCGUGAUGUAUCCCAUGCCCAUUACAAAGCCCUUCAAGAGUGGCCUCUGAAUUGUAUUAAUCAUGCUAUUCGGUAUAUACUCGUUAGUCUUUCCAGUUUUACGGUAGCUGUUCCAUAGUAACGGAGGUGUGAAUUUCGUUUUCUGGGUGUUCUCACUGUUGCACCAAGAAGCAAGUGACCUUUUUACUAGAGGGUGUACAUUUAUAGUCAUACAUUGUAAAUUCAGAAUUUACUCUCUCAUUUGUCAUUCACCGGGUAGCUAUACACACACACAUUGAGAGAUUGAAAGUACGUUGCGUAUAUAUGCGCAAGCACGUUAUGUAUAUAUGUACAACAUAUAUUAAAAGUCGGCACACUCUGAAAAACGAUUCUGCUUGUUUUUUUUCCUUUAUCUAGCAAAACACAGGCACAUUGCAAUUAUAGGGAAUCUAGAGAUGAGAUAUAUACUUACAUAGUUGUUGACGCUCGUUAUUGACAUAUUUUUAGUACCAUUUAACUAGUAUUUUCAUGUUUAAUCUUAUACUAAUUAACUCGCCACCUGGCACCUGAAAUAACCCAAUUAUUGCAUAUGUGUUGUAUUCUGGAGUAUAUUGCAUUAUGACAGGAAAUACGAUGUACUCAAGGGUGUUUGCAUAAAGAGCUUCAUGGAUAUUUAGACAUGGAUCGUCGAGAGAAGCCAGCACGAGGAAGGAGAGGACAAGAAGGGCCAGCAAGGGCCCAGGCCGAUCGCCUAGCCCAUUUCAGGGCUCGGUCGACCUCCCAUUUCUUUAGUGUGAAGUCUACGAUGAUGUAUUGGGUUUUUUUCCACCAACAUUGACCCAGAGCCACCGCCUAUGGGAGACUAUAAAUGCUUCCUCAUGGACUUCAAGGAGGGAGAGUUAGGGAGAGAGGAAAAACACCAUGUUAACACCAUCCACCGCUGUUGGGCAUAUAUCUCAGGCCCACGAGUAGGCCCUGUGCGGCCCACUAAGGGGCGUACUCGGACACAAUCAAGACUAGGGGGCUACGCGGCAAGAAAUGUAUCCCACUCGGACUAGUUAGGUGUGCAUAUGGAAACUACUCGAUCUACACUGAGUAGAACUCUGUAAUCAUACCCCACUAGGAUUCAAACUUGUAACCCUGCCCUCCCGAGUAUAUAAGGGUGGGCAGGGACCCCCUCAAAGACAACUCCUUCAACUCAUCCAAGUUCAAUACAACCUACUCACAGGACGUAGGGUAUUACGUGAUCUAGCGGCCUGAACCUAUCUAAAUCGUGUUCCUUACGUCACCAUUGACUCCUUGAUUCUCGAUGGCCCUUACCGCACAAAAGACCACCUAGGGUACCCCCUAGGCGGGUUGCCGGUCUAAAACACUGACAGCUGGCACGCCAGGUAGGGGAAGUCAUCGAGUUUCUCUGCGUGAGUUUGAUGGCACCUGUCGUUAUCAAGCCUGCUUUCACCUUCGAGGCAGGCGCAACUUUCAUUUUCGGAUCUUGGCUCUGCAUCGCCGACGGUGCUGGAUCGUUUCAGCGCCAAAUCAUCAACGUCCGGGAGAAGAAAUCUCUCGACAAAAGCCUUUCUCAGCCGAAAACAGAGGAUUCGGUCAGGAAUAACCAAAACUUCAAAAUCAACAACACCGAGUUCGACUACGCUGCGGACUCGACCCUAGUUCGGACUAGUCGCUCCCAGUCACUUCACAAAUCGACUUCGACUCCAAAAUGGUUCCCAUACGGACUCCGCAAUAUAGUCGAGGUCUACCAAGAUCUCCUCACUCGAACUCAACUCGAACACGGGGAAGACAAGGACGACGACUCCGACUCAGACUAUGUCCCAGAGAUCCCGCUGUCAGGACCUGCCCAAGGUCUGGUAAUAACUUCAACACUGCAAGGCAAAUUCGUUCACUGGCCAGGAAUGAGACCAUCUCUCCUCACCCGCGACUAUGAGUCACGCCUCAUCGCUCAUAUAGACAACCUCCCGUACCAGGAAGGCGUCCCACUCACUUCAAGCCGCGAGGAAAGUUCCACAGAAAUCACAACAUCAAGCUCUAGAAGCUACUACCCAGACAAAGAAGUCUUUAUCAUUACUCAAAAUAACAACAUGGGUACUAGCCAAUAGAGAAUCCCUCGACGGAUAGCACAACUCGACAACGUCUCAGAGGACGAGUCAUCAGCUAACGUCCCACAAGAUGAAACUUCCGAUCAAAGAAACCAAAGAAGGAUGCAAAAUAUUACUCGGGCUGAACGUCGACAAAUGCUGGCCACAAACAUUCCCAUCACAAACCUUGAAAGAGCAUUUGACGCAGUACAAGCUCAAGAGCACAACACUCCGCUCGCAGCAAUUGCCUCAAUCAACCUUAUAUCAACUCUCAUACCUCGAGACAGAGACAACGAAAUGACAGCUCAACUUGCAUAGCGAGGCAACAGACUAAUUGCACAACUCGUAGAACAAGCUUACAAGCUACUCGAUAGGGAAUCACCAAUCCCAUCUGUUCCUCGUAAUUCGGCUCAUCGAGAGGGCAGUAGGGGUGCUGCAGUCAACAAUGGCUUCCACAAAGCACAAAGAAAUAACAACGAAGUAGUCAACCAACCAAGGCAACAUAGCCAAGGACUGAGCAAACACGAAGCUCCAGUGCGACAAAAAGAUGUUGGAGAGGUAAGCUGCACCAAUUCUGCAAAAAGUCCUCGCCAUAUCAGGAAAAAUCAUGAAGUAUCAAAUUUCAGCGAUCUAUGGGAAAUAAUCAAUAGUUGCCGCGAACCUGAAGUCGACAACUACAAUCACUUUCCCGCCUUCACAACUCGGGUAAUGAGGACAAGACUACCCGAAAAAUUCAAGCCAACAGGAAUCACUAAGUAUGAUGGCAAGCAAAACCCAAUUCAAUGGUUCCGAUGUUACAAUGGGCAGAUGAAGAAGACAAAGAGCGAGAACGGUUCGGCUCUCAUCGCAACCGAGGGCGCAACAAUAACAAUCAUGACCAGGAUAGGAACCGACACAGCGAUACUCAAAACAACUUUUCGAGUAACCAAAAUCGCAAAUGGAAACCUGACAACACCAUUGCUUCCAUGACUAACUCAGGGAAGAAGGGAUCCUGCAAAAAUGAUGACAGACUAAGCUUCACCGAACUACUAAAAAAAUAAUGCCCAUGGCACCCAACUAGCAAAUACUCAGCAAUAUAUUGCUACAGAAUGCGCCGAGUAAUGCAAGAUUUGCCCGCACCACCACCUCCCGAGGAGUACAACAAGAAAAAAGAUAAAGGCAAAAACAAAGUCCAUAACAACAAAGAAGGAGAAGGCGACUUCCAGACCACCUCCAAAAUAGUCAACGCCAUCUUUGGCAGAAUCCUUGGUACCGCAUCCAAGCGAUCCAAAAAACUGGUACUCAGGGAAAUCAUGGCCAUCGAGCUAAUAGAACCAACACCGCUAAAAUGGUCAGGGGUACCCAUAACCUUCAGUAGAAGGGACCAAUGGACAAACUUCUCAGAACCAGGCCGAUUUCCCCUAGUACUCAAUCCUGUCGUUGCAGGUUCAAAACUGACAAAAGUACUCAUUGAUGGCGGAAGCGGACUCAACGUCAUUUUCGCCAAAAUACUAAGGAAAAUGUGUCUUGACGUCACGGACAUGCUCACUCCAACAGACUCACCCUUCUACGGAAUCGUACCAGAAAACACAGCCAUACCACUAGGACAAGUCGUCCUGCCAGUUACUUUCGUAACCAAGGAACACUACCGAACCGAGUACAUUAGAUUUGAAGUCGUCGACUUUGUGACCUCUUACCAUGCCAUACUCGGGAGACCAGCUCUGGCUAAGUUUAUGACUAUACCACACUACGUUUACUUGGUACUCAAAAUGCCAGGGCCCAAGGGAGAACUAACGCUACGAGGAGAUUUACGGUGAUCCUACGAGUGCGACACCGAAGCAGUAGAGAUUGCUGCAACCUCUCAAGCACCCAACCCUAUGCAACAAGUUUUCUCAGCUUCAAAGAAACUUCACCCAACAGAACUCAAAAUACCAGAAAACAAGUCGGGGUCAGCAAAGGAAGCCAACAAAUGAGAAAGACUUCAAAAUAAUUGAUCUCCAGACUGGCGACUCUUCUAAGACAACUCUGAUUGGAACAGGGCUAGAUCCCAAAUAGGAAACCGCACUCAUCAGUUUUCUUCGGGAAAACUACGAUAUCUUCGCCUGGAAACCAGCUGACAUGCUUGGUGUGCCCAAGGAACUGAUUGAGCACUCUCUAAAUGUUGACCCCAAAGCUACCCCAAAGCGACAGCGCCUCCGUAGGUUCGCCCAAGACAGACGAGAAGCAAUCAAAAAAAAGCUAGCCAAACUACUCGCAGUAGGGUUCAUCAAAGAAGUAUUUCACCCUGACUGGCUAGCCAAUCCUGUACUCGUUCACAAGAAAAACAACGAAUGGAGAAUGUGCGUCGAUUACAUGGACCUCAACAAACAUUAUCCAAAGGACCCCUUUGGACUACCCAAGAUCGACCAAGUAGUCGACUCUACUGUUGGGUGCGAUUUGCUAUGCUUUCUCGACUGUUACUCGGGUUACCAUCAGAUAAGCCUCAAAGAAGAAGAUCAAGCUAAGACAGCCUUCAUCACUCCAUUUGGGGCCUUUUGCUACAAAACAAUGUCAUUUGGAUUAAAAAAUGCGGGAGCAACUUACCAACGCGCUAUACAGAUGUGCUUCGAAAAGCAAUUGCAUUGCAACAUAGAAGCUUACGUGGACGACGUAGUCGUCAAAACAAGAAGUCGGGAGGAUCUAAUCGUCGAUUUGGAGGAAACCUUUUCAAGCCUACGAGCUUUCCGAUGGAAGCUUAACCCUACCAAAUGCAUUUUUGGAGUACCUUCCAGCAAACUACUCGGGUUCAUCAUUAGCCAUCACGGCAUUGAGGCCAACCUAGAGAAAAUAUCUGCCAUCACAAGUAUGCUCGCACCAGCUAGCAUCAAGGAUGUGCAGAAACUCACGGGUUGCAUGGCAGCCCUUAAUCGAUUCAUCUUGAGACUUGGAGAACGAGAACUACCCUUCUUCAAGCUUCUCAAACGACAGGACAAGUUUAAAUGGACAGAAGAGGCAGACAAAGCAUUGACGCAACUCAAGGACUUCCUGUCAAAACCACCAAUCCUCACUGCUCCAUCUCCAAACGAGGACUUGCUCCUAUACAUGGCGGCUACUACUCACGUCAUCAGCACCGCAGUAGUAGUCGAACGGUCUGAACCAGGCCAAGUUUAUAAAGUCCAGAGACCCGUAUACUUCAUCAAUGAAGUACUAUCCGACUCCAAAACUCGGUACCCACCAAUACAGAAGCUGCUCUACGCAAUCCUGCUCACUUCACGGAAACUGCAACAUUAUUUUCAAGAGCACACCAUUACAGUCAUCACCGAUUUCCCGCUCGGCGAAAUCCUCCAUAAUAGAGAUGCCACGGGUAGAAUUUUCAAAUGGGCAGUAGAACUCGGAGCCCUAUCCUUGGACUUCAAACCAAGGACAGCCAUCAAAUCUCAGGCUUUGGUCGACUUCAUGGCUGAAUGGACAGAGAACCAAGUGCCAACACCGGUCAAGAGGCCAGAAGCACCGGGUAAUGUACUUCGACGAUUCCCUCAAACUCGAAGGAGCCGACGCAGGCGUACUCAUUUCCUCAAAAGGAGACCAACUCAAAUAUGUACUACAAAUCUUUUGGGAAGCCUCAAACAACAAAGCGGAGUACGAAGCACUGCUACACGGCCUUCGUCUUGCAGUCUCCCUCAGAAUCAAAAGACUACUCAUAUACGACGACUCACUAGUUGUUAUAAACCAAGUCAAUGACGAAUGGGAUCGAAACAAGGACAACAUGGAUGCCUACUGCAAAGAAGUCCGUAAACUGGACAACAAGUUGUUAGGCUUGGAAUUUCAUCAUGUCGUCCAUGACAAGAAUGUAGCCGCUAAUGUAUUAUAAAAAAUGGGCUCGACUCAUGCAGAAGUUUCAGCAGGAAUUUUUGUACAUUAACUCCAUAAACCGUCCAUACCAGAACAAAUUACACCAUCAAUGGUCAAGACUACAGAAACUAAUCGGAAAAUCAUGAUGAUAGAAGUUGACUGGAGGACACCCUUCAUCGACUACAUCAAAGACCAUAAGUUACCAUCUGACAAAAGUCAAGCUGAGCAAAUUUCCCGACGAGGAAAAAACUACGUUCUAGUCGGAGACAAGCUCUACAAGAAAAGUGCAUCAUCAGGGGUACUCAUGAAGUGUGUCACCCGAGAAGAUGGCCAAGAAAUCCUAGAAGAAAUUCAUAAAGGAAUAUGUGGCAACCAUGCAUCUUAACGAACAAUAGUAGGCAAGGCUUUCCGAGCAGGCUUCUACUGGCCCAUGGCGUUGGCAGAUGCAAAACAAUUAGUCCAAAAAUGCCAAAGCUGUCAAUUCUUCACUAAACAACAACACGUCCCUGCCUACAAACUAGUCACAAUCCCUCCAACAUGGCCUUUCGCUUGCUGGGGGCUAGACAUGAUAGGACCACUGCCAACUGCGCCAGGAGGUUUCAACCGAGUACUCAUGGCCAUCGACAAAUUCACCAAAUGGAUCGAGGUCAAACCAGUCACUUGCCCCAAGGCAGACUGAGUCCUCGACUUCUUGGAUGAAAUCGUACACCGUUACGGUUUUCCAAACAGAAUCAUCACAGACUUGGGAUCCAACUUCAACAACCAUGACUUUUGGGAGUACUACGAGAAUAGUGGAAUUGAUGUCCGCUACGUCUCAGUUGCUCACCCACGAGCCAACAGACAAGUCGAGUGUGCUAACGGCAUAAUACUCGAAGCUCUCAAGAAAAUGCUACACGAUAUUAGCAAUACAAAAGGAGGCAAAUGGCUCAAAGAGCUACCUAAUGCUCUGUGAGGACUACGAACCCAACCAUGCAAGACUACCGGGCUCUCCCCCUAUUUUCUUGUAUAUGGUUCAGAAGCUAUCUUACCCGCGGACGUCAUGUGGCAGUCUCCUCUAGUCGAACAAUACGACGAAGGAAUGGCAGAAGAAACAAGAUGCACGGAUCUGGAUAGUCUAGAAGAAAUGAGAUGCGCAACAUUAGUUCAAUCAGCCAGAUACCUCGACGGGUUAAGAUGAUACCACGACCGCAAUGUUAAGGAGUGAUCCUUCAACUUAGGUGACAUGGUCGUCAAACGAAUCCAGGACACAUCAGGGUUGCAUAAACUCAAUUCACCAUGGGAAGGUCCCUACAUCGUAUCCAAGGUCACAGGACCCGGAUCUUACAGACCACAAGAACUUUCAGGAGAGCAAGUACCAAAUUCCUGGAAUAUAGAACAUCUCUAUCGCUACUACCUAUAGUAGACAAACGUACUCGAGCCUUCGCCCCAAACAUCUCAAAACAAACUCGUUCCAGCUACUGGGAGCCGACAGUCCGACUACCGACUACAUAUGCUCUACUCUUGACACAAGACUUCAUCAAAGGUCAGCAGGCAUCCCAUCCUACGAGUCCCAAAACUUCAAAGGGCAAAGCAAUUUGUUACUCGAGUUUGAUUCAAGCAGAAAAUUUUGAAGUUACAUGUGAUUACUCAUAAUAGAGUAAGGGUACUCAAAAUACAAGAUAAUAGCACAACAAAGACUACAAGCAAUUGCCUACUGGCGGUCUGCAUUUAAGCCUCAGGCUUUUACAAUAUCACAAGGCCACACAGGCCUACCGACUACUACAAAGGGAAGGGCCCACACGCAAGGAAGCUGCGCAAAACAUAGCCAUAUCCAGGUCCUCCUCCCAAACAACACCAGGUACUGCUUCACCACCGCUACCUCGACAGCGGCAACGAUGAAUCCCGAGUGCUGCAUAAGGGAGAAAAAAUAAGGUUGCUCUCUUGCUAGCCUUGGCGAGCCGUCCCACACUGCAUGCCACACCUCCAGCUCUAAGAGAGCCGGAUAAAGACCGUGGCACUCAUCACCCAUCACUCGCGAGUUCCAACAUGGACUUAGCUUGAUCACGAGCUGCAAGAUGAGGCACGCAACGAACCCUCCUACGAGGAUUCUUCUAGCAUCGCGGCUAUCCCUAUGAGCGCUAGAGUUUGUGGAGGGAAGGUGGCUCUAAUCUACAAGGAAUCUUCUAGCACCAGAAUACUCUUUGAAGGCUCUCUACAAUCAAAUAACAACAACCGAAAGCAAUCCAUCACUACUCAAGCCUGAUCCUGGUCGACCUCCAUGGUAGUCUAUUUAUAGCCUAGUGUCACAACUACCAACCACUCGGGAGUUACUAUUCGCUCGUGACAACAAAAGUACUGAUGAGUCAAGAUGCUCUUUGACUCCAUUCAUUACUCGGAUGGUGGUCUCAAAGUACUCGGAAUUGUGACGCUUGACUACAAAGUACUCGAGGUCUUGUCGGGCAUACAUCCCAGGCCCACGAGUAGGUCCUGUGCGGCCCACUAAGGGGCGUACUCGGACACAAUCAAGACUAGGGGGCUACGCGGUAAGAAGCGUAUCCCACUCGGAGUAGUUAGGUGUGCAUAUGGAAACUACUCGGUCUACACCGAGUAGAACUCUGUAAUCGUACCCGACUAGGAUUCAAACUUGUAACCCUGCUCUCCUGAGUAUCUAAGGGUGGGCAGGGAUCCCCUCAAAGACAACUCCUUCAACUCAUCCAAGUUCAAUACAACCUACUCACAAGACGUAGGGUGUUACGCGAUCUAGCGGCCCGAACCUAUCUAAAUCGUGUUCCUUGCGUCACCAUUGACUCCUUGAUUCUCGACGGCCCUUACCGCACAAAAGACCACCUAGGGUACCCCCUAGGUGGGUUGCUAGUCUAAAACACUGACAACCGCCGCCACAAGGAGGAAAAACGGAGAGAAGAUUGGAUCUACAAGAAGCCAUCCGAAGUGGAGCGCCAGAGGAGGAAGGAACCUCCCAAGCCGAUCGGCUUGGAGGUGCCCAGGCCGAUCGGCCUUGCGCUUUCCUGCCCCCGUUUGUCGUUAUCUUUGGUCCAAUUGAUCUACUGGGCGUACCCAGAAUUCGAUCAACAUGUGUAAGAUCAUGGGGUAAAGUCUCUGUUUGUCCUCGGGGUUAUAUGGAGAUCUUGAUUUAUAAUCGUUGAACCUCCUAUUUAAGAUCUUAUUUAAGAUCUGUUUGUUAUUUGUCAUAUCUUGAUGAUGCUCUUUCUUGUAAUGGCUGGCCAGCGCUACUUUGGGUUGCUUAUUCAAGUCGUGUUCUUAUCGUUCAAUAUUUGAGUACUCUCGUGUAGUGACAAUGUGCAAGAGGGAAAGUGUUGGGCAUAGUUCACAUCCACUCACAAUAACAUUUAGAUCCAGCUCUUUCUUGCAUGGUGAUUACAUCUACAAGUGAUCCUAGAUCCCUAGGACAAGCAUUUUAUCUAUCUUAUUUACAUUCAUACUCUCUAUCUACUUUAAUCUAAGUCACUAGUUCUUUUAUUAGAUAAAUCUUAUGAUAUACAAAGAACCUUCGGUUACAUAGAUUAUUGCUUAGUUUAGCAUGCAAAUUAACUUGUUCCACGGAUUGAUAAACCUUGGGGAUUACUCUAAGGGAUAUGUUUGCGGUUCAUAAAUUGACGUGUUAAACUGCCGUCAACAAUAGUUUGGAUUUCAAACAAUGAAAUGUGAUAUAAUAAUGUUCUGCUGCAUGUAUUGAGACAGAGGCCUUGGGAGGGGGGGAGUUUGCACGAGAUAGAAAAGAGGGACUAAUGUGAAAUGAAGAAAUGAUCGGGAGUAUACUCUGUUGCCACCUCGGAAGCGCUCUCACUUGUUUCACCAGCUCCACCAAUUAGGUGGAAAAAACUUAUCGUAGCUCUGAACAUUAUAUAUAUUGGUAUUGGCAUACCAUAAGGUUCUUACCUUAUUUGCUGGUGUUAGUGUAGAUCAUAAGAUUUCACGUUAGUUUACAUGGCAAGAUCACCCUAUCAUACCAUCUGUGUACGCCAUGGAAAAUUAUAUUCGCAAUGGUUCUAGAGAACAAGCAAAUAGAUUGCUAUUGCUGCACAGGUUAAUUAGUCCUUGUUGAUAGGCAAGGAGAGCCCUAUUGCUGUGGCACUGGGUGCUGUCUUCACCUCGUGUGGCUGGCCUGUUCCGUCUAAUAUAACCCUAAGUCUGUAGAAACCUUAUUCAAAAUACGACCUUCCAGACCUAAUCUUCCUAUUUAUUUCUUUCAUCUCGUUGACAUCUAACGUUGUUGAAAGUAGUAAGGACCAACUCACAGGGCAUGCUAUAAAAAAAUUACGUCCUCUUUCAUAUGUCAAACACAUAAAGACACAGCACCAUUCGACUAUUACACUGUUGAAAAUUACAGAGACUCUAGGCAGUGAUAACUGUUAGAAGAUAAGAUAAGAUGGUGAGAAAAUAGUCUGAUAAACAUGUUACAAUCAAUUAGACCUGAGCAUUUUAAACCCAGCCCGCGAGCCCAGCCCGACCCCUAUGGGUUUUGGCCUGCCCACGCUACCUGCCGGGCCGGGCGUGGUCAGCGAAAACCAAGCCCGAAAAACAAUCGAGCCGGCCCGAGCCUGCUCAAACUAUUAAUUUCAUUUAUUUUUCUAUAAAAAAGAACAGGCGGCCUGAGCCCAACCCGAGCCUGGCCUGCCCGAUCCGUUCUGAAGCGAAGUUGCGCAUUGUUUGCGCUCUCUACAAGCUAGCUUGCAGGCCUUGCUCCUACGCAAAUAUGCUCUGGCUCUACCUUCCUGAAUUUUGCUUAAGCUAAAAUUCCUGAUGUAUCCCAUUCCCAUCCCCAUUACAAACCUCUCGUCAUAGGGGUCACCACUGAAUUCCUAGUGCCAUGCUAGUCAGAAUACUCGUCAUCUACCCUAGUUUCAGCUGAGCCAUUCCAUACUACACGAGGCGUGAAAUUUGCUCUGUUUCACCAGGAGAAAUGAAAGUGAUUUUUCUCCCCGAUCGAAGGGUCUAGCUUUAUAGGAGUGCAACAUAACUCGUGAAGUGAGCUUUUCUGCUUCCAUUGAUUCACCUACCGGCCACUACAUGGAUAACACAAUGCAUAUGCACAAGUACACUGGGUAUUAGGUCACCAAAUUGAAUACGAUAUAAGAGUUGAAUGUUGAAUAUUUUGGUAAGAUGAUGGUUGAGGAGAUAUGUUGUGCAUGAAUUACUUCAACCCACAAAUUAAUGAAUAUUUUGAAGGGCCACAUCAUUUUAUUUAUGGAGCAAAUCACGUUCAGUUUUCCCACUUUAUUUGUGGAGUAAAUAAUGCAGAGGGCAACACCAUGUGCAAGAAAACGGAGUCGCCUAACUCUUGACCAUUAUUGCGCUACAUAGGGCAGAAAAGAUGGAGGGAGAGAGAGACAGAGCGUGUUUUGAACCCCAUAUAUAUAUGCUCAUGCGAAAGAUCUGAGACUAUGAAUUUGUACUGGCUCUUCAGCUCAACAAAAUAAUUUUGUUUGACUUAACGGUUGCAAAUGCAAAAGAUACCAGAGUCGGUAUCGUGGACGGUUCGUUCUUUUGGCCAGCAUCCAGGACCGUACCUGGCCAAGAUAAAAGCAAAAAUACUAGCUAGCGCCGCUAAUUUCCCAGCUCACGCUGGCACAUCGGCCUGCUGUGGCACACUAUAUUCACCGGCAGUCUCGCCAACUGGCGACGUCGAACGACGAUGAAACCAUGUAGUGGGAUGUGUACAGGAAUGCUGUGUAUCAGCUGCCUGAGGUGCAAGCUAUGCAGCAGGUGUCCAACUCGGGCUGUAAAGCUUGCUUGAUGGUUCAGUCUUUCUUAUUUUCAGUUGGUUUGAGUUUCCAAUGUGUCCCAUACCCAAGCCUCACCCUCAGUCACCAUUCAACCGCGGCACCGUAACUGUCCUUGACCAUGGCUCUCCUCCGGCUUCAUUCUCGCCACUAUGCUAUAUAAAGGAGUUGAAAUUAUAUUUUGGAUGUAGUCUAUUUUUUUAGAUAAGGUACCUUUGUAGCUAGCUGCCUGCAGUAAAUUAGCAUUUUGGUUUUUAUUGAAUCCUAAACAUGCUAGAUAGCUGGAGGAUUAACGUGCCAAGCAAGUGCACCAGCUAUAAAUGAGUCACUUAGUAGGGAUAAAAUGCUUUGAUAUUUUUUUUCUUUCUCUUCUCUCUAUGUGAAACUGCACAGGAAACAACGACGCAUACUAAAACCCGUAACAUCUUAACAACACUUGUCGACUAUAUUUCUUUCAGCCUGUCAGAGGCAACCCCUAUCAAAUAUAAAAAACGAAGAGAAACAAAAUGAUAAUUCAAGGAAAGAAUUAACAAUAGAGGAUCAAUAAUGCUCAGAUCCAAAGCAUUCGACAUUCUUGUCCCUGUUAUGAUGCCCACAAUGGCCUUGCACUCUACCAGUCUGUCGCGAUCCCUGGGAACGGCCUGCUGGAAUAGUACCGUACCAUUUCGACUAUAUCUCUUUCAGCUACCAAACAGUAUUUUCCUCUCACAAUAAAUUAGCCGUUUCAGCUUUUCAGCUAGCUUAUAAGCUGAAGCGAACAGGUGCAUGGACGAGCAGCAGCUGAUGGACUGGUCCUUCAUGGCAGCCGCUACGGGCGCAAGCCGUGAGGAAGCUGCGGCGAUCUGGUGGAGGGCGGCAGACAGGUUGCACUCAUAGGUUGACAAGGAUUAUGUCUCAGCACAGUAGAAACUCCCAAUGUCUCCCAUCUCCAACCGGAAACAUCACCCGUCGGCCAUUCGAAAUUGAAACUGCCAUGCUGUUCAAAACUACAAACUACUCAUCAUCGGCCCUGGCCUCUCCUCCAUACAAAUGAGCUGUACUUUUAUUUUUAGAGGUCACCUCUGCCAAUAAAACAUGUAAACUUUAUGAGGGAUUCACAUUUGUAGGCGCGCACACUUAAUUGAGCUCUUAGGUUUCCAUCGACCCCGUAACAGUAUAGCUGGCUAGCUAGUUCGAAUGAUAAUGGUAAGGAAUCAAUGCUCGUAGCCUAAGAGGGGGAGGGGGUAAAUUAGGUAACUUAAAAACUUAACAUAUAGCUUCCACUAUUUUGCAUAAAAAUAUAAACUAGAUCAUGCUAUCUAGAUGUGCAACCUACUGUUGAUCUAGUGUGAAACUCUCAUCCCAAAACAAGUUUUGCAAUCUAUAGCUAAUCCUAUCAAUACUACUCUAGGAAAGUAAAGGCACACAAGUUGCAAGUAUGAAAUGCGAAAACGUAAGGAGAGGAUGAGAGGAAGCAAACUCUUGACACAAGGAUUUAUCCCGUAGUAUCGGUAGGCACUAAGCCACCACUAAUCCACGUUGUUGAAGCACUCACACAAAAGUAUUGCUUCCCGGUCACCAAGUCUCUCCCAAGGCACCCCUUGACUUGCCACAAAGGCUCGGCCACUAAGACACACGCCAAGUUCCUCGAUCACCUUGAUGCCGUUUCCACUAAGGAGUUUCUUCACGAAGGAAGGUGGUCUCCACGUCGCCCGCACAAGAUCAUCGACGCCACUCCACACCAAGCCGGAAGGUCGAAGACUUGCCGGCGAACCACCAAGGCUCCAAGGCACCGGCACACCUUUUGUACAGCGGUGGUUCACUCUAGAACCUGAUCACAAGGUCAGCACACCUUGCACUCACUCGUCUCCAAGCCUAUUCUGGCACUAAUCACUCUCCUAAGCUUGUGCUAAGCUUUUGAUGGAUCACUUAAGUAUUUUUGGCGGCAUGGAUGUGUUCUUGAUGAGUCUUGGUCUUCAAUGUAUUCCUGGACACUCCAACAACUCCAAAUGGGCGAGUGGUGGGGAUAUAAAUAGCCCUAAGGGCUCAAAGAACCGUUGCUCCAACGGCUAGUAAAAAAGUAUACCAUUAGAUGUUCCGAUGGUCUAUUUUUAACCUGCAACGGAACAUCCGGUGCAACUAGCUGUUGGAUUCUCCGUGCCCAAAUUCUCCAGAAAUUGAUCAAACGCUUUAUCCGAUGCCCCCAUCAGUUCAUCCGGUGCCACUGGCCACGUCACAUAGCCGUUGGAUCCCCUGACAUCAUUGCUCCAAUGCUUCUUCUGAUGGAACCAUCGGAUCAUCCGGUGCUGAAGGCAUUCUAGCCAAAAUCUUCUGUUUGGGAUCAAAGAAAAUAUGUUUUGUCUGAUGCUGCUUUCUUAUCCUAGCAUGGGAACAUCCGAGGUCCCCUUCUCUUCUGGCUAUUGCUCCGAUGGUACUAGAAAAGUGGGCAUCGGAACAUCUGAUGGUUUACCCUUGACUUGACUUUUGCCCGGCGUACCAAUUGAUCCAAUGCUUGUUCCGACGCUCAUUUGGGGGCCAUCGGAACAUCCGGUGGUGCAUUUUCAUUCCAAUUCGUCCAAUGCGAUCACCAAAAAUACCGUCACUUGGAUGGUCUAGAAUUAUUUAGAUUUUUUUAUCAUUUGGAUGCUUCAAUACUAUAAAAUAAUCCUAAAUAUCAUGGCUUGGUCACUUAAAUACCAUAGCUUGGAUACUCGAAUACCAUGACUUGGAUGACAAGAAUACCAUCAUUUGGACCUUGCCAUGAUUUGGUUAGCAUUCUUGGGACCUAGAAAGCCUACAAGGUACAUGCUAGACAAAGCAUUAGUCCCAAUGACUAUGUCACCAAAAUCAUAAACUAUGGCUUAAUGAGGCCAUGUUCGCUACAAUCUCCCUUUUUUUGGUGAUUGAUGACAACACAAACAAAGCAACAAAAAUUUUGCAAAAAUUGAUCAAUUGAACCACUUACACUUGCUUGGAUGCUUAUCAUCAUCCAACCUCCCCCUUUGAACAUCUUCAUAUGAUCCCCUUGAUGUACUUCUCCUUUUUUCUUGGAUUUCUCACUCUAUGUAUGUUCACACUCCCCCUUUGGAAUCAAAUCGUCAAAAUAACAAUCUUUCCAGUUUGUAAGCCUACAAGACCUUGCAAAGGUAGCUCAAAGGAAAACAACGGCCGCCGUGAUGGCCAUGCCAUCCACCACCGCCCUGACGUCCAUGUACCCCGUAGCCGUGAUUAGCCAGGUGACCCCGGCCUCCAUAUCCGCCACAUCCUCCAUAGCCAGGAUUGAAACCCGAGGUGAACCCUGGGUUAAAACCCUGGCCGCGCCCUGCGGCAAGCUGGACCUGACCGCCACGUCGAACGCCAUGGUGUGCUUGACGACGGUCGUUGGCAGGUACUCCCGCUCCUUCUUUGGCCGCCAUGACCGACCUUGCGCGCCCGAACUUCACAGCGUCCGCGUAAGAGCGAUGACGAUGAGCAGUAGCCGGCGGCGCAAGUUUUCGCGUAGGGUUUUGCUUGCGUGCAGUCCCAGUACGAGAAAACAAAAAGACAAGCCCAGGCGCCUAAACCAUUUGCCUGGCCCAAUUAGCACCUGUCCAUCGUGGCACUCCAUUUACAUUGAUUUUUUUUUUUGAUUUUGAACUAUGCGUCAAUUUCGCCUCCAAGAAGGCCGGCGAUCCGUGAUCGUCGGCCCUCGCCCUGAAUGUUCGCGUCUCAUCGGCUUGUCCGCCCAUUGCACCACCGACAGUUGCCGGCGAUAGGCCAUGGGUUGCAGAACACCGACGAUCGCCAGAUGUUGGUGACCCAAAUCGUUCCUGAUGUUUUCCGCACCUGAUAGCAUCUCCGGUUAUCACCGGUGAUAGGCUAGAUGAGGACAAACGGUUCCCCGGAGAACUUGUUUUAGUGCUCACCGACGCUUUGUCUAGAGCAUCUCCCUUAUUAUCAGUUCGUUUGAAACUCCCAAUGUGUCCCAUACCCAAGGCUCACCCUUAGUCACCAUUCACUGCACGCGGCACCAUAAUGGUUGGGCUUAUCCUCCACCUUCAAUCUUGCCAGGUGCCACUCUGCUAUAAAAGAGGAGAAGUUAUAGUUUGGAUGUAGCCUACAUUUUUUAAUAACGUACAUUUUGUAGCUGCAUGAAGUAAAUUGAGCAUUUUGGCUUUUAUUGGAUCGUAAACACGCUAGAUAGCUUGAGGAUAAAUGUGACAAGUAUACCAGCUAUAGAUGAGUCAAUUAGGGAUGCAAGUGAGUGCCCGUUCCUUGCUACCGUUUUCAAAGUAUGAAGUAUCAGAGAAGCGAUUAUGAUCUGCCUUACCGUUUUCAGAUAAUAGUAAAUGCAAAUUCCUUUGUAUUGCUUUACCAUAGCCACUGCCUCUAGUUCCAUGCACACAUAAGCAUGAGAGUGAUAUACAGUUGAUUAGUUAACGCUAUGUUCUUAAAAUAUUACAUAGGAUGCCCGUCUUGCAGUAAGAUGGAAGGAAAAGUAUGGUGCUGAAAUACUGAACAAUUGCCAAAGGAAGACGCAUCUUUCUUCUAAUUUCUUUUAGAGAACCCCAAACUAGUAUACGACCAGUGCCUACAGUCAUGACUAUCUAUUAAUUCAGGAGUCGGAGCAAUCUAUCUAACCGGUUAAUCAUAAACUGCAAAUUGAGAAAAUAACAUGUGGUAGUUUCGUGAUUCUUAGGAUUUGGGUGCAAACUGUUUCGCAAUCUAACUGAUUAUCAGACUUUUCUAAUAAACAUGUAUACAAUGGACUUGUUUGAUUUACUGCAUACUCAAGUUUAAGCCUAGCUCAAUGCGCGCUCCGUCAUCUAGUGGACAGUAUUGUGUAUGCAAGCUUCACUAGAAGCAGGUAAUUACAUAAGUUAGCAAAAGGCUGACUACCCUGAUCAGAGUGACAGUGCAUGCGCUGCUCAAAUUCUGGGUGUUACAUGCUCAGCUAACGCAAGCCAGAUACCCAACCAAAAAAUCCCGUUGCCUUGCUAGUCUGGGAUUACAGCUUGGGUAUUAGCAUCUUGAUCCAAAACUCGUGAUGUAUCCCAUGCCCAUUACAAAGCCCUUCAAGAGUGGCCUCUGAAUUGUAGUUACCAUUCUAUUCGGCAUAUACUCGUUAAUCUUUCCAGUUUUACGGUAGCUGUUCCAUACUAACGGAGGUGUGAAUUUUGUUUUCUGGGUGCUGUCACUCUUGCACCAAGAAGCAAGUGACCUUUUUACUGGAGUGUGUACUUUUAUAGUUAUACAUUGUAAAUUCAGAAUUUACGCUCUCAUCGGUCAUUCACCGGGUAGCUAUAUACACACACAUUGAGAGAAUGAAAGCACGUUGCAUUAUAUGCACAAGCACACUAUGUACAUUAUAUAUGGAAAGAGGCCUGGGGGGAGGGUUGUUCCAUAUUAAAGAUUUUCGGUGCUCCCUCUACUGAGUUUGCACGAGAUUAAAAGAUGGACCAAUGUGAAAUGAAAUGAUCGGGACUAUACUGUAUUGCUAGCUCUGAAGCGCUCUCCUGGUUUCACCGGCUCCACCAAUUGGGCAGAAAAAAACUUGACUUACCUGGAAACAUUAUAUUGGUGCUGGCAUACCAUAAGGUUGUUAUCUUACCCGGAAACAUUAUUCUGGUGCUAGCAUACCACCGGCUCCACCAAUGCUUGAUUGCAAGAUCACCCUAUCAUACCAUGGGUGUACGCCAUGGAAAAUUAUAUUGGCAACAGCACUAGAGAACUCUAAGCAUAGGACAGAGUCGCACAGGCUAGUCCUUGUCAAUAUGCAAGGAACCCUAUUGCUGUGGCAGUGGGUGCUCGACGCGUUGUCCUAUGUUGUGUGCAACAACUUGUGUAUGUGCCCGUCGUGUUUUCUCUGUAAGUAUUUUUCUUCUGCCGUGUCAAGUUUGUGAAGAGAAGAAGAAUGGCUUGCGAUACUGGUGAUGACUGGUGACGUCCUGGGAAUUCUGCAAGUCAGACUCGAUGUGACGGACAUCAGAUUCGAUGCCAAUAUGGUAUCUGGGUCCUCCAAGGAAGUAGUUAAGGGCAUCAAGCAGAGCCGGAUUGUACACUUGGGUUGAUGUUGCUGUCAAUGGUAGAACCAGCUGAGGGAUUUUGGAACAUAUAUAGCAACCAAAAGAAAAAGAUUCACAACUCCUUUAGUAUGGAAUAGAUCCGCAAAACUGGAGAGGGUGAAGUGAUGAUCAUGACUAUGCUAGCACGGAAUAUUGGGAAUUCAAUGGCAACCCUUGUAGAGCGUUAGGAUAGGGAUGGGAUUCAUUGGGAGUUUUAGCUUAAAUCUGAGGUUGAUAUCACGAGCCAUAUCGUGUCCACACACCAGCAAAGCUUGUGAGCUAGCUUGUUUGAAGGGUUCUGUGCAUGCUGGAUUGGUGUGAUUUUGGGAUUGAGAAUUUUGGUUCCCAUGGCCAAAGAUGGAUAUGCAAAUUCGAGCAGUUGAACUGCUUUCUCAUCAAGGGACACCGAGUAGCCGCCAGAUGCAGCGUAAACUGCUUCCCUAUACUAACUGUUUGUUCGUCAUCAUCUGUUCGAGGACACCGCGUAGCCACCAGAUGCAGCUGACUGCUCUUGUAGGCAUUUGAUUAACAGCGAUUGUCAAUUGGAUCUCACCGGCUGCCGCCUACCAUUCUAGGGCACGAGAUUACACUAGGUUUGUGACUAGUAUACUGAGAACGAUAUCAUGAUGGGGUGGGAUAAAUCCUAGAUACCCAUUAAAAAUGGUGCACAAUAUAGUUGUUAUUCUUUUUCUUCUAUGAGUAUGAAGCAUUGGAUUAUCCAUGUGCUUAUAUAUUGCUAUUCCAUUUCUUCUGAGAUUAUAAUCUUAAAUUUUUAAGACUAAGAUUGAGCGACAAUGCUUGCUUAUGGCAUAGUUUAUGGGCCUAAUAAGUGGCAUAAUGGGCUAUAGGUCGGGCGGUGAUGUUUAGCGCCUACAGAGUAUGUUAAAAUGUAGUCACCUUGGUGACGAAUUUUGUGAAGUGACGUAAUUUUGGUAGCAUUUGCAGGUGUUAAAUAUUGCAAAGAUACCAGACAAGUAUAAGUCCGAUCAAAAGAAACUAGUGAACAAACAAGAAGAUGAGACAAUGCACUACUAGGGAAUGGACCUCUCGUCCACGGCCUCAGGUCACUUUUUGGUCCUGGAUAGUCCCGGAGGAGGCACCUGUGAGGCCCUUUAGUACCGGUUGGGGGCAACAACCGGUACUAAAGGGUGCACAUUAGAAAACCGGUACUAAUGCGCCACCCAUCCUUUAGUCCCGGUUUGUCAAUUAUAGUUAGAAAAUGUAUAAAUAUUAGUCAUUCAUUUUCAUAAUCGUUUUUUGUAAUUAUAUGUAUAAGUCAUAGUCAUUGUUAUUAUAAUAGUCAUUUUAUUUUUUUUAACAAGUUGUAUAAGUGUAUUAUCCUUUUUUAGUCAUUUAUUAUUGUUAUAAAUUGUGUAAGUGUUUAAUUCUUUUUGUAGUCAUUCUUUUUAUUGUUGUUGCCUACUAUUUCUUAGAAUAAUUCCUUUUAUAUUAUACUAGUUAUAAUGGCACGAUCAAAGGACGAGUAGGACGCUCGAACGAUAGAGGAGCUCAUAUUUCAGUUGAUUGCUAAAGGCGGCACAAACGAUCAACCAAAUGAAAAGAUUGAUCACAGCCAAGCUGACAUCUACCUCAACAUGUCUGGUGAUGGUAACGAGGAGCAACCGAUUGCCGAGGAAGGCAAUGAGGAGCAACAAAUUGCCGAGGGAGGCAGGGAUGGGCAACAAGGCGAGGUAUAGCAAUUAUUGUAUGUAAACAUUAUUUGAAUUCUCUUCUUAUUGAAAGAAACAUCAGCACGCAACAAAUUGUUGUUUUCAGCCAUCUGGAUCGAGUAGCAGGCCUCAAAAGAAACGAGGCAAGAACAAGAAGUUAGAGGGCUGUAUCAUCAUCACAGAAAAUGCUGAAGAUGGUGAACCGAUUGCUCCUGCCAAUGCUAAGACAAAAUUGGUGAAUCAGAUUGGGUUUCUUGUCAGAGAUAACAUCCCAAUCAACUUUCAGAAUUGGAAAAAACCUCGUCGCUUCAACAGGCAUGGUCUCGGCCCCCAUAAGCUUCGUACCUGACCUAGAGAAGAAUAUGUUACGGGAACAAUUAAAAGAUAACUUCACAUUCGAAGGUGUAGAGGAAGACAAAGUGAAAGAAUGGGGCUUCAAGAAGGCUGCAAUUGCUUUUCAGAUGUACAAGAAAAACUUGAACAAAGAGUACAUAAAGAAGGGGCUUACACCUAAUUUUAAUAAGCACCCGAAGUUAAGGGAUCACUGGGAUUCCUUUGUACAGUUCAAGCAAUCAGAAAAGAGCCAGUUGCAAACUCGGACCAACACCGACAGUGCUCACAAGAAGUAAUACUUUCAUUAUCUUGGGACAGGAGGUUACAAGUCAGGGAUCAUAAAAUGGAAAAGGAUGGAAGAUGACCUAAUUGCUAGGGUAAUAAUACUACAGACUCUCGAAUGUCCUGAGCGAGCAAAGAAUUGGUUUUAUGCUCAUGGCAGCACGCUCAAUCCCGAAGAUGGAUCAAUUGUGUUUGGCAAUGAAUUAAGAGAAGUGGCUACGAGACUUGAUGACUUAUUAAAGAAAACGGCCCAUGGAUCUUUCGUGCCUGAUUGAGAGAGGGACGAGCUGACUAUAGCACUUGGAAAUCCUAAACACCCUGGACGAUGCCGAGGCAAAGGAGUCAUUUUGUGGAAGUUUGCCUUUUCUGAGCACAUUGAUUCAUAGAGAAGUCGCCAAAGAAGUAAGGCCGACCACGCACGAUAGCUACGAGAGUUGCAAAAACAUGUAGCAGCAUCAGAGGCAAGAAUGGAGGAAAUAAUCGACUGGCGUGUGGUGCUAGCUUUGAGCAAACAAGCCAGUGAACAAGCAGUUGCUGCAGCAUCAGGGCCACAUGUCGAUGUAAGCCCGACUCAGCGUUGAAGCAGUGUUGCUUCCACGGAAGCCCCAGUUGGAGGAUCCUCUGAGAUACUUGAGGACAACCAACGCCACCUCAUGGACGGCAUCACUGGGAGAGCCCCUGUGAGUUUGUUACUCCCAUGAAAAACAAGCUCAUCAUGGUGGCUUAUGGUGUGGCUAAGCAACCGACGCAAGGACAAACAAUUCAUGGCGUGGAGAUUCCAGCUCGCGGUUACGCCAAAUUUGGGGUGGACUGAGUGGUCAACGGUUGGGAUGACCUGGAACUAGAGAUCCCUGGAGGUGACGGGGAAAGGAAUCUAGGAGAAGCCAUCCAUGGUUGGAUUCUGUGGCCCAAGCGCUACAUAAGGAUUACGCAGCCAAAUCCCCCGACCUUGGGAUCAUCUCCUCAAAGCUCAAGGGCAAGAUCACCUACACCAUCUGCCAGGGCACCCUCUCCACUACCAUACAGGGAUCCUAGCAUAAGUCCAGUACCAAAAAGGGAUCCAAGAAUGAGUCCACCUCCACCUCCCAUGAAGAAGCCUUCAGUUCCACCUCCACCUCCUAAGAAGAAGCAGAAUAAGUGGAAGGAGAAGCAACUAGUGCCUAAAUUACCAUACGACAUGACAGAUGAGGAACUCCGCGUAGCAGUGGAAGCUGAGAAAAAAAAAGCUUUCUACGCAAGUUGUGUAGAGCGAAAAAAUAGAAAGAGCAGCCACCACUUGAUAAGGGUAAACUUCAGGCUUUCAUCAGAAGUAUGGAGGAAGAGCAAAGGAAAUAGUUAGAGAAACCAUCGCUAUCUGAUUACAAUAGGCAGAUAACAAAGGUUUUUAAGUAGGGGAAGAAAAGUGGGUCAACUAUUCCUCAACUUGGAGCCCAAUCCAACCAAUCAGUUGCCCUACUCAAGGUUCUUUUUGAGUUUGAUAAGAACCUACUCAAUUCGCUAAAAAUACAAAACUCACCGUAGCUUAACUUCAAGGGGAGGAUCACAUCCCAAAGCACCCUGGGGCUGCUAAAUGAAAAUAUGAGUAUGGGAAACCGCUUGUGUGGCCACAGUUGGUGGACCGUCUCCCAACGAAGAUGUACAAGUUGCACCAAUGGUACAUAGAGGCCACAGCAGAGGGUUUUGCCAUGCUCGAAGUUCGGAUUGGUGAUGAACAUUUUUUCCAUGGGGAUGACAUCAUAAAUAUGCCGCUGGAGGAAUUGUAUUUCCUGUUCAAUCAAAACGCACUUGACAAGUCACUCAUCAGUUACUGGGUUCUAUAAGUCUUUAUUAUAUUCCUCUAACUUCAAAAUCCCCGCUCUAGUCAAUUUGCAAUGUCUUAACUCCUAUUCGAUUUUUUAUCAUGCAGGAUGGAGAUUCAAACCUGUCGGAGGAAUGGAUACUAUGAUGUAGGCUUCAUGGACCCCGAUGUUGUAAACGAGGCAAAUCUAAGAGAUAAACCAAAUCGGACCUUGAAGAAUAUAUAUAAGUUUAUUGACAAGCAACAUUACAAGAAGUACAUACUGCUACCGUACAACUUCAAGUGAGCGUGUUUCCCAUCUCUUUCAUUUUCAAACUAGCAGUUAAGCAUAAGACUAACUAGAUUUAGUUUGGCUGUGCAGAUUCCAUUGGAUACUCAUUGUUGUUGUGCCUGAUAUGAGCAUCGUAUAUGUCUUUGACUCUUUGAGGAAACCAAAACAAGAAUACAAUGACAUCAUAGAUGCUAUGAAAAAAGCAUGGGCUCGAUUCUGUCGAACUCACGUGGGUGAAUUCAAGGAAGAACUUCAAUGAAAGUCUGAAUUCCCGGUAUGUGUUGAAUUUUCACAUCUCGUGACACUUUCUUUAACACAAUAAAUAUUUCAUAACUUUUUUUUCCAUGUAUAUAGUGUUCGAGAUAGGAGCCGCAUACUAAUUUAUGCAGAUACUAUGUAUGUGAGUUCAUCCAUGGCCUUGUAGGUCUGAAGCGUAUGACCGACCACGAAUUAACCGUACGUAUACAAAAUUCUCAACAAUAAAUUAGUUCUACUUAGAAAAUUAACUCCUGUGUAUAUACUUCAAUAAUCAAUUCAUAUGCUUAUACUUCAAAAACCAAUUCAUGUGUAUAUACUUAGAAAAAUUAGAUUAAGUAUUUCAAUUUAUUUGCUUAUAUUUCAAAAAUAAAUUCAUGUGUAUAUACUUAGAAAACUUAGAUUAAGUAUUUCAAUUUAUUUUUUUAUACUUCAAAAACCAAUUCAUGUGUAUAUACUUAAAAAAAUUAGGUUAAGUAUUUCAAUUUAUUUGCUUAUAUUUCAAAUAAGUUUCAAUUGUGCAAACCCAUUGAUCUACUAUAUAUAUAAUAAACUUUCCCAAUGACUCAAAUGAUGUACAGGAAGGAUAGACUCUUCGACACGGAAGUUUUUAGGGCAAUACAAGAACAACUCUGUGGAUUUCUUCUGGACGAGGUCAUAAAUUCAGCGGAGGAGUUUCAUAAUGAUGGAUCAAAUCUACAUAACCAUCAGGACUCGAGUUCAGAAUAGUAGAUACAAUAUGUGUAUGCACAAUAUGUCUAUAUAUAUGUGUAAUAGUAUUAUGCAUAAUAUCUAUAUAUAUAUAUAUAUAUAAUAGUAUCUCAAAUGUAAUAUUAAAGAUAAAUAAAACUUUAUAUAUAUUAGCGUAGACUAGUAUACGUAAAGGAAACAAAUACGAAAUACAAAUAUAGAAUAAAGAAAUAGAAAAUAAGAAAAGAAAGGAAAAAACAAAUUAGUACCGGUUGGUGACCGGUAUUCAUUAGGCCACCCCGCGCGUGGUAUGGCAAGCCUUUUAGUACCUGUUGGGUACUAAAGGACCCCCUCUAGUACCGAAUUGCCAGUACCGGUUGCACAACCGAUACUAAAGGGGGUUUCCGACCAGCUUUAAACGUGGAUUCCUAGUAGUGAUGGUUACGACUUCAGCAAAACUUUUGGAGAGCUCAAGCAAUGCCGUGUUUGAUUCAGUAAUUUUUGGUCUGUAAGUGUAAUUUCUCUACUGCUGAUGCUAUCAUAUAGAUGGCCAGAUGGGCCGCCCGACAGUAGCCCAAUUUGGCCCGACCCGAAUAGGCCCCUCACUAUUAGGCCCGAUAGCUUUUUCAUGCCGGGCCGGGCCGGCACAGCGUGCCAAACUGCUAGCCCAGACCCAGCACGAUGGCCUUUUUAUCGUGCUGGCUGGCACUACCGUGCUAGUGCCUAGCCCGACACUGGGUGCACCUCCUAGCAGCGGCAGCCCCCGGCGGCGGCGGGCGCGCCUCCAAGCAGCGGCGGCCCUCAGUGGUGGCAGGCCUGCCUCCAGGCAGUGGCAGCCCCCGGCGGCGGCGGGUGCCCCUCCUUGCAGCGGCGGCCCCCGGCUGUGGCGGGCGCGCCUCUCGGCCGCGGCGGGCACCCCUCCUUGAAGCGGCAGCCCCCGGCAUCGGAGGGCGCCCUUCCAGGCAGCGGUGGCGGCGGGCGCGCCUCUCGGCCGCGGCAUCCCCCGGCGGCGGCUGGCGCGGCUCGAGGCAGCACCGGUCCCCAGCGGCAGCGGGCGCCCCUCCUUGAAGUGGCAGCCCCUGGCGGCGGCCCCCGGUAACGGCGGGCGCCCCUAUAGGCAGCGGUGGUCCUGGCGGCGGCGGGCGCGCCUCCCGACCGUGGCAGCCCCUGGCGGCAGCGGGCGCCCCUCUAGGCCGCGCCCUCAGCGGCGGCGGGCGCCCCUCCCGGUCGCGGCGGAGGUGUGAGGGGAGGGAGGGCUGAGGGGCGGCCGUGGUGGUGUCAUGGGAUGGAGGGGUGGCGGAUCGACGGUCGAGCGGUGGAGGCAUCACGGGAGAGAGGGGCACCCUGCUGCUGUAUGUUGGGGGAGUGGAGGAGGGUAAAGAGUUAGAGUUUUUUCUGUAUAUAUAUGGACUUGUGGGUUGCUCAUCAAACGGUUGGGAGGGGAACGUAUGCUCAUCCAACGGUUCGGAGGCGGGGGGUUGCUGGGUAUCGGGCCGGCAUCGGGUUGGCUCCAAAAUCAUGUCGGGCUCGUGCUGGCCCAAUGUGCUGGGGAGGCGGCCCAGGCCUGACCCAACGCAUCAUGCCGGGCCGGCUCGGGUACCAUUCGUCUAGUGCUGGGCUUUUUAGUGCUGGGCCUCAGGCCGUCCAGUGGGCCUGGCCUAUCUGAUCAUCUAUAUGCUAUCAUCAGUAAGAUUGCUCCUUGGCCUGUUCCCUUUGCACAGUUGUCAAGACUAUUCUACAGGAGCAAUUAAUUAAAUAGAGCGAGGAUGAAAGGCCAAACAGGUCAAAACACGAAACGAAGCGGGAUUAAUUAUAUGCAAUGGAAAGGAGAUGAAAUCUGCCUGGACAUUGAGCGCUUGAAACCUAGCGAGCUCACAAGGAUGACUGAACACGAGCCUUUGCGCGAAACGCUCCCUUCCUCUUCCAGCGAAUCAGUGAUGGGAAGGCCAAUUGCCGUGCCAUGGAUUGCAGACGGAGUUCGCAGACAUGAAGCUUCGCCGCCGCAAGAGAGCGUGCGUGAGCGGUGGGCUCGCCGCGCCGCUGGGCAUUCCUAACCACAGUGCGGUACAAGGUACCUGCAACUGCAAGGCUGCAAGGGUGACAGCACGCGCACAACGGCACAGCCGCGCGUUGGGCACGCCCUUGGGGUCCGUUUGCUUUCUGCCUACGCAGGCCCUGCCAAUCUGCAUCAAAGUGUGGCUUGCCAAUUCUUUGGCGACACCACACGGAGGGAGUAGGAUAUAAUCCCAACCAUGCAUGUCACAUGAUGUGGAUCGAACUGAAUCUUUCCUACCCCUUACUCCCUUACCAUCAAAACUCGAUUCCUGCCCUCCCUGCUAGCGGUUACUAGUCAGAAACAUUAUGUUGAGUCACCAUUUCAAUAUGAACUAUGAAGAGCUGCCUCGAUUAAUGGAAUCAUGGGGAUGGGAUGCGCCAGGAAUUUUUCAUUGGGGACACAAAUCCUUGCCAAUCCGGAUCACUGACACCUGUGUCGUUGCGUGUAGCAGCUAUGUGGCCGACGGAUCCCCUCCAGUGGAGCAAAAAUUGAAUGGAAAAUGUCCAGCUUUUCGGAUUUUGUAGGAUCCCUACAUUAAUAAUAUCGGGGAGAUCCAAGUGACAAUCACAGUUAAUCAAACCCAUAUCUGGAGGCUACGUUGUUGCAUUGUUAACUCAUUGGCUAGGCUGAAUCCGUGAAGGGUUAUGAGAUGUUCAAUAGCAUGGGGUCGAGUGAAAUCAAAUGGCGACCCAUUAAGAGGUUUCUAAUAGGAAUGGGAUACAUCAGGAGUUUUAGCUCAGGAAUGAGCUUAAAAUGAUGAGCAAUUGCAAUUGUGUAGUACUUCCAUGCUAGCAAGGCACUUCUAACAGUUGUCACGGCCUAGCGUUUCUAUAAUUUUCAAUGGUGAAAAAACCAAACGACGGUGUGUCUGUGUGUUUGUAACAUCCUGCCUUUUUAGAGCAUUUAAAAAUACAGAUUUAUUAAAAAUUUUCUUUAAAUUUAAUACAAAUUCCUUUUCUCAAAAUUAUUCAACUUCUUUUACUUUAAAAACUAUGCAUUGAACCCACAUAUGUGCUGCACUUGGUUGCUUUAGUAGUCCUUCCUAAGCAUAGAAUUAAAACACAUUCAAAUCUAACCCAUAACUCCUAGGAAAGAUAUUUCUUUUCUUGAAUUAAUAUUCAAAUAUAUUUUGAAUACUAAUUUUCAACUCAAAUCCCUAUAAGGCUCUUAUUCAACUUCAACCACACUCAAACCCCAUUAAAUUCCAAAACCCUCCCCAAAAGUCUCACCUCUAUGGCCAACUCAACCCUCUAACUUAAAUUCACCUCAAAUUUGAAAACUAGUUCAAAUUUGGAUUUAAUACCACAUUUAAACAAAUGCAAAACCACAAACCCUACCUACGGGCCGCAAACUUCAUCUCUGGACCAACCCUGCUUCCGGCCAAGCCCAUCUCCACCUCCACCUUCCGCCUUUGGGCCAAUCCAGCCUCCCGAUCCGCUCUCUCGGCUCGGUCGGCCACCCCGCUAGCCCACUCAGCCACGCAGCCCAACAUGCCAAAGCGGCCCAGCUCCCCUCCAUGGGCCAGCCUACCUUGGCCCAUUCCGCACGCUCGAUCAGUGCCACCGUUGCCGUCAUUCCCUCCCUCCCCGUCGCCACAUGCCGCACCGCUGUGCCAUACCACGCCACCUAACUACACACCGCUCUGCCGUGACACCACCAGAUCCCUCCCCCCUUGCUCGCUUCGCGCCCAUGCAAGCUCUCCCUCCCCACUGUUGCACGCCGCACCGCCACGCCACCACCAUGCCACUGCACUGUGCGCUGCCAUGCCGUGCCGCCACCAGAUCCCUUCCCCCUAUCUCGCUUCACACCCACGCAAGCUCCCCCAUCUCCCUAUCCUCCUCCGCCCUCAUCCACCUUGCCACACCACCGCCUGCCACCCUGCCGCCGCAUUGCCACCGCUCUACGCCGCGCUGCUCUGCUGUGCUACCGUGCCAUGAGCCGCACCAGUACCUCCCCCCUUCUCCUCGUGCGCCUUAGCCCCUAAGGCAGCCCAUCCAUGUCCCCUGCCACCUUUCCCGCUGGCGACACCUCACCAUGCAACUGCUGCACCCCAUGAAUACCAUGGCAGUGCAUCUCCCCCUCCCUUUUCUUCGCCGUUAAGCCACCUUCGGCCAUCCUUAUCCCACCGGCAUGAUGUGGCGCCCUCCCUGGCCCCUCUCCUCACCUAUAAAAGGUCGUCCCCGUCCCUCCCCGGAACUCACACCACUGGCCGCGGGAGCACAUUCCGCCCUUCCAUGGUUGUGCCCCUUCGGCCCUCCUCUCCCCUCCAUGACCCCUAGCUGCACUCCCUAUGCACCCGUCUCCCUCCCAUAGCCCUCCGUGGGGCUGGCGGUGACUAGGAACACCUUUCCGGGGUGCUCCGGUGAGCCUUGCGGUGGCACCCAUGGAGGCGUUGCCCGACCCCAGCCAAAACCGGCACCCAUUAUGCCAUCCCCAUGCCACAUUGUCCCCGUCCGUUCCUUCCCUUUCCCUGCCACACGGGCCCAGCCCCAAACACCGUUCACCCGUCGUUCCCCUCUCUCCCUCCCUGAUCCGUGCGCCCGGCUCAUGAAGAUCGGCUGCACAGCUAUGCCCAUGGUCCACAACCUAGGCCCACGGGCUCAUAGCACAGUGACCCAAGGACCCUACUCGCGCCAUGCCAGCCUGGGGAAAAUGCUAUGUACACCCGGUAAGUGCACACCACCUUUCACUUCAAGCCCCUCCACCAUUCCAAAAAUUCCCAAAAUUUUUCCAAAGAUACUACAAAAUAAUCUAAGCCUAUCCAUGUCACUCUUUUCCAAUUGUCAUCCCAUAUAGACCCUUUUCCAAAAUAUCGUCCUUGCACAUAGUAGAAAACCCUAUAAAAGUGCACCUGGAAAUUCGCGUCUCGCCUGUCCAUGUUCCAAAAACCCUAGGAAAAUUCCUAAAAAUAUCUUAGGGCCACCUAAGCCUAUUCCUAUGCCUAUCUUUGGUCAUCUUGCCCCGGCUCCGCCUCAGUGGCUGAAGUGAGUCUGUCGAGCAAGCUCUGGCCUCAAUUCUGCAUCCACUUGAUCUAGCCCGAGCUCCACCCUAGUGGUCAAAGUGAGUUCGUCGUGCAAGCUCUCUAGCUUCCACUUGAUCUUGCCUGACUACAUUGUAGCCAUGUGUACUAUCCCCUGGUACCAAGGUAGAUCAACUGUCGCACAAGCUCUCAAGUUCCACCCUUACCCUAGAUAAGGAAACUUGACCAGCUCGACCCGUCGUAGGGUCAAAGCCGAGCUUGUCGUACAAGUUUCCUAAACCUUGAAAUCCACUCCUACCACCCAGCAUCUAAUUUUACCCAAAGCCUAUUCCAAAACCCAGUUGGGAUGUUGCCCGACUAAAACCCUAAUCCUUAACCCCAUCUAGCCAUAGUGUCACCCAUCGAAAAUCUCAAAUUAUUCCAAAACCCAGCCGCUGUGCUGCCUAAUUCAAACCCUAGAUAUCGACAAAACCUAGCCGUCAUGCCGCCCAUUCAGAACCCUAGGAAAUCCUUUAAUAAUUUCCUAGAAAUUCUUUUAGAUUCCAACCAUUCCAUCCAUUAAUUAUUUAGAAAUCCAUUUCUAAAUAAUUCACUAUUCCCCUUUAUCUGGGAAUUACUCAUUAGAUAUCGGAUAAUUCCCAAAACCUUCAUCAUUCAUUCCCUUCCAUUUCCUUAAGCUAGGUAUUUAUUGCUAGAAUUGUUUGCUUGUUUGAGCCAAAGAUGGGCUGGCCAGGAGACAAGGAUCUCGAAGGUAUGAAACCGAAGGUCCGGCCAUCCAAAAGACCCAUAGAAUGCCCAACUAGGCUCCAACAAGAAGCUGAGGAUCCAGAAGGUAGGAAGCCAAGUCCCUGGUCAACCUAGGAAGCUUAAUGAAGGCAAGUCCUAGCAUCCACCCCUUGAUCAUAUUUUUAUCCUAUAAUUAUCUUAAAUAUUAAAAUCAACCAAGAUAGUAACUUGACUUGCAUAUUCCUCAAGACCAAAGGAGCAGCCCACCUCUAUUUUUCCUCCUGCCUUGUCUUGAAGCCGCUCUAACCCAAAAAUCCUAUUACUGACCCCGAUCAUGACUUGAUCAAUGAUCGAGCGUCAUUAUAAAAAUAGAAUUUCAUAGGAACAAUACACACACAAUGUUUUCAUGGGAAAACCCAAAAAGGCAUGAGUUCUAGGGUAAAUAUAAAAUGAACCAACUAAAGAGUUAGAAACCAUUAAGGACAUGACAUGGGAGUAAGGGGGCAGCCUCGAUGGAGGAUUCUGUCCCAAUGCUUACUCCGGUCAUAUAAGGAUCGGUUCACAGGAAAGUCUUUCUAGUGAUCCGUACAGCCAUAUGUGCCAAAAAGGUACAACUUUUGGGAGUGCCUAAUCAUGCGAGGCCUUAAUUCACACCCCAUCAACUGAACCUAGUAAACCAUCCCAAGGGGCCACGCUGGGCAACAGGUAGACUGGAGCACGACCUUCGCAUAGUCCCAGGUCCAAUCAGCACGGGUCAUAGGUUGAGGUCUAAAGGACCUUGUGGCAUUAUAUGCCACAUUAUGAUGCAUCUGUUUUCCCAGGAUAGUGUCCCUGUGUGGACGUAGUAUGGCUCCUGUUUACCCCAGUCGUAUCUGUGGAUGGAACUAGGAAAUGUUGUCUAGAGAUAGACACCGAUGGGUACAGGUCUCGUAGGUCAAUACCGCCUAUGAUCAAGGUAUGGGUUGAUCGAAUGUAUGGGUAAAGUGUACACCUCUAUCAGAGGAAAGUGUAUUGACCUACGAGACCUGUCUAAUUUCCUUCUCUAAGCCCAGCCCAACUCCACCUCCCUCUCCUUGUCUCCUUCCUCCUGCAGCCGAGCCCUCGGGCGAGGCGGAUAAGGGUCGGUGGAACAGAUAGGGUCGGGCGGAUAAGAGGGGUCGAGCGAAGCGGACUGGGGUCGGCAGCUUACCUUCUUCCUACAAGGAAAGCUUGGGGUCGGGAAGAAGCAGACUUGGGCGGAGGGACUAAGGCUCUGAACAACGGCUAAGUCCGGCAAUGCUCCGGCGGCGGCGGUGCUUCUUGUGGAUCACAAGUGAGCUUUUACGCAGCACGGAGGAGCAAGCGGCUGGGGUGGCUUGGGGAAAAUGGAGGGGAGCUGAGAGGAGAGUUCCUUAGGAACUUAGGGUGCGGCACUAGGAGCAAGGAGCAAGAGAAUUGGCGGAAGGCAGCAAUGGCGGAGGGAACUCUGGCGGGCUUGCGCAUUCCCUUUUAUAGCUGCUGGAACGGGGAAGGGAAGCGGCGUAGGAGCGAGAAGGGGAGCGGCACGAAGGCCGGGGAGAAGCAAUGGAGUGCUCUGCCUGGGCGGCGAUUGAGCGACGAGGGCGGUGGUGCAGGACUUCGGGGAUGACGCCAGCGGUCAUUAGGCUCUGGCGUCAGGGCGGCGCAGGAGCGGGUAUGCCGGUGGUUGAGAUUUGGCGGAGGCGGGCGUCGUCGUGCGGUAGAUUUGAUGGACGCGACCAGUUUAACAGCGCUAGAAUCGAGGGCGCACAGGUGAGAAGACAGGCAGCCGCGGGCGAGCGGGUGAGCGCGGAGCAACAGAUUGUCGGGCGGCUUCUGACAGGGCGGGGAAAGGAGCUGUCGCUGCUGUGGUCGGGGUUGGCGAAGGAGGAAUUGUCGGGUAGCGAAGACCAGGCGGCGCGACUGUGUUCGAAGUGAUGGAAAAGACGGGCGACAUCGGGCCCUGCGGCCGGGAUCUGGCGGUGUGAUGAUGGGCGCGGGAGGCGAGGUGCUGCAGAAAGGUUGCAGAGGGGCUUCCGCUGCCAUUGGGGAAGGGGGUGCGAGAAUCCAUUCGGUCGCGAGCCAAAGACAAGGCUGAGCGGCGGGCGUCGGAGAAGAUGAGCCACGCGGCGGGGAGACUCUGAAGCGGGCAUGCAACUCGAGUGCGCCUGUCGCGGAAGAUCGGGGGAAAAAGAUCUCGCGGAUCCACUGGUCAGAUAGAACGGACGUUUGGGAAAGACUUAAAGGGAUCCGACGGCGAGCUGGGUUUGGCGGGGUCGGAAAUCAGAGCGAAGCGGGGAGGGGUCGGGUCUCAGGGGUCGGGACCGGUCGGGAGGUUGGACACUUUGGCUCGGAAAACUAGACAGGUGAUCAGGGGCUAGGAUUAAGAUUAACUGGGAAGAUUGGGGCCGGUCGUCACAGUGUUGCUUUGUAGUGUUGUUUAGAUUUCUCUAGUAGCUUCCUUGCAAUCACUACGUGAUCAUCGGCUGCCUUAUAGCCGGUCACUUUAACAGUAAAUCGGCCGAUUCGCUGAUAUGCUUUUCAAGACAGAUCGGAACUUUAGCCGAUCGAAACCAUUGGAAUUUAAUAUUUUUAUUUCCUUGUCAAUCAACAAGUCAGAUUGACUAGCACGCUGUACGAACCGCACCAGGGCGAUAACUCGAACAGGAGUUAAGCAGAUUCUCCUGGGUCGUGUGUUCGACGCUGAUGGUCAUCGGCCGAUUUUUAGCACCAACACUAAUAUAGUUCUCAUCACAUAUUAGUAUCAUAACAAUAAAAGGCGCAUUAAAAGGUAUAUAUAGGUUUUCACCUUUAAGCAGCGGAGUGUGGUGUAGCUGCCCAUUCCACCAGCAAAAGAGGAUGCAGCACCGAGAACCCUAAACUUGUACAAAUGAAAGUAAGGCUGAGUACACUUAUGGUUGGUACUUAGAAAAUCUUAGCGUUGAAAUUAUAUUAUAUGCAGCGAUGGUCAAGGAAAGGGUUUGGUUUAAUUAAAAGAAACUUAUUUUAAUGCAGGGUAUUAAUUUCCUUCUCUAGGCCCAGCCCAACUCCACCUCCCUCUCCUUGUCUCCUUCCUCCUGCUUGUUGCCUGUCCACGCUCGCACGCACAACACGCGCCCGAGAAGGUCGCACCUCAACCACCCCGCUCAAUUUACCGGCAGCACCGUUACUCCACCGUGCAGCACUCCUGAGGCACGCCAUCGUCUCUCCUCUCAUACAGCUGUAGCCGCAACGAUGACGAGCAGUCGUACGACCCACGGCGGGAGAGCACAUGUGCCGCUGUACCUUUGUAUGCGGCAAAGGCUGAGUCUAAAUCCCACUAGCUAAUCUGUAGUCGUCCGUAGGCAAGUGUUGCAACGGGAGGUCAUGGAGCAGGCGUAAGCAAAUGCAUGCUUAGCGACCCAGUUGGAGACCUCAUUGGAAGGUCAUAAACCCCUAGUUAGCUUCCGUGGAUGACUAGUUGGGAUUAUGCCACUAGUAGAGAAUUGGCUUUCGAUGCCUCUUUUUAUUCCGGUUUAAAGUUGGCUCGGGACAAAAGGUUCACCAACCGAGACUAAAGCUCGAUCACUGGUGGGGGGCUCACCAACCGGGACCUUUUAUCCCGGUUUGAAACACCAACUGGGAUAAAAGACCCCCCUUUUACCCCGGUUGGUGUUAACACCAACCGGGAUAAAAGGGUCGAGAGCCUUUUAUCCCGGUUUGUAAUACCAACCGGGAUAAAAGGGGAUCAUUUAUCCCGGUUGGUGUUUCAAAUUGGGAUAAAAGGGUCCCCAACGAGGUGACUAAAAGAGGACUAAAUCCCUCGAACCCUUUUAUCCGGGUUUGUAAUACUAACCGGGAUAAAAGGGGAUCUUGGUAUCAUGAAAAAUUGCGUGUGGGGGGCCUCCUGGGAGCAUAGGAUUUUUUUUUGCGGUGCCUGGUGUGGUGACCCGUUUUAUCCCAGUUGGUAGUCCCGGUUUAGUGACCAGGAUAAAAGGACCCCCUUUUGUCCCGAUUGGUUUAUCCCGGAUGGAUUUCCAGGAGAUUUGCACCCUACCAACCGGGACUAAAGGCCAAUUCUCUACUAGUGUGCUAUGGUGGGCAAUGGUUUUGAUGGAUCCGUGCUGUCAAUCACUACGGUAUCAUGAUACGGCACCCUACUGGUGAGUAAAGUACACGUUAAAUUCUAUUCGAAUAUAACCAUAUCCACGAACUAACUAGUUGUUUUUGGAAAAUGGUUUAUUCUUGAUGUAACUAAAGUGUGAGUUAAAUUUUGGAAAUGAACGGCUAGAUUGGCAUGUGCUACCAUGGACAGGGUGUGCAGUAGUACUUGUAGGAUCACUCCACUCUUUCAUAACUAUGGGCAGCCACCCAACCUCUUUUUUUUAUUUUCGCAAAAUCAACUGUGAUGGUGGGUGACAUAACCACCCGCCACCACAGAGAGCCAUCUGUGCUCGCUCAAAGUUACUGGCGGGUGCUAUACUCGCCAGCAUAGAGCCAUUUGGCCCGCCAGCAAAAAUCGUUUUUGGCGUAGCGAAGAUGUCAAAAGCGUAGGAUAUGCUAUUUACUAGGUCUUACCGUUAGAUUGAUAUCCGACGCCUCCUGCUAGUUUGAAAAACUUACAAGUUCAGGCACGUAGCGUCACCCUUGUAUUGUCUGCUUUGGUACCUGGAUCUAUCAAUCACUCAUCGAUCUUGCCAGGAUGUCGAUCGUGCGUCACUCCAAAUCGGUCACUGUUCAACCCUCCAAAUCUAGCUGCAUAUGCACCGACAACUCUGGAUGAAGAUCGGGACCACGCAGCAUGCAUGCAUGCAUAAACCUCCAAACGCUACAUAAUAUAAGCGUGUAUAUAUGCAUGCAUAUACGUCGUUCUGAUGAAGUGCCAUCGAUGACGAUGGACCAACUGUUCUUUUAUUUGCUUGUCUAGGUAGAUCCGGUUUUGAUGGAAAACAUGUAGGGCUGGAUCCAACAUCCACCUGUUCGGUCGGUGGAUCGACACUGUCACACAGCUGCCACAGAUUUGCCAUUUUGUUCCGAGGUCUUUUACUAAGCACAAUAUUAUCUUAUACUACUGUUUCGAAAAAGGACUCGUAUGUAAGGAUCCAACGGUUGGAACCUUAAGCUGUAAUAUAGGUAGUAUAAGGAUAUCUUGUUAAAAGAACACAAAUGACAUCACUUAAAUUUUAUUUUUAACACUAGCAUAAAGUUUAAAAAGGUCAUUGCAUUUGAAAUAUCACUACUUUUCACAUGUAGUAAUUACUAAAUCAUCCGUAAUCAUGAACAUUUAAAUCUUAUAUAUAUCGUAAAAGAGCUCUUGUUUUUUCAUCCACUCAAGGUGUGUUUGGUUGCAUGUACCACAUGAUGCAUGCAUGGAUGAUCCUGGAUAGGGUGGUUCAACCAAUUUGCUUAUACCAUAUGGUUCACUCUGGGUGUGUUUGGUUGCAUGCACCACAUGAUGCAUGCAUGGAUAAUCCUGGAUGGGGUGGUUCAACUAAUUUGCUAGUUUGUACCGUAUGGUUCACUCUAAUGAGUAGAAUAAUAUAUUUAGUGGGAUGACCUUAUCCUGGAUGAGUUGGUUCCAUUCACCCAACCAAACAAAAAUAUCAUUAUUAUUUUGCAACCAAACAAAAAUAUCAUUAUUAUUUUGAAUCAAUUCAUACACGAACCAAAUGAUACAACCAACCAAACACACCCUCGUUCUCUCCGACCCGCUGCUGCUGCUUCUGCUCUCUAUAUAUGCGUACACACUGCCAGGCUAGCUAACGCACCGACAGCAACUCUGUUCCAGCCUCCCCUCAUGGCUUGCUGCAAGCUCUUCUCCAUCAUGUUGCUGGCCGCAGUCCUCGCCGCCGGCCCGGCGGUGGCGGCUGCGACGUCGGCACACCUGCACUUUUACAUGCACGACGUGACGGGCGGGCCGUCACCGACGGCCGUGCGGGUGGUCAGCGGCCCGCGCGGCUACUUCGGCAACACGGUGGUCAUCGACGACAAGCUGACCGAGGGCACGUCGCAGUCGUCGGCCACCGUGGGCCGCGCGCAGGGCUACUACAUGGUGGCGUCGGUGGCCAACCUGGAGCUCUUGGUGAGCAUGAACGUGGUGCUCACGUCGGGGCCGUACGCCGGCAGCUCGCUCACGGUCGUGGGGCGCGACGACGUCGGCACGCCGGUGCGGGAGCUCUCGGUGGUCGGCGGCACGGGGCAGUUCAGGAUGGCGCGUGGCUACGUGCUGUGGAAGACGGUCACCCCUGAGAUCCUCGACCUCGAGAUCUUCGUCAAUCCUUGAUCAAGACUGCUGUGUUCCGGCUUGGAUGGUGAGAUUGCCAAGGUAAACAGCUUGUUAACGCGUAGUUGUUUUCCUUUUGGCACUGAAUCAUUAUUCAUUUAAUUUGGCCGCCGUUCGUUCGUUUAAUUUGGUACAGUAGUCUGAACAACUUUGAUCCUUUGGUUUUAAUGAAGCAUAAGUGAAUCGCUGGCUAUCAUUUAUCUCUUUACUUGCGCUGAAUUUGUUGGUGCCUAUGUUUUACCUGAAGCAUAAUUGAAUUGCUGGCUAUCAUUCUUUACUUGUGGUUAACUUGUUGGUGCUUGUAACUGAAUACUUACAUUUGUUUUCCCGAAUAGGAAAAAUAUUACUCUCCUAAACUAUGAGUUAUGAGUAAUGUUUGUCGUUCCAAUAUCAGUCUCGAGCUGAACUCACUACGGGAAACAGUAAAAAUGUCAAGUGUUUUUACUUUCCUGAGUGUAAUUCAUCGGACACUCGGCAACCCAUGUAGACACUCGGCAUUUUUACUUUUUGCCGAGUGUCAUGGAGGAAACACUCGGCAAAAAUCAACACGGCACUCGGCAACUCUCUAGCACGUGACUGGCACGUGCGACGUUCGCCAGAUGCCCUAAUGGCUGUCAGAACAUUGCCGAGAGUCCGUUAGUGACACUCGGGAGAGUUAAGCUUUGCCGAGUGUUUUCUGUAGACACUAGAUAAAAUAAUAUUUGUUUUCCUCUCCUACCCUCCAAUCAUUUUCUACUCUCCACAUACAACAUGUGGUACUACAUGUUAAAAUUUGGUAUAUUUGUGGAUCAGUUUGCUAUAUUGAAUUAAUUUAUUGCAUAAAUAGGAAUUUUUUGGUUUAAGGCAAAUUUGAACGGCAAGUGAUUCAAAUAAUGGAAUAAGUUGAGUCAAAAAAUCAUAUUCAUGUUAUUGAGUCCAUUUUGGGGCCUUAGACAGGAAAUGAAAAGAAAUCUCGAACAUUUUGUUCAGAAAACACGACCACAAAUGUGUGGUCCAAUGAUUUUUAAAUUCUAAAAAAAGCAAACCAAGUCUUAAAAUUAUGAGAUUUGUCAAGAUCUCAUGAUAUCAUACGUGGAGGUUGUGAAAAAAAUUAGGAAGGUUUCGCACAUUUUUUCAUGUACGACACUUACAAACCAGAGUAUCUCCGAAGAAGAGUUUAGGAGUUCAGAAGGAUUUGUUAAAAUUUGGAGUCAAAGUGACGGUCGAGUUAGAGUUGGACUUCAAAAAUUUUGUACAGGCAAUAGACAGCAUAGAUUGGUUCAUGUCCAAUUUUGGAAAUUUUUGGGAUCUGUUUGAUAAUUUUAUUUAUUAACUGCAAUUAUAGAAUUUUAAUGGAGAUAAAUUAAAUUUGAGCGAUAACUGCAUGAAAUAAUGGAAUAGUAUUCAUAGAAAAAUCAAAUAUGUAUUGUUAAGUGAAUUUGAUAAGGUUUUUUCAAAGUAUAUCGGAAAAAAUUUAGUAAAGCACGUUAUGAAAGUUAUACAUACAUGAAAUAUGAAAGAACUUUGCCGAGUGUUUGGUCCCAGGCACUCGGCAAAGUCAAUGUUUGCCAAGUGUUUCCAGGACAACACUCGGCAAACGUAGUGCAUGGGCCCAUAACAGCGCCUGUACCGUUUCGAAAUUAAAAUAAAAAUAGGGUUUGUCGAGUGUUUUGGAUCGGGGCACUCAGCAAAAUACGGUUGCAGAACACACAAUAGAAAAGUUACUUAUGCAAUCUCUACUCCUUUGUGCAGAAUCAGUUGGCGGGAUCGAAUCAACCAUCGGAUCCAUCAGCUUGGUCGCCUCAGUGGCCAUCGUGGCCUCCUCAGUGACUUGUUGGAAACUUUACUUGUGUUGUGGUUAAACUAGAACUUAUACUUGUGGGUUACUUGUCUUAAGCAUAUACUUGUGGUUGUGAACGGAUCUUCUGAUGAUGACGCUUAUUUGUGUGUUGUGAAUGUUAUUUAUAUGCUUGUAAUGCUUAAUAUAUGUCUGUGAUAUUUGUUUGAGAGGGGUCCUUUAUACGUAAAAAAAA
rnacentral:lncRNA from 1 species